rnacentral:lncRNA from 1 species
UUGAGUGCAAAUUUAUUUAAAUUUCAACAUCAAUAUAAAUUAUUAAAUAAAUCCAAUAAAUUCAUUUUUUUAACUCAUAUAUAAGUUUUGGAAUAGAUGUUUUGCAAUUAUCUCUUUACAAUAAGAUAAACAAGAGUCUUACUAAUAAUGGUGAAUUCUGGUGCUGGGGUCUUAUGCCCAUCGUGAGUCGAUAGGCUACGGAUGAAAGGAUGGUAUGUUUAGGUUCAAGGAAACCAAUCAUAUGGUUAAAAGUAACAAAACAUUGCGUAUUUCAAAGAAAAUAUUUUCGUUCAAAUGAGCACAUGCAGUUUGAGAAACACGAUAUAACGAGCAUUUUUCAAUACAUGGUAACAAAGUGAUGAGGGAGCCUUUCCCUUUUCGUUGAAACAUUCUCCUUGGCCUUCAAAGUCAUGUCGUAAGCUGUCAAUUUUUCAUUGUUGUACUUAUUUAUUUAUUUUGUAUUUAAUUAACUGCGUUAUGGCCCUCAUGUGAGCUGCAAUAGUGACAUUUUUGUGUUUCAAAUGUUGAAUAUUCUCUAAAAAUUAUUCACUUUGUAGUAUUAUUAUAUAUCAUCUAUAUCCUAUUAUCUAUUUAAUUUAUUAAAAAAAUUAUAAGAUAUUAAUUCAAUAUCUAUUAAACUGUAAUCUUAAUUAUUAAAAAUAUAUGAUAAAAUCUAAAUUAUUAGAUAAGAGUAUAAAUAAAUAAAAUUAAAAUAUAAAAAAAUGUAAUCAAAUUAUUAAAAAAUUGACACAAUUAGAUACAAAACAAUAAAAGUAAAUUAUAUACAUGAUAUAUUAUAAUUAAUUCCACAAUUUUGUACGUACGAAUUUGAUAUUAUAGCGAAACUAAUCUUUCCAUCAUAUUUGUUAGUAUAAAACUAACAAUGUCUUGCCUAGUUAGUUUCCUUUGAGUCUCAAUGUUUUCUCGAAUAAACGUCUCAAGUUUGAGAGACUAGAUAGAAAAGAACUUUUUUUUGGAACUUGCAUUAUACUUGAGUUCUAAUGCCUAAUGGUUAUUUAUCUUCACCAAAUUGAAACGUUUUCUACGUGUCUUAAUUGCUUUUAAAUGUCAAUAAUUGGUUGGCUCUACAGUUUUUGGGCUUAAAGCAAGAUGUUUUAUGGUAAUGAGUGACCUUGAUGUAACGGGAUAAUAUUUAAUGCUUUGAUAAUUAAUGACUGUCGAAUGAUAAUUAAUGAUGCCCAGAUAGUCUAAUACCAAAACGGAAAAGGGAAUGCCUGGACGGAUGUUGUUGCCUCCGAUAAAAGGUUGUGUGGUUUGAAAUGUCAUUUUUUCUUAUUCAGUGAAUGACUUUUUCUAUAAUAUAAUUUAUUGGAUUGAUUUUUAAAGCAUUUUAAAUCAGUUGAAUUACCAGCUGACAUGGUAUUUAUUGUGGGUUUUAGGUAUUUGUUGCGUAUGGUAGGUGUGUGGAGGAUAAAGUUUUGAUAUUUAAUGCGUAUGAAUUAUUGGAUGAAAGGAUAGGCUUUUAAAUCAGUUGAAUUACUAGCUGACACGAUAUUUAUUGUGGGUUUUAACCUUUUAGGUAUUUAUUGCGUGUGGUAGGUGCGUGGUGGAUAGAGAUUUGAUAUUUAAUGCUUAUGAAUUAUUGGAUGAAAGGAUAGGUUUUUAAAUCGGUUGAAUUACUAGCUGACAGGGUACAUUUAUUGUGGGCUUUAGGUAUUUAUUGCGUGAGGUAGGUGAAGGGUCUCCAAAAAGCCCGCGGCCCACGGCCCGGCCUAGUGGGCUAAAGCCCGGCAGGCCCGAGCCCAUUUCUAGAUGGGUCGGGUCAUGGGCCCCAAUUUAGGCUCGAUCCGGCCCGACGGGCUGGCCCGCCCGUAGGCCCAUAGGCCCGCCACUUAAAAUAUAUAUAUAUAUAUAUAUAUAUAUAUAUAAAAUAUUCAAGAAAUAGAAAAUACUACAUUAAUAAAAAUAUUCAUUGCUAACUAUUUUAUUCAUUGAAUGUAUACAUUACAUUUGAAAAUGUGGGAAAAGUUUACAUCACUACAAAAUAAGUACAUCCCAACUAGGUUGGCACCUACUUAUUUCUCAAUCAUUGUACUUUUCAACCACAAAAAUAAAAAUAAAAAUAUGAUAUACAUUUAGUAAAAUAUUUUAAUCAUUAUCUUUUGGCGGUGAUGGCGAAAUAUCGCAAAUCCAUGAAGAUCUUGAUGAUUUUAGUUUUUCCAUAUCGACAAGCAUAUUUUCUUUUUGAAUAGAAUCAAAUAUCCUUUUAUCUGCUAUUGCCCAGUCUUUCACACAUAUAUUUGCUUCAAUAGAAUCCGGCGCUAAGCUGCAUCGUUUAUCACUAACUACUCUUCCAUCUGCACUAAAAGCAGCUUCUGAUGCAACUGUACUCACAGGAACUGUUAGUACAUCACGAGCAAUGAUAGAAAGCACAGGAUAUUUGUGUUGUUGUGAUUUCCACCAUAUUAAAAUAUCAAAAUCUUCAUCAUCUUCAAAUGAAAUUAAAUCAAUAUUAAGAUAUCUAUCUAAAUCAGUUGUGUUGUUUGGAGAACUAUUUGUUGUCUUCUUUCAACUUUUUAACAUUUCUAGAGCUCCUUUAUAAAAAGAUGAAGAGCUUGUAGAUGUAGGUAGUAAUUUAAUAGAACUAAUAUCAUCACCAUAUUUUUCUUUAUAAUAGUUAUAUAAAUUAUAUAAUAAUGAAUUUAGUUCAUUUUUAAUUUCUUCAAUUUUUAUUUGGUCAUUAAAAUAAAUAAUUGUUAACCAUUCAUCCAAAGCUUCAAAUUUCAAUCUAGGGUCUACAAUUAAAUCAAAAUAAAAAAUUAAAGGUAUUUCUCCCCAAUAUUUUCUAAAUUUUUCUAUCAUUGCAAAUAUUGCAUCAUUAAAUAUAUCCAAAUUUAAAUAUUUUUGAAGUACAAUAAAAAUAUUAGUUAUUUGCAUGACAACUCGGUUUGAAGAUGGAUAACAUACACCACAAAAUUUUUUUGUUGAAGUAUCAAAUACUUCAAAAAGAUCUCUUAAAAGAUCUGCAAUAUGUCAAUCAUAAUCAUUUAAUACAUCAAUAUCUGUUUCACAAUCAUUGCUAAUUAAUUAUAUUUCAUAUAGUUCUACUACUUUUCUAUAUUUUAUAAUAGUUUGUAAAAGUUUAUAAGUGGAAUUCCAUCUAGUGGGCAUAUCCAAAUUUAUAUAUUUUUUUUCAUAUUUAACAUUUUGCAACAAUAAAAAAAUAAUUCAUGUUUUGCUUGAGAACUAUAAAGACCCGUAGCAAUGCCUCUAAUUUUUUAUAAUGUAUCAUCAACGUGCUUUAAUCCAUCUUUUAUAAUUAAAUUUAAAAUAUGUGCACAACAACACACAUGAAAUAUUUUACAUUGAUCUUCUUUUAUUUGCCAAUAUCGUUUUAAUCUAGAUAUUGUUGCAUCAUUAUUAGAAGCAUUAUCUAAUGUUAUUGUAAAUAUUUUAUCACGAAUGCCAAAAUCUAUAAUUUCAUCAUUUAUUAAAGAUGCUAUAUUUUUACCAUUAUGUGGAGCAUUUAUUAUUUUAAAUGAAAUAAUUCUUUUAUUUAAUUUCCAUUCAUUAUCAAUAUAAUAAGCAGUUAUACAUAAAAAAACUACUGUGAGUUAAAGAUGUCCAAAUAUCAGAUGUUAAACAAAUUCUUCCUUCAAAAUUUGCAAAAAAAAAUUUUAAAUUUUCUUUUUGUGUUUCAAAAUUUUUUAUAAGAAUUCUUUUAACUGUAUUUCCAAAGCAACCUUGAAACUGAGGAUUAACAGCUCGUUGCAUUGUUCCCGUAAAAUCAUGAGUUUCCAUGAAAUUGAAAGGUUGUUCUGCUUUUAUUAUAUAACCAAUCAUUUCUUCACGACAAUAAGAUUCAUCAUAAGAAAAUGUUUUUAAAUUUUCACUUUCAUCUUUACCUAAUUGCAUAUAAUUUCUAAUAUCUACAUUAUUUUUAGUUUUACAAUUUUCAUGAUGCCUUUUUAAAUGACUUGUACCUGCAUUUGAGUCACUACUAAGAAGUUUGUUACAAAUUUUACAUUUUGCUUUUAUUUCUUUUUUAUUAUUUUCUAAAUUUAUUUCUAUUCUAUCAAAAAAAUUCCAUAUAUUUGAAAUAAAUUUUUUGCUAUCACAUGCAUUAGAUGAAGAACAAGAACCACUUGCCAUAAUUAUAAUUAUUGAUAAAAUAUUAUGCUAAAAAUAAUAAAUGUAAAAUUAAAAUGUAACAAAUAAAUAAAAGAAAAUGUGAAGUAUGUUACUAAAUUGGAGAACCGAAGUAGAAAUUCCUUCAAAUUUGAACUCUUUGAACCACAAAUGCUUGUUUUUCAUCACCAAUAAUAUUGAAUAAUUUGAGACAAAAUGCAAUAAUUGGAAAUAUUGUGGAAUGGGAGAGAGCUUAAGAGUUGAGAGAAUAGAAAAAAUUGAGGGUAUUUAAUAUUUAUAGGGAUUUAAAUAUUAGGAUUUAUUUAUUUAUUUAUUUUUUAAAUGUCAAGACCGUUCAACGGUCAUAUAUUUGAUAUUUAUGAGUGGCAUGUUCAAUGGUCAUGCGACCGUUGAACAGCCACCUCACUUUUAUUUUUUUUCAAAAAUCAUACAACAUUUCUAAUAUAUAUAUAUAACUAAUGCAAAAUAGUUAUAUAAAAGAGGGUCAGCUCAGUUGGUGGCUAGCUCUCCUUGAAUACUCAUAUAUCCAUAAGGGAAGGGGUUUGAAUCCCCCUCCUUUCAAAACUCAAAAGUAUUUUAAUUUUUACCCAAAACCCACCCAAGCCCGUAGGCUUGCCCGCCAAGCCCGCCCAGCUUGAGGGCUCAUAGGUUGGGCCACGGGCCUUAGAUUUACCAAGGGCCUGGCCCGGCCAACGUCAACGGGCUCAGUGGCCCGCCCCGAGCUGGGCCAUGGGCCUUACUCCUCCGGGCCGGCCGGCCCGACCCGGCCCGUUGGAGACCCUUAGGUAGGUGUGCGGUGGACAAAGUUUUGACAUUUAAUCCUUACGAAUUAUUUGAUGAAAGGAUGAUGGAAUCUUGGAAUUACUUGGCCUCCUUUAAAGAUGACAUCUAAACAUUUAGUAAAUUAAUUUAAUAAAUAUCAAUUCUAUUCUACAUUAUUUCACGUUACAUCAAAAAAAUGGUAAUCAUCACACUGUUAAAUAAUAAUAAUAAUAAUAAUAAUAAUGACUAAAUCUAUGUUUGUUCUAGAAAAUGCUAAGGAAAUGACAAAAAAAUCAUGUAGAAAAUUAUUUUCUUUAGUUUGGAUGAUAUGAUUGGAAAAAAAAUGUUAAAGAAAAUAUCAUAAUAUUCUUCCUAUUAUUUUCUUUAAAAAAAUAAGAAGGAAAAUAAGAAGAAAAGAGAAGAGAAAAGUUGAAGGAAAUUUUAUCGGACUCGUUUUCACCGAGUCUCUUAUUCACCUUUGGACGACGUCGUUGGGGUCCAUAUUACAUUCCUUGAGCAUGGCGUGGAUCUCCUGCUCUGAACAGUUAACAACCUCCCUCAAGCUUUAAACCAUCUUUCUAAGCGCCGUCGGAAUUACAGAAAUCCCACCACUGCCUUUUCUAUUCACGCUGCUCACACCACCACCGCCACCACCACCACCACCUCCUCCGCUCAUGAUUUCUCUCUCUUCUUUCUCUCUACACCAAACUCUCAUAUCUUUCCUCUCUUUCUCUCCUUGGUUGCCCUAUUGAUUCUGCUGCGAUAAAACAAGAAGAUUUCUAUGCCCCCACCCUCUCUCUCUUCCUUCCUACCGAAAACCCUCUUUCUUUCUCUCUCUAAAAACUAUUUUUAUUAUUAUUUUUUGAGGAAUGAUUAUAACAUUUUGUUUUCUUUCCAUUUUUCCUUGACUUUUUUUCGUGGUUAGUUGAAUAAAAGAAAAUGAAUUCUUUUUUUGUCCCUUGAAUUUUCCAUGGAUAACAAAAAAAAAAAAAUUAUAUUUCUUUCCUUAGCUUUUUCUUUCCUUCCAUUUUUUCUCCUAAUUUUCUUUCUCUUACAUUUUCUGGAACCAAACAUAGCCUAAAUUGUUUUAUAGUUUCAUUUCAUUUUUUUAUAUUAUAUAUGCUUUUUUUUUUUGUUGGCAAUUUUAUUCAAAAGUUCAAACUUAAUCAUUUAUUGUAAGAAUUCAAAUUUUUAGCUUGAUAUAAUACUUAUCCGAUAUCAUACUAUUUUUCUUUAUAAAUUUAAGAAUUUAGACUCAAUUGAAUUCAUUUUUCAAAUAAUAAGAAUAUAUUUUAUUUCUAAAAAAAUUUAAAGAAAUAAUAAAAUAAUAUUAAAGAAUGUACGUGAUUUCCUUAUUUAAAUACCAAAUAAAAAGUUGAGGAAAUAAAAUUUUUAUUUAGUUAAAAUUUUUAUUUUUCUUUUACCUUUUAAGGUUUGGAAAAGUGUAAGGUGCCAAAUUCAUACAUAUUGAAGUUCAAAUAUGAGUUGUUAAAAGUUUAUGAUAAAAUUUUAAAAUUAAGGUAUUAAAAUAUUUUUUUAAUACCUUAAUUUUUUAAAAACCAUUAGUUUUUUAAUGCAAGAUUUUAAAAGUUCUUAUAUAAAAAGCUACUACCAUUUUCUAUUUUCAAAAAUAGAAAAUAUGAAAUAUAUAGACUGAAAACUUAGUACAUAAAUUUUUAUUUAUUGGUUAAUAAAAUUUAUAGUUAAAAUAUUUAAAAUUUAUAAAUAAAAAACAUUGCAUUUUGUUGUUAAAUAUAUAAAAACAUUUUAUUUAUAAUAAAUAAUGUUCGAUGCUAAUGUCAUUUUUAUGUUAUGCUAUAAUCAAUUUUUAAUUCUUUUUUUAAAACUAAAAUUUUAAUUUCUUUAAUUAAAAUUUUUCUUUUAAAAAUGAGUACUACAAAAAGGAAUUGAAAUAAGACUAAAUUUCCAUGAUGCUUGCAUGUGAUGACAGUUUGGCUGCCAUCUCCAUUUGUAGUCGAUUCUACAAUUUGAUCCAUGAGUAAUAUAUAUAUAUAUAUAUAUAUAAAAUGAAAUAAGAGUAAAUUUCCAUGAUGCUUGCAUGUGAUGAUAGUUUGGCUGCCAUCUCCAUUUGCAGGUUGGAAUUAGAAUCCAAGUUAAGAUUCUACAAUUUGAUCCAUGAAGUGAAGUUGGGUGAUCUACUAACUUCUAUAACUAAAUUUAUGGCUUGGAAGACCACCCCCUACUGCGAAGCUGUGUGGUGAAGGGAAGGUGCAUAUGUCCUUUCUUUGUCUCAUCUUUAAUUUUUAUUUUAUUUGAUUUGAUUUUUCCUUUAUAUUAAUUGAAAGGUUAAGGAAAAUUCCUAGCCGGUAUAAGAACUGUGUCGAGGCUGAGCUCAAGUCUUCUCUCGUCUCGUCUUUAAUUUUUUCUUUUUCCUUUUUUAUGUGUCUUUUCGUUUAUAUUAAUUGAGUGGCUAUUGGAAAUGUUUUGUCCAAAGCCAAAUAUUUAAUUCAUUGUGAGGUAAAUAAAGACAUAAACAAAGUUUAAAUAAUAAAGAAAAUAAAAGCAAAAACUUUAUAAUUCUUAAUGAAUUUAUGUUUACCCAUGGAUAAGAUUUUAUAUUUAAGUAAUUUUAUCAUCCAUGUAAUUAAACUUUAUUAAUAUUCAGAAAUCAAAUUAUGAAAAGGCCAAAACAAUUGCAAUAAUAAAAUUAUGAACACUCCCGCACAAGUAAGGCCUAUAUAAAAAGUUCUUAUUUUAUGUUAGUUUUAAGGUAAUUUAUAUAAAAAUUUACAAAGAAUAGGUAAUUAAUAAAUGACUUCACCAUUGUACCCAUGUAAACAAUAUUAAUAAAAUAAAGGGGAAUUUAUGUAACCAUACACCAAGGGGCAAAAUUUUGCCUUUUGGAAACUUAACUUUUUACUUUUCAAAUUCAAUGGAUUUUGUGAAAAAUAAACAAUCUUUCAUACACUGUAAUAGUGAUGUUGAGACCCUUCCAAAAAUACCCUCCUAUAAUUUGACAUCUCUCCUAGUUGGAUAAGUUGCUUGUUGUCCACUUAAGCCAAUGACAUGACUCAGUUACAUGUCAUCAGCCAGCUAGACAUUCCACAUGGAUUGAUGUUUUAAACAAUAUUUACCCCCAAAUAUCUUCUUCUUUCUUCAACCAAACCCUAACACCAAAAUCCAUGUUCUUUCUUAUUCGUUCACAGGCACAACCCAUCACAAGGCGAAAGGAUCCAUAAAAAAUCUGGUAGGUUCUCAAAUCGCGAUAACCCAUCAACCCCAAACGAACCUCCAAACUUGAUCUCUUAUUUUGUUUCUCCUCCAUCACCAUAAGGAAGACAACAUCUUCAUUUUCCCACCAAACAUCAAUCUGAAAACAAAAGUCCAAGUGCGAACCCCUUAACAAAGGCCAGGUAGACAAAAAAAAAACCCAUUUCCUUCUUCUUAUUUCAGGAGUGACAGUCAUUUUUCUCCUGGUUGUACUUCCUAUUUUGCUUUUACAUCGAAAAAGGAGAAAGAAAGCAAUUGAAAGAACGAGAUAACGAAGAAUAAAAAUAUUGUAGUUGCAUUUAACUUUUAAAGCAAGGGUUUUUCCAAGUGAUAUAUAUAUAUGUUAUUAAAUUUUGUAAUAACUUUAUAUUUUGAUUUGUCAUUUUGAUUCUUUGAGAUUUGAAUAAUGUCAUAGUUAUGUGAUUUGUGCAAUUUUGUGAUUUAAACUUGAUUACAUUGCAUAUUUCUACAUGUUCAAUGUCCAUUAAUAUUGUAUCUAAAUUUAUAUUUUAAUUUAUUUAGGGUUUAUUUGAAAUGAAAUAUGGCUUAAAUUUUGAUAAAUGAUGGGAAAAUGAGAUGGUGGUAAGCUAUAUUGAUUUUGUUUUAUUUCUGAAUUGUUGUGUUUGUGUUGUAUGUGGUUGUUGGGAAGAAUACAGAAAAGAGAAGAAAAAUAUGAGUAUUGCAUGUGAAGGGAAUACAAUUUUUAGGAAUGUUCAAACAAUUUGUUGUUUAAUGUUGUUUAUAUGGGAUUCGAGAUGUUUUGUUGUUUAAUGUUGUUUAUCUAGGAUUCCAAAAUGAGUAAUUUGAGUGAUCUUUUAUAGUUGUUAAUUGGUGAAUCUAAUGCAUGGGAAAAGAAUUCAUGUUUAGUCAUGAGUAGAUGAGUAUAAAUUUUAAAAAUGAUUGGGAUUAAAGUUUGAAUAAAUUUCUUAAUAAAAGUUUUGAAUUUGUAAUGAAUAAGGAUUGAAUUGAAGAAGAAAAUAAAACAAAUUUAGUAAAGCGGGCAUGAAUUUAUGUGGGAAUUAGGGAAAAUAGUAUUGGAGCCUUAGGUUCAAAAUUGAUGGUCACAACCACAAAUAUGAAAUUUGUUUUGUUUAUGUGUGUAGUGGUCAUAGUAAGGGUCUACCCUUAGAUGAAGGGGUUGGCCGUAAUUCAGUUAAUGACAUUUGGAUGAAAUUAUUGUUUUCGUAAGAGGUUGCAGUAAGUGAAUUAAAGGCUGACCCAUUUGUUUGGAGGUAGGCCCUUAGUUGUAAAUAUUGUUGUGGUUUAAUCUGGAUAGUAGGCAAAAUAAAGGCUGACCCAUUUGUUUGGAGGUCGGCCCUUGGUUGUAAACAUUGUUGUGGUUUAAUUUGGGCAGUGGGCAAAAUAAAGGUUGACCCAUUUUUUUGGAGGUCAGCCCUUGGUUGUAAACAUUAUUGUGGUUUAAGUUGGGCAGUAGGCAAAAUAAGGGUUGGCCCAAUUGUUUGGAGGUCGGCCCUUGGUUGUAACAUUGUUAUGGUUAAAUUUGGGCAGUGGGCAAAAUAAAGGUCGACCCAUUGUUUGAGGGGGUGGCUCGAAGAGAGUAAAAUUAGCACAAUUUGGCUUGAAGAGUUACCAAAACAAUGGUUAGCCCAUGAAUUGAGAGGUUCACUCCCUAACUUAUAUAACAUAACAAAUUACUACGAAGUAAAAUAGAAUAAUUGCAUUGCUUAAUGUUAAGUAUACACUAUGCAUGUCUAUAUUUACACCAUUAAUUGUAAACUAUGAAAUGUAAAUGAAGCUCGUUUGUAAAGUUUCAAAGAUAAAUGAUGUAUUAAUAUAUGAUGGUCAUAGGCAUGAUAAUCAGUUUUGUUAUAAGUAAGUUGGUUUAUGCAGUGUUAUUAAGAAAUUAGUUAAUUGUUUCAGCUUGAUUAAAGGUUCAUGCUUCUAAACAGGGGCUGCACAUGAUCGAGUAGCAUUUAAAUGGAUCCAAAUAAUACAAUUUAUUGUUAUCUGCACAUUGGAGGAGAGCUAGUAAGGGAUGAACAUGGAAAUGUGGAAUAUAUGGGUGGGAGACGAGAGGGUCUAAGUUUAGAACGAUCAAUGACAUAUAAUGAUUUUGUUUCAAGGAUUUGUGGGAAAAUGAACAUCAAUAUAGUCGGACCAACAUUUUCAUAUACUCUCCCGUUUGAUUUAUAUGCACUUCAACCAUUGAAAAAUGAUGAAGACUUGACAAACAUGUUUCAAUUUAGUGACCGAUGUGCACGUGUAUAUAUAUGUUUAGCAUCAACAGUUGAAGACGAUGAAACGAUUGAGAAUGGAGGACAAGGGUAAGUUAUAUCAAAAAAAUAUAUAAUCUUAAAUGAUUCCAUGUAUUUAUUUAUUUUGUAAUAUUUAUGCUUAUUCAUUAGAUGUUAUAAUGCAGCUUGAACGAAACAAUCGUAGGGUCUAACUCACCGGUCCCAUAUUCAACAAGAGAUGUUGAUAUUAGAAUGCAAUCACGAGGAUUUCAUCAAAGAUGUGCUGAAUCACAUGUUGGUCCACUAGAGUCAAGUCGUUUUGAGAGUGCAAUAUUGGGUAGUGGGCAUACCUUCUCAACUGCAAAUGAAUUUCGGGAUGCAAUAUAUCUCAUGUCAAUAGGAGGCCGUUUUAGAUAUAAGUUUAAGAGGAAUUGUCUUGAUUACUACUCAAAACAUGCUAUUUUGUAGCUUGUAAUUAGCUCUUUUAAACACCCUUGAGUAGUAAUUAUUACCUUUUAACCCAAUUAACAUGUUAAGGACCCUUGCAAUCCGUUUCUAACAAUUAUGUUAAGUUUUGGUGCUUUUUGAUAGCUUUAUGCUCACCAAAGCAAUUUAAGAAUGAGGGAGAGCUAUUUAUAGUUCAUGGCAAAGCUUUUGAAAGCUUAAAUUUAUGAAGAAAUCAAGCUAUGGAGCCUCAUAAUCCUUUGCCUUAUUCGUUCAAAGUAUACAAGGAAGAAACAAUGGAGAAGAGGAAAACAGGGGAUGAAAAUAGGGGACACAGCUGCAGUCUUUCAUCGCACUUUUGGAGCACUUUCUGAAGUCCAUUUUUUACAUUCUAUAUACCAUUUCAAAGCUCAGAAAGUCAAUAAUCCAACGGUUCAAACCAUGUAUGAUUUGGAGCUGAAAUGAGAAAGAUAUGGCCUUCGGAAGACAACUGCAUCAAGCUGAGGGACAAUUUCGCACACCACUGUGCAAGGUGCGAAUUCCUCAGUCCACUGUGCGAGAAUUUCGCACACCUCAAAUCAAGGUGCGAAAUUGGAACUCCAGCGUGCGAAAAUUGGAUAUUUUUGCCGACUCUUUUUCUUCUGAUAUUUUUGUGUCUAAAUUUCCAUUUUCUCCUUGUAUUCAACCACUCAUGUAAUUCCUUAGCUAGGAAGUAUCCAAGGAAGGGUAAAAUUACCUUCCUAUAUAAAUUCUCUUGUAAUCACUGAAAAGGAUCUUCGGAGCUUUCUCCAGGAGACCAACUGAUGUAAAUUUGAUACUUAGUGAAAUACAGAGAUCUCUUUUGUUUUCUUUUUCUCUCUUCUAUUUUCUAUUUCCUUGCAAGUCAAACACCCUCUGAGGAUGUUUUCCCAGAGGAUGAGAGGCUAAACAUUUAGUUUCUUGGAGUAAAGGAAGCUAGGUGAAAAGUCCAGAUUAAAACAUGGAAAGUUUCCGUGCAUUAAAUUCAGGUAGUUGGAGUCCAUAAAUGGUUUAUAAAGCCAAGGUUUUGCCUUAAAUUCCUUUGAAUCACUUUGAAUGGCCAAUACAUGGUAAGCUUAAGGUCUCUGUGGAUGCUUAUUGCUAGAUCCAUAUCAGUCCAUUAGUUAUCAUGUACGAGCCAUUGGAAAGUGAUUCAAGGUGAUAGCCCAUAGUGUCUUAAGCCAUUAAUGGACCUUGACUACCAUCUCUAGUGACUUUUUAUGGAUUAAAACUUCAUUGUCAAACCUAUACCGGUUCGGGAAAUAACUAUAGGUUAAAUCCCCAAUGCGAGGAGAAAAAUCCGGAAUUUUCCACUUUGCAUCUGGCACUUGAACCUAGCAACCUUCAGCUCCGGGAGACUUUCUUUCUUACACUUUUUACUUAGUUCUAUGUGAGUUUAGUUUAAAUCACCACUUUCAAAACAAUUUUAUUUUCUUUUAAAUUUCAAGUUUGUGCUAAAGGAAAUCAUUAGAAUCAAUUUCUAAUUUAGAGUCUGUCACUGAUAGAGUGAAAACCCAUCCCUGAGUUCGACCCUAGAACUACUAUACUAUAGUAGCUUUGCUACGCCAGUAUAAGGUCAUAGGUUUUAUAAAUGUUUUUGAUUAAAAGACCCGGCUGGGCAUCGAAUCAAAUGGCGCCGUUGCCGGGGAUGGUGCCACAAUACAGUGAUACAACCUUUUAGAGGCUACUUGUGAUUUUCAUCACAACCAGGGUGAAUUCCUUUUUCACUAAUUUCAUUUUCUUUCAUUUUUCUUUUGUUAAUUUUAUAUUCAUUUUCUUCCUAACUUUAACCUUUUCUUUAGUUUCCUUUUGUUUUUACUAUACAGGAAUUGUAACUUGUGCAUGCCCUAUUGGAUUAGGGACCAAGAGGGAAGAUUAGUAAGGAUUGAGAAUCCUCAAGACACAGAGUUGGAUAUCUGUGUAAAUAUCAUGGACCCUCCACCAGAGGAUCAGAAUUCUCAACAAGGUCAAGGGGGUAAUCCCAAUGCAUACCUAUCCAUGAGGGAUAGAAUGCAUCCCCCAAGGAUGAGUGCACCCUCAUGCAUCCUGCCCCCACUUGAGCAGUUGGUUAUAAGGCCCCAUAUUGUGCCCCUCCUACCAACUUUCCAUGGAAUGGAGAGUGAGAAUCCAUAUUCUCACAUCAAGGAGUUUGAGGAGGUGUGUAAUACCUUUAGAGAGGGAGGAGCUUCAAUAGACUUGAUGAGACUCAAGCUAUUCCCUUUCACUUUGAAAGACAAGGCAAAAAUAUGGCUUAAUUCUUUAAGGCCAAGAAGCAUAAGGAAUUGGGUUGAUCUUCAGGCUGAGUUUUUGAAAAAAAUUUUCCCCACUCAUAGGACCAAUGGGUUGAAGAGACAAAUCUCAAAUUUUUCUGCUAAAGAAAAUGAGAAGUUCCAUGAAUGUUGGGAAAGGUAUAUGGAGGCCAUCAAUGCUUGUCCUCAUCAUGGUUUUGAUACAUGGCUCUUAGUGAGCUAUUUUUAUGAUGGAAUGUCUUCUUCCAUGAAGCAAAUUCUUGAAACCAUGUGUGGGGGAGAUUUUAUGAGUAAGAAUCCUGAAGAAGCCAUGGACUUUUUAAGUUACGUGGCUGAGGUGUCAAGAGGAUGGGAUGAGCCCAACUCAAGAGAGAAAGGAAAGUUUCCCUCUCAACAAACCCAAAAUCCAAAGGCUGGAAUGUACAUGUUAAGUGAAGACGUGGACAUAAAAGCUAAAGUGGCAACAAUAGCUAGGAGGUUGGAAGAACUUGAAUUGAAAAAAAUACACGAAGUCCAAGCCAUUUCCGAUACCCAAGUCAUGUUAUGCCAUGCACCAUUUGCCAAUCAUGUGAUCAUGUGGUAGAUGAGUGUCCAACCAUGCCAGCUGUGAGAGAGAUGUUAGGUGAUCAAGUAAAUGUUGUGGGGCAAUUUAGGCUCAACAACAAUGCAUCUUAUGGAAACACCUAUAAUUCAAGCUGGAGAAACCACCCAAAUUUUUCUUGGAAACCAAGGACACCUCCAUACCAACCACAAGGCCAAACCCAAGUACCUCAACAACCAUCUUCAGUGGAGCAAGCCAUUGUAAACCUGAGUAAAGUCAUGGGUGACUUUGUGGGUGAACAAAAGGCAAUUAACUCCCAAUUGCAUCAAAAGAUUGAAAAUGUUGAGAGCUCUCAAAUAAAGAGAAUGGAGGGGAUGCAAAAUGAUCUAUCUCAGAAGAUAGAUAAUAUUCAGUACUCCAUCUCUAGGCUUACCAACCUAAACACAGUGAUUGAGAAGGGAAAGUUCCCCUCUCAACCAAGCCAAAAUCCCAAGGGUGUUCAUGAAGUUGAAACCCAAGAUGGUGAGUCUUCAAAUUUGAGGGAGGUUAAAGCUGUGAUCACUUUAAGGAGUGGAAAAGAGGUUGAUCAACCCCUGCCUAAGGUGGGGCAUGAUGAAGAACUCAUAUCAAAGAGACCCUUGAUUAAUGAGAGCAAAAGCCAAGAAGAGAAGAGUGGGAAGAAGAGUGCAUCCAAAUCAAGCAUCGAGGAAGAACCAAGGAUAGUGAUUAAGGAGGAUAUGAUGAAGAAACAUAUGCCUCCCCCUUUUCCUCAAGCUUUACAUGGAAAGAAAGAAAUCAAGAAUUCAUCAGAAAUUCUUGAGGUUCUGAGACAAGUGAAGGUGAAUAUACCCUUACUUGAUAUGAUCAAACAAGUCCCCACAUAUGCAAAGUUUCUAAAAGACUUGUGCACAGUCAAAAGAGGUUUACAGGUGACAAAGAAUGCAUUCCUCACUGAGCAAGUGAGUGCUAUCAUCCAGAGUAAGUCCCCAGUUAAGUAUAAAGAUCCGGGAUGUCCCACCAUAUCAGUCAACAUUGGAGGGACACAUGUGGAAAAAGCUUUAUUAGAUUUGGGAGCAAGUGUGAAUUUGCUCCCAUACUCUGUGUAUAAACAAUUGGGACUAGGAGGAUUAAAGCCCACAACCAUGACCCUCUCCUUAGCUGAUAGGUCGGUCAAAAUCCCAAGAGGAGUGAUAGAGGAUGUUCUAGUUCAAGUGGACAAAUUCUACUAUCCUGUGGAUUUUGUGGUGCUUGAUACUGAUUCCACUGUCAAGGAAGAAAAUUAUGUACCAAUCAUCCUAGGGAGACCUUUCCUAGCUACCUCCAAUGCUAUUGUUAAUUGUAGGAAUGGGGUGAUGCAGCUCACAUUUGGAAACAUGACAUUGGAAUUAAACAUAUUCCAUUUAUGUAAGAGGCAUCUUUACCCUGAUGAGGAGGAAGGAUUUGAGGAGGUGUGCUUGAUCAACACUUUGGUUGAAGAGCACUGUGACAAGAGUUUAGAGGAGAGCUUGAAUGAAAACCUGGAAGUCCUUGAAGAUGGGUUCCUUGAACCCUCUGAUGUGCUAGCCAUUAUGUCUCCUUGGAGGAGACGGGAAGAGAUCUUACCACUGUUCAACCAGGAAGACUCUGAAGGAGUUGCUGUGGAGGACCCUCCAAAGCUUAUUUUAAAGCCACUUCCUGUGGGUUUGAAGUAUGCAUACUUGGAGGAUGAUGAGAAAUGUCCAGUGGUAGUUUCCUCAACCCUCACUAGUGAUCAAGAGGAUAGUCUUUUAGGAGUCCUCAGAAAAUGUAAGAAAGCCAUAGGAUGGAAAAUUUUUGAUCUUAAAGGGAUUAGCCCUUUGGUGUGCACCCACCAUAUUUAUAUGGAGGAAGAUGCAAAACCAGUGAGGCAACCCCAAAGGAGACUGAAUCCUCACAUGCAAGAAGUGGUGAGGAAUGAAGUUUUGAAGCUACUUCAAGCUGGGAUCAUAUAUCCCAUCUCAGACAGCUUGUGGGUGAGUCCCACCCAAGUAGUCCCAAAGAAAUCUGGAAUCACUGUGAUCCAGAAUGAGAAAGGGGAGGAAGUCUCUACACGUCCUACCUCAGGAUGGAGGGUGUGUAUAGACUAUAGGAGGUUGAAUUCAGUGACUAGGAAGGACCAUUUUCCAUUGCCUUUCAUGGACCAAGUCCUUGAGAGAGUCUCAGGACAUCCUUUCUAUUGUUUUCUAGAUGGUUAUUCAGGGUACUUCCAAAUAGAAAUUGAUUUGGAAGAUCAAGAAAAGACGACCUUCACUUGUCCCUUUGGUACUUUUGCAUAUAGGAGAAUGCCCUUUGGUCUAUGUAAUGCUCCUGCAACUUUCCAAAGAUGCAUGCUAAGCAUCUUCAGUGAUAUGGUGGAACGCAUCAUGGAAGUUUUCAUGGAUGACAUCACUGUAUAUGGAAGUUCUUAUGAGGAGUGUUUGAUGCAUUUAGAAGCUGUUCUCCAUAGAUGUAUUGAGAAAGACCUAGUGCUAAAUUGGGAGAAGUGCCAUUUUAUGGUGCAAAAAGGAAUUGUCUUAGGACAUAUCAUCUCCAAAAAUGGCAUUGAGGUAGAUAAGGCAAAGGUGGAGCUGAUUGUUAAGUUGCCACCUCCCACAAAUGUUAAAGGAAUUAGGCAAUUCCUUGGACAUGCCGGGUUCUAUAGGAGGUUCAUUAAGGAUUUCUCAAAAAUCUCAAAACCUCUGUGUGAGCUUUUGGUAAAGGAUGCCAAGUUUGUGUGGGAUGAGAAGUGUCAGAGAAGUUUUGAGGAAUUGAAACAAUUCCUCACAACUGCACCAAUAGUGAGAGCCCCAAAUUGGAAAUUACCUUUUGAGGUAAUGUGUGAUUCAAGUGAUCUUGCUAUGGGGGCUGUUUUGGGGCAAAGAGAGGAUGGAAAGCCCUAUGUGAUCUAUUAUGCAAGCAAAACUUUGAAUGAGGCUCAAAAGAACUACACAACUACUGAGAAGGAGUUGUUGGCAGUAGUUUUUGCCUUGGAUAAGUUUCGUGCUUAUUUGGUAGGGUCCUCUAUAGUGGUGUUCACUGACCAUUCUGCUUUGAAGUACUUGCUAACCAAGCAGGAUGCCAAGGCAAGAUUGAUAAGAUGGAUUCUUUUGCUCCAAGAAUUCAAUCUCCAAAUCAGGGAUAAAAAGGGGGUAGAAAAUGUGGUAGCUGACCACUUGUCCAGACUUGUGAUAGCACAUGACUCACAUGGUCUGCCUAUCAAUGAUGACUUCCCUGAGGAGUCUCUCAUGUCAGUAGAUGUAGCUCCAUGGUAUUCUCACAUUGCAAACUUUUUGGUUACUGGAGAAGUACCAAGUGAGUGGAGUGCUCAAGACAAGAGACAUUUCUUGGCUAAGAUCCAUGCCUAUUAUUGGGAGGAACCUUUUCUUUUCAAAUAUUGUGCAGAUCAAAUUAUAAGGAAAUGUGUUCCUGAGCAAGAGCAAUCGGGAAUUCUUUCCCAUUGCCAUGAUAGUGCAUGUGGAGGUCAUUUUGCCUCCCAGAAAACAGCUAUGAAAGUGAUCCAAUCAGGCUUCUGGUGGCCCUCUCUUUUCAAGGAUGCCCAUUCUAUGUGCAAGGGAUGUGAUCGGUGUCAAAGGCUUGGUAAGCUAACACGCCGAAAUAUGAUGCCCUUGAACCCCAUCUUAAUAGUGGAUAUCUUUGAUGUCUGGGGUAUAGACUUCAUGGGACCAUUUCCAAUGUCGUUUGGACAUUCCUACAUCUUGGUAGGAGUGGAUUAUGUCUCUAAGUGGGUAGAAGCAAUCCCAUGUAGGAGCAAUGAUCAUAAAGUGGUACUUAAAUUCCUCAAGGACCACAUCUUUGCAAGAUUUGGAGUGCCAAAAGCCAUUAUAAGUGACGGGGGAACCCACUUUUGCAAUAAACCUUUUGAGACUCUUCUAGCCAAGUAUGGGGUUAAGCACAAGGUAGCUACACCUUAUCACCCCCAAACAAGUGGCCAAGUUGAGUUAGCUAACCGAGAGAUCAAGAAUAUAUUGAUGAAGGUGGUUAAUGUGAAUAGGAAGGAUUGGUCUAUCAAGCUCCUGGAUUCCUUAUGGGCUUAUAGGACAGCUUACAAGACCAUUCUAGGAAUGUCUCCCUAUCGCCUUGUUUAUGGCAAAGCGUGUCAUCUUCCAGUAGAGAUUGAGUAUAAAGCAUGGUGGGCAAUCAAAAAGCUCAACAUGGAUUUGACAAGAGCCGGGUUAAAGAGAUGUUUGGAUUUGAAUGAAUUGGAGGAAAUGAGGAAUGAUGCAUACCUCAAUUCAAAAAUUGCAAAAGCAAGAUUGAAAAAAUGGCAUGAUCAGUUGGUAAAUCAGAAAAAUUUUACCAAAGGACAAAAAGUUUUGCUUUAUGACUCUAAACUUCAUCUCUUUCCAGGAAAGUUGAAAUCCAGGUGGACGGGUCCUUUCAUAAUUCAUGAAGUGCAUCCCAAUGGAGUGGUGGAAGUAUUCAAUCCCACAGGCAAUCAAACCUUCAAAGUUAAUGGCCAUCGUCUCAAGCCAUUCAUAGAGCCUUACAGUACAGACAAGGAGGAGAUCAACCUCCUUGAACCACCACAACUCUGAGGGAAAGCAGGGUAUCAUGGGCUAAAUAAGUCCAUGAAUUUUUUGUUAUAGUUUUAUAGUUAUAUCAUUAUUUUUAUUUCUUUUUAUUAUAAUUUUUCCUCAAUCUUAGUUUAUUUUGUCUUAAUUCAAGUCAAUUUUGAUGAUAAAUUUCAGAAAAAAAUCAUGAAAGAUGGGGAGAACUCUUCAAAAGCAAGACAGGGGAGUAAAACCAAGGAAACAGAGCACCUGAUUUCAAGGUGCGAAAAUUUCGCACACCCCAAAACCAAGGUGCGAAAUCCUCGGUCCAAAGGAGCCAUUUUCGCACACCCCAAAACCAAGGUGCGAAAUUUUGUUCAAGGUGCGAAAAAUGAUUUCAAGGUGCGAAUUCCCUAAAAACCAUUUUCGCACACCACUGUGCAAGGUGCGAAAAUUUUCGCACUAUGCGAAAUCUCCUCCUGGCACACGAGUGCCAUUUUCGCACACCUCAAGCCACUUUUCGCACCGUGCGAAACAAGGUGCGAAAAUUUCGCACACCUGAUUUCAAGGUGCGAAAAUUUCGCACACCUCAUUUUAAGGUGCGAAAUCCUCAGCUAAAGGGGUGCCAUUUUCGCACACCUAAUUUCAAGGUGCGAAAUUUGCAGGCCAAGGUGCGAAAAUUUCGCACGGUAAAAUUUUAAGUUCCAAAAAUUUUAAACGGACUUUUAAAUUAAAAUUUUACCCCCGAAAUUGUGCCUAACGUCCAAAAACGACUUUUCGGUUGCCUUGGAAAAUUUUAAAACAUCAAAAACCCCCUAAACCUCAUUCCUAUAUAAUCCCUUGAAGACCAGAAGCUCAAAGGACUCCCCCACGAACCAGCUGAGAAGCCUCUGGAAUCCCAAACAGUCGCCCACCUCCAUUUCGGCCAUGGCGAAGACCAGAGGAGGCCUUUCCGGCUCCCCAUCCUCACCGACACCUCGACCACAUCGAGCCGCCAUGGGAGCCGCAGCUUCGCCACCUGUUCAGGCCCCGGACAUUCCCCCAUCUGAGGGGGAAGCCCCUUCUCAGCGCCGAUACCCCACCAGGAGAUCACCCGCGGACCCUGUGCCACCCGCCGACCAAGCUCAGAGACCUGCUUCUCGGCCCCCUGCCAAGAGAACCAAGUUCUCGGGUCCUGGAGAGUCAGAGCCGCCUACAGAGGAGCCUCGGAUUCCUGUGGAGAUUACCCCCGAGACCCUUAUCAGGCGUCCCAUGAUAGCCGGACCACCGAUAGAGGGCAACUUGGAUUGCAGAGAUCGAUCCUUCCACUCCGAGACCUACUUUGAUAUAGAGGCCCUCAAACAGCAGCCAGAGCUCAGAGAUUCAUUCCGACUGCUGCAGAGGUAUCACAUGGAGGAUCUUCUCACUCCUAGGCAAUUCUACUAUCCCAGAGUAGUUAUAGAUUUUUAUCAAUCUAUGACUACUCGUGGCCUCCGCAAUCCUACCCUCAUCCAAUUUACCAUAGACGGACGCCAGGGUGCCAUUGGAGCUCGCCACAUUGCUGAGGCCCUCCGUAUACCUUAUGAGCCUGUGAUUCAGGCAGAUUUCAGGGAGUGGUCCUCAUUCUCUCAGAGCGACAUGGUCCGCAUUUUGUCCAGGGGGACUUCUACAACAUCAGUGUUGACUAGGAGAGAGCUUCCAUCUGGGAUGCUCCUUAUUGAUGUGCUCCUGCGUGCCAACCUUUUCCCCCUUCAGCACAAAGUUCAGAGGCGAGGAGCUAUACUUGAGGCGUUAUUUAGGAUUUCUGAGGGCUAUUUCUUCGGCCCUCAUCAUUUGAUUAUGACUUCUCUUCUUCAUUUUGAAGAGAAAGUCCAUCAGAAGAAGCUUCAAAGGGCAGAUGGCAUCCCAUUACUAUUUCCGAGGCUCCUCUACCAGAUUUUAGAGCACCUGGGCUAUCCUGAACAGCCCCGUCUUGAGAGGCGCCGCCAUUGCCGAGAGGACUUCUCUCUCGACAAAUGGCAUCACUUGGUAGCCUACUUUGCACCCCAGGGAGCCCCAGCUGUGCCUGCACCUCCAGAGCUACCCCAAGAUGAGCAGAUGCCUCAGGCCCAGCAGGAUGAGAUUCUCACAGAGACCACACCUCCUGCCCCUGCAGCACACCCCUCAGAGCAUAUUCCUGAGCCUAUACAUCCUAUUUCUCCUAUCACUUCGGGUGCUCCACCAGUCAUGCCAGCUACCCCAGCACCUCCUCUUUCAUCUGAGCCCACUGUCACCGUUUCUCUUACGGAAUUCAGAGGCUUAGAGCGUUCAUUGCGGACACUGAGCACUGCUCAGGAUUCUAUUAUCCACCAGAUGGCCACUAUUCGGGCACACCAGGAUCAGAUCAUUGCUACUCAGGCCCAGCAUACCACGAUCCUUCAUCAGAUUCAGCAACAUUUGAGUUUGCAGACACCUUUUGGGCAUGAUAGGUCUGCACCAUCCGAGCCUCUAGAGCUAGAUACGGAAAGCUUACUAGCUGAGCAGCCCAUACCAGAGGAGGAGAUCAGAGCAGAGCCAUCACAUGACACCCCUCAUAUUUGAUAUUUUUAUAUUUUACUUGUUUUUUAUUUUAGACUUGUAAAUCCCAUCUUUUGCAUGUGUUAUAAACUGGGAUUGGAAGUAUUACUUGAAAUCAUACAUUGUAUAUUUCUUUUACAAGUAAUAUAUAUAUAUAUAUAUAUAUAUAUAUAUCCUUUUUGAUUAUAUUCCCUUUUCUCAUUACUCUUUUGUCCUUGGAACAUGUGGUUUAAGGUACUCCAUACCUCCUUUACACUCAGACUUUGUCUCACUCAGGAGGUACCACUUCCUCCCUUUAUUUUUAAUUGGGGGGAGAGUUGAGAAAGGAAGUUUUGUGUUAAUACUAAGUUAUUUUGGUAUUUUUAGUUGAUUUUGGUAUUUUUAGUUGAUUUUUGCUUAAAAUUUAAAAUUUUUAAAAGUUUUUUGAAUCAUUCUCUAUGGUUGUUAAAGAUAAUUUCUCAAAAAUAAAAUAGGAUAAGUCGAGUUUUAACUUAAUUAUUUAAGUCUUAGAGUUUGUUUUAUGCUUUCAAAGUUGAUAAUCUAUUGAAGCCUCUUUGAUUUAGAACUUUCUUCUUCCAUUUCAAGCUUUACACACACUGUGCACAUUAGAUCCCGGAUAUAUGAUGUAAAACUUUCUACCUUCUAAGCUUAGAAAAAUUUUGACUUGGUUCAUUACUUAACCUCUCUUUAAUAGUGUUGGAACACCUCAUAAAGACCAAUGAGUCUUUGAAAAAAAAAAAAAAAAAAAAAAGAAGAAUAAGCUUCUAUUCUUUCCUUGAAACCUAAGCAUGAUCCGAAGGGGUAGCGAAAGCCUUUAAAACCCGAUGCCCUAAACCUUGAUUGGUUGGGAGUCAUCGAUCCUCUGCUUGCUACAUAGGUGAAUUGGUUAAGAUUAGUGAGUAAAAAGAAUUGUGAAUAAGAAGGUGUGUUCCUAACCUAUUAAGAGUUGAUUAAUUUUGCCAAUGUUCGAGAAAAGCUUAGGUUGGAGGGUGAGGAUAGUUGUAUAUACUAUAUCCGGAAGCUAAUCUCGUUAACACUUAGCUUAUUAUGGAAGAGUUUGAUUUGGAACCUUGAGAGUAGAGAUUCUUUUGAUACCUAAUUGCAUAAUCUCCACUCUUUGUACUUUUUGUUUAAGUUUUAAGCUUUGAUAACUCCUGUUGCAUUUUGAAUCUUCAUAUCUUUAGUUAGCCAGGUGAGAUGAGUUUGGAUAUCAGUCAUGCCUCUCAAUUAUUUUUUGGAAAUGAAUUGCAUGACCUCUUUUAUGUAUAUUAUUACGUUUGCUUAGUUUUUCUCUCCUUAAUUGCUAAGGGACUAGCAAUAUGUCGGUUGGGGGGAGUGAUUACUACUCAAAACAUGCUAUUUUGUAGCUUGUAAUUAGCUCUUUUAAACACCCUUGAGUAGUAAUUAUUACCUUUUAACCCAAUUAACAUGUUAAGGACCCUUGCAAUCCGUUUCUAACAAUUAUGUUAAGUUUUGGUGCUUUUUGAUAGCUUUAUGCUCACCAAAGCAAUUUAAGAAUGAGGGAGAGCUAUUUAUAGUUCAUGGCAAAGCUUUUGAAAGCUUAAAUUUAUGAAGAAAUCAAGCUAUGGAGCCUCAUAAUCCUUUGCCUUAUUCGUUCAAAGUAUACAAGGAAGAAACAAUGGAGAAGAGGAAAACAGGGGAUGAAAACAGGGGACACAGCUGCAGUCUUUCAUCGCACUUUUGGAGCACUUUCCGAAGUCCAUUUUUUACAUUCUAUAUACCAUUUCAAAGCUCAGAAAGUCAAGAAUCCAACGGUUCAAACCAUGUACGAUUUGGAGCUGAAAUGAGAAAGAUAUGGCGUUCGGAAGACAACUGCAUCAAGCUGAGGGACAAUUUCGCACACCACUGUGCAAGGGUGCGAAUUCCUCAGUCCACUGUGCGAGAAUUUCGCACACCUCAAAUCAAGGUGCGAAAUUGGAACUCCAGCGUGCAAAAAUUGGAUAUUUUUGCCGACUCUUUUUCUUCUGAUAUUUUUGUGUCUAAAUUUCCAUUUUCUCCUUGUAUUCAACCAUUCAUGUAAUUCCUUAGCUAGGAAGUAUCCAAGGAAGGGUAAAAUUACCUUCCUAUAUAAAUUCUCUUGUAAUCACUGAAAAGGAUCUUCGGAGCUUUCUCCAGGAGACCAACUGAUGUAAAUUUGAUACUUAGUGAAAUACAGAGAUCUCUUUUGUUUUCUUUUUCUCUCUUCUAUUUUCUAUUUCCUUGCAAGCCAAACACCCUCUGAGGAUGUUUUCCCAGAGGAUGAGAGGCUAAACAUUUAGUUUCUUGGAGUAAAGGAAGCUAGGUGAAAAGUCCAGAUUAAAACAUGGAAAGUUUCCGUGCAUUAAAUUCAGGUAGUUGGAGUCCAUAAAUGGUUUAUAAAGCCAAGGUUUUGCCUUAAAUUCCUUUGAAUCACUUUGAAUGGCCAAUACAUGGUAAGCUUAAGGUCUCUGUGGAUGCUUAUUGCUAGAUCCAUAUCAGUCCAUUAGUUAUCAUGUACGAGCCAUUGGAAAGUGAUUCAAGGUGAUAGCCCAUCUAAGCCAUUAAUGGACCUUGACUACCAUCUCUAGUGACUUUUUAUGGAUUAAAACUUCAUUGUCAAACCUAUACCGGUUCGGGAAAUAACUAUAGGUUAAAUCCCCAAUGCGAGGAGAAAAAUCCGGAAUUUUCCACUUUGCAUCUGGCACUUGAACCUAGCAACCUUCAGCUCCGGGAGACUUUCUUUCUUACACUUUUUACUUAGUUCUAUGUGAGUUUAGUUUAAAUCACCACUUUCAAAACAAUUUUAUUUUCUUUUAAAUUUCAAGUUUGUGCUAAAGGAAAUCAUUAGAAUCAAUUUCUAAUUUAGAGUCUGUCACUGAUAAAGUGAAAACCCAUCCCUGAGUUCGACCCUAGAACUACUAUACUAUAGUAGCUUUGCUACGCCAGUAUAAGGUCAUAGGUUUUAUAAAUGUUUUUGAUUAAAAGACCCGGCUGGGCAUCGAAUCAUGUCUUAAGCAUAUGACUGUAAUAUGUGUUGUUGAAGGAUGCCCUUGGAAAGUAACUGCUCGUGCUGUUGGGAGAACAAAAAUAGUUCAAGUGCAUACAUUUAUAAAUGAACAUAACCACUCUUUAGAAGAUGUGUCAAUUUCCGAACCAGUAGUUCGUUGUAAUCGAGCCACAGCUAUGAUUGAUGAUGUUAUUCGUUCAAAUCCAGAUUACUUACCCCGUCAAAUAUGUAAAGACUUUCGUCGACAAUACGGAAUGCAAUUGAAUUAUUGUCAAGCAUGGAACUUGAAAGAGAAGGCUAAAGAACGAAUUCAUGGUGUGCUGCAAUGUUCAUAUAAGUUGUUACCUUGGUUAUGUACAAGGCUUAUUGAAACAAAUCCAGGGACGAUUGCUGAAUAUAGAUGUUCGGAUGAUGGUCAUUUUAUGCAAUUGUUUGUUGCCCUUUCAGUGUCAAUUCAUGGGUUUCAACUAGGAUGUCGGCCUAUUAUAUCAAUAGAUUCAUCCCACAUGAGUGGGCCAUACAAGGGUGCUUUAUUUUCAGCUUCUUCCUAUGAUGCUGACGAUGACAUGUUUCCACUUGCUUAUGGCUUAUUUAGCUCUGAGAAUUACGAGGAUUAACUUUGGUUUUUAGAGAAAUUGAAUAUGGUCAUAGGUGAAAGAGAUGUUAUAAUAAUAUCUGAUAGGCACAAAAGGAUUAUCCGUAGUGUUUCAGAGGUAUUUGGUAGUGAAAACCAUGCACAUUGCUAUCGUCACAUUAAAGAAAACUUCAGUAGCUUUCUAACAAAGCUAAACACUAAAGGGAGGAAAGGAAAGGAAAAUGCUUUGCAAAUGCUUGAUUCUAUCGCCUAUGUUAGGUUAGAUUGUGAUUAUGAGGUUGCAAUGGAUACUUUAAGGACAUUUAAUCAUGAUUUGGCGAAGUGGGUUGAAGAAAAUAACCCUCAACAUUGGGCAAUCUCUAAAUUUAAGAAGAUGCGUUGGGAUAAGAUGACAAGUAAUUUGGCCGAGUCUUUCAAUUCUUGGUUAAGACAUGAACGACACCAUAACAUUUGUGUUUUCUUCAUCGAGCAUAUGGAUAAGUUAGGAUCUCUUUUAGUCAAGCAUAAAAAUGGACUUGUAAAAUGGAAUGGGUGUAUUGGUCCUAAAACAGAAGAAAAGAUUGCAUUGAACAUUGGAAAAGGUGAAAAUUAUAUCACUUAUUUACACUUAGGUAGUUCGAUGAAAGUAUCCAAUGGAAAAGCAUUCCUGGAAGUGGACUUAAUGGAGCGAACUUGCACAUGUAAAGCAUGGCAAAUGUCUGGAAUCCCAUGUGAUCAUGCUUGUGCAGCUAUACGGCGAAUGGGGUUUGAUGUAUCUGAUUAUGUUGAUGACUGGUAUAAGUACAAUUUGCAAGAGAAGAUAUACUCUGGAAGCAUGCGUACUUUGGUAACGCAUGACAUGCCAAUGAUUGAUGAAGAUGGAACCGUUCGUGAUGCCUUGGGUCAUACUUAUCCCUUUCUUAAUCCUCCAACCACAAAGCGACCUCCUGGAAGACCUAGGAAACGUCGAAUCGAGUCUCAAUUCAUGUAAAAAAAAACAAUUCAUUGUUCUCAUUGUAAUUAGCCUGGGCAUAAUCGUGCGACAUGUAACAACCCAUUGCUGUAAGUUUUUUUUUAUUAAACUUCAUAAUGUAAGAUCGACUUUAUAUUAGUAUGAAAUAGUUUGGUAAUCUUCGUUACUGUUUCAUUGAUUAUAAGCAAUGAGUAAUUUAUUGGAUUUGAAGUGUUUGGUGUACAUAUAUUGUGAUUGUAUGUUGUUCUUCAAUAUUAUGGGAUAUGUUACAUGAUAAUGUAAUUGUAAUAGAAAAAUAUGUACCUUGGUCAUUAUUGUUCAAAGAUGGCAUUGAAGUGACAUAGAUUCAUAUGGCGUCCUUGGCAAAAAAACGAGAUUGUUAACUAGUGGGCAUAAUCGUGGCGAACCUUUACAUGUAGGGGCUGCUACUUUUUGGCUGAUGACCCUUAAGCAUAUUAUUUAGUUUUGUGUGAAAUGGGCAGUAGCCAAAAUAAGGUUGUGCCUAUUAGAUCAUAGGCAACCCUAUCGUUUUUCAUCUUUAAAAUUGGUUUCGUGUUAUGUGAGGUGUCUGUAAAAGGGAGGUUGAACCAUUAACACCAUGGGAAGACAUUCGAACAUUAGUUUAGUAUGUUAUGUGUAGAAGGCAAUCUAGGGGCGCACCUUCCAUUUGAAAGGCAUGCCUAUGUGUUAAUGAUAUUAUAUAACUAUACUACAUGCAGAAGGCAAAGCAGGGGUGCACCCUUGGUUGCAUAGGUAUGCCCAUGGGUAUGAUAACUUUAUUGGGAAAUUCUAUAUGCAGUAUGCAAAGUAGGGGCACACCCUUGAUUUUAGGGGCAUGCCUAUUGCUAAAACCAUUAUAUUGGUAGGCUAUGUGCAGUAGUCAACCUAAGAGCAAAACCUUGAUGGAAGACACAUAAAUGUGGGUGAAAAACUUCUUUUUGUUAAGCUACUUGCAGUAGGAAAAAGAAAGACAUGACUCUCUAUCAGAGGCAUGCCUUUAGGAUGACUAGAGUUGAGGUGUGGGUUGGGCAGUAAGGCAAAUGGAGGCAUACUGAUAGCUUAAAGGUUGGCCCUUGAUGUUCAUAUGAAAUAAACGUUGGAAAUGAUUCCUUGUUGAUUCAAAAUCAUAGAUUUUUUCUAAAAAUUUAAUUGUUCAAUUUUUAAUUUAUUUUUUAUUAUCUUAAUUUUUUUAACUACUUUUUUUAUUUAGCUCAUUAAUAAUUUUUUUUUAUUUAUCCGUUUACUUUUAUUUAAUUUCAAAAUUUUGUAUUUUUAAAUAUUACAAAAAUAGUUGUGCUUAGAAUAUGUUACAAUAUAACAAAAAAUAUAAUGAAGUCCUAAUAUUUUAUAACUAAAAAUUAAUUUGAUUAGAUAAAUGAUUAAUAAUUUUAAUUAUUUAAAUAAAUUAAUUUUAAUAGAAAAAUUGCCACCACAUAUUUGUAAUAAAUUUUUAGAAAUCAUAUCUCAAAUCAAAUAUUUGAUAUAAAUCAAUUUAGUUUUUAUUUAAAAUUUAAUAAAAUAUAUUUUAAUAAAAGUAUUUUUUAAUUUUAAAAUAAAUAACUUAAAUAUAUUAAAUGUAAUUAUGACCCAUCCAUGCUCAGAUGGGGGUCCCGGAAUCACUAGACUUGGAUGUACCAAAUUCAAUGAAGGAUGUACCAAAUUUAAUUAAGGAUGUACCAAAUUUUGUUAAAGAUGUACUAAGGGCUCCAAAGUGUGAUACGAAGUGGGGAUCGGCUCCAAAUCACUCUGUUAUGGGUUUCUAAAUAAAAUAGUGGCUCAUCCAUGGUCAGAAGAGGGUCCCGCAAUCACUAAGCUCGGAUAGACCAAAUUUAAUGAAGGAUGUACCAAAUUUUGUGAAGGAUGUACCAAGGGUUCGAAAAUGCGUUCCGAAGUGGGGAUCGACCCCCAAUCACUUUGUUAUGGGUUUCUUAAAGAAAUUACAGACCAUCCAUGUUGAAAUGGGGGUCUCAGAAUCUAUCGGAUCGGAUGUACCAAAUUUAAUGAAGGAUGUACCAAAUUUUGUGAAGGAUGUACCAAAUUUUGUGAAUGAUGUACCAAGGGUCCAAAAAUGCUUUCCGAAGUGGGGAUCGGCCCCAAAUCACUUUGUUUUGGGUUUUUAAAUGAAAUAGUGGCUCAUCCACGGUCAGAAGAGGGUCCCGGAAUCACUAGGAUCGGAUAUACCAAAUUUUGUGAAGGAUGUAACAAGGGUCCGAAAAUGCGUUCCGAAGUGGGGAUCGACCCCCAAUCACUUUGUUAUGGGUUUCUAAAUGAAAUUAUCGACCAUCCAUGUUGAAAUGGGGGUCUCAGAAUCUGUCGGAUCGGAUGUACCAAAAUUUAAUGAAGGAUGUACCAAAUUUUGUGAAGGAUGUACCAAAUUUUGUGAAUGANNNNNNNNNNNNNNNNNNNNNNNNNNNNNNNNNNNNNNNNNNNNNNNNNNNNNNNNNNNNNNNNNNNNNNNNNNNNNNNNNNNNNNNNNNNNNNNNNNNNGGGAUCGACCCCCAAUCACUUGUUAUGGGUUUCUAAAGAAAUUACAGACCAUCCAUGUUGAAAUGGGGGUCUCAGAUCUAUCGGAUCGGAUGUACCAAAUUUAAUGAAGGAUGUACCAAAUUUUGUGAAGGAUGUACCAAAUUUUGUGAAUGAUGUACCAAGGGUCCAAAAAUGCUUUCCGAAGUGGGGAUCGGCCCCAAAUCACUUUGUUUUGGGUUUUUAAAUGAAAUAGUGGCUCAUCCACGGUCAGAAGAGGGUCCCGGAAUCACUAGGAUCGGAUAUACCAAAUUUUGUGAAGGAUGUAACAAGGGUCCGAAAAUGCGUUCCGAAGUGGGGAUCGACCCCCAAUCACUUUGUUAUGGGUUUCUAAAUGAAAUUAUGGACCAUCCAUGUUGAAAUGGGGGUCUCAGAAUCUGUCGGAUCGGAUGUACCAAAUUUAAUGAAGGAUGUACCAAAUUUUGUGAAGGAUGUACCAAAUUUUGUGAAUGAUGUACCAAGGGUCCAAAAAUGCUUUCCGAAGUGGGGAUCGGCCCCAAAUCACUUUGUUUUGGGUUUUUAAAUGAAAUAGUGGCUCAUCCACGGUCAGAAGAGGGUCCCGGAAUCACUAGGAUCGGAUAUACCAAAUUUUGUGAAGGAUGUAACAAGGGUCCGAAAAUGCGUUCUGAAGUGGGGAUCGACCCCCAAUCACUUUGUUAUGGGUUUCCUAAAGAAAUUAUGGACCAUCCAUGUUGAAAUGGGGGUCUUGGAAUCUGUCGGAUCGGAUGUACCAAAUUUAAUGAAGGAAGGAUGUACCAAAUUUUGUGAAUGAUGUACCAAGGGUCCAAAAAUGCUUUCCGAAGCGGGGAUCAACCCCAAAUCACUUUGUUAUGGGUUUUUAAAUGAAAUAGUGGCUCAUCCACGGUCAGAAGAGGGUCCAAGAAUCACUAGGAUCGGAUGUACCAAAUUUUGUGAAGGAUAUACCAAGGGUCCGAAAAUGCGUUCCGAAGUGGGGAUCGACCCCCAAUCACUUUGUUAUGGGUUUCUUAAAGAAAUUACAGACCAUCCAUGUUGAAAUGGGGGUCUCGGAAUCUAUCGGAUCGGAUGUACCAAAUUUAAUGAAGGAUGUACCAAAUUUUGUGAAGGAUGUACCAAAUUUUGUGAAUGAUGUACCAAGGGUCCAAAAAUGCUUUCCGAAGUGGGGAUCGGCCCCAAAUCACUUUGUUUUGGGUUUUUAAAUGAAAUAGUGGCUCAUCCACGGUCAGAAGAGGGUCCCGGAAUCACUAGGAUCGGAUAUACCAAAUUUUGUGAAGGAUGUAACAAGGGUCCGAAAAUGCGUUCCGAAGUGGGGAUCGACCCCCAAUCACUUUGUUAUGGGUUUUUAAAUGAAAUUAUGGACCAUCCAUGUUGAAAUGGGGGUCUCGGAAUCUGUCGGUUCGGAUGUACCAAAUUUAAUGAAGGAUGUACCAAAUUUUGUGAAGGAUGUACCAAAUUUUGUGAAUGAUGUACCAAGGGUCCAAAAAUGCUUUCCGAAGUGGGGAUCGACCCCAAAUCACUUUGUUAUGGGUUUUUAAAUGAAAUAGUGGCUCAUCCACGGUCAGAAGAGGGUCCCGGAAUCACUAGGAUCGGAUGUACCAAAUUUUGUGAAGGAUGUACCAAGGGUCCGAAAAUGCGUUCCAAAGUGGGGAUCGACCCCCAAUCACUUUGUUAUGGGUUUCUUAAAGAAAUUACUGACCAUCCAUGUUGAAAUGAGGGUCUCGAAAUCUGUCGGAUCGGAUGUACCAAAUUUAAUGAAGGAUGUACCAAAUUUUGUGAAGGAUGUACCAAAUUUUGUGAAGGAUGUACCAAGGGUCCAAAAAUGCUUUUCGAAGUGGGGAUCGACCCCCAAUCACUUUGUUAUGGGUUUCUAAAUGAAAUUAUGGACCAUCCAUGUUGAAAUGGGGGUCUCGGAAUCUGUCGGAUCGGAUGUACCAAAUUUAAUGAAGGAUGUACCAAAUUUUGUGAAGGAUGUACCAAAUUUUGUGAAUGAUGUACCAAGGGUCCAAAAAUGCUUUCCGAAGUGGGGAUCGACCCCAAAUCACUUUGUUAUGGGUUUUUAAAUGAAAUAGUGGCUCAUCCACGGUCAGAAGAGGGUCCCGGAAUCACUAGGAUCGGAUGUACCAAAUUUUGUGAAGGAUGUACCAAGGGUCCGAAAAUGCGUUCCGAAGUGGGGAUCGACCCCCAAUCACUUUGUUAUGGGUUUCUUAAAGAAAUUACAGACCAUCCAUGUUGAAAUGGGGGUCUCGGAAUCUGUCGGAUCGGAUGUACGAAAUUUAAAGAAGGAUGUACCAAAUUUUGUGAAGGAUGUACCAAAUUUUGUGAAUGAUGUACCAAGGGUCCAAAAAUGCUUUCUGAAGCGGGGAUCGGCCCCAAAUCACUUUGUUAUGGGUUUUUAAAUUAAAUAGUGGCUCAUCCACGGUCAGAAGAGGGUCCCGGAAUCACUAGGAUCGGAUGUACCAAAUUUUGUGAAGGAUGUACCAAAGGUCCGAAAAUGCGUUCCGAAGUGGGGAUCGACCCCCNNNNNNNNNNNNNNNNNNNNNNNNNNNNNNNNNNNNNNNNNNNNNNNNNNNNNNNNNNNNNNNNNNNNNNNNNNNNNNNNNNNNNNNNNNNNNNNNNNNNGGGACCUCAUCUGACCGUGGAUGAGCCACUGUUUCAUUUAAAAACCCAAAACAAAGUGAUUGGGGUCGAUCCCCACUUUAGAAAGCAUUUUUGGACCCUUGGUACAUCAUUCACAAAAUUUGGUACAUCCUUCACAAAAUUUGGUACAUCCUUCAUUAAAUUUGGUACAUCCGAUCCGACAGAUUCCGAGACCCACAUUUCAACAUGGAUGGUCCAUAAUUUCAUUUAGAAACCCAUAACAAAGUGAUUGGGGGUCGAUCCCCACUUCGGAGUGCAUUUUCGGACCCUUGGUAUAUCCUUCACAAAAUUUGGUACAUCCGAUCCUAGUGAUUCUGGAACCCUCUUCUGACCGUGGAUGAGCCACUAUUUCAUUUAAAAACCCAUAACAAAGUGAUUUGGGGUCGAUCCCCACUUCGGAAAGCAUUUUUGGACCCUUGGUACAUCAUUCACAAAAUUUGGUACAUCCUUCACAAAAUUUAGUAUAUCCUUCAUUAAAUUUGGUAAAUCCGAACCGACAGAUUCCGAGACCCCCAUUUCAACAUGGAUGGUCCAUAAUUUCAUUUAGAAACCCAUAACAAAGUGAUUGGGGGUCGAUCCCCACUUCGAAAAGCAUUUUUGGACCCUUGGUACAUCAUUCACAAAAUUUGGUACAUCCUUCACAAAAUUUGGUAUAUCCUUCAUUAAAUUUGGUACAUCCGAUCCGACAGAUUCCGAGACCCCCAUUUCAACAUGGAUGGUCUGUAAUUUCUUUAGGAAACCCAUAACAAAGUGAUUGGGGGUCGAUCCCCACUUCGGAACGCAUUUUCGGACCCUUGGUACAUCCUUCACAAAAUUUGGUACAUCCGAUCCUAGUGAUUCCGGGACCCUCAUCUGACCGUGGAUGAGCCACUGUUUCAUUUAAAAACCCAAAACAAAGUGAUUUGAGGUCGAUCCCCACUUUAGAAAGCAUUUUUGGACCCUUGGUACAUCAUUCACAAAAUUUGGUACAUCCUUCACAAAAUUUGGUACAUCCUUCAUUAAAUUUGGUACAUCCGAUACGACAGAUUCCGAGACCCACAUUUCAAAAUGGAUGGUCCAUAAUUUCAUUUAGAAACCCAUAACAAAGUGAUUGGGGGUCGAUCCCCACUUCGAAAAGCAUUUUUGGACCCGUGGUACAUCAUUCACAAAAUUUGGUACAUCCUUCACAAAAUUUGGUAUAUCCUUCAUUAAAUUUGGUACAUCCGAUCCGACAGAUUCCGAGACCCCCAUUUCAACAUGGAUGGUCUGUAAUUUCUUUAAGAAACCCAUAACAAAGCUAUUGGGGGUCGAUCCCCACUUCGGAACGCAUUUUCGGACCCUUGGUACAUCCUUCACAAAAUUUGGUACAUCUGAUCCUAGUGAUUCCGGGACCCUCUUCUGACCGUGGAUGAGCCACUAUUUCAUUUAAAAACCCAUAACAAAGUGAUUUGGGGCCGAUCCCCGCUUCGGAAAGCAUUUUUGGGCCCUUGGUACAUCAUUCACAAAAUUUGGUACAUCCUUCACAAAAUUUGGUACAUCGUUCAUUAAAUUUCAUACAUCCGAUCCGACAGAUUCCGAGACCCCCAUUUCAACAUGGAUGGUCCAUAAUUUCUUUAGGAAACCCAUAACAAUGUGAUUGGGGGUCGAUCCCCACUUUGGAACGCAUUUUCGGACCCUUGGUACAUCCUUCACAAAAUUUGAUAUAUCCGAUCCUAGUGAUUCCGGGACCCUCUUCUGACCCUUGAUGAGCCUCUUUUUCAUUUAAAAACCCAAAACAAAGUGAUUUGGGGCCAAUCCCCCCUUCGGAAAGCAUUUUUGGACCCCUGAUACAUCAUUCACAAAAUUUGGUACAUCCUUCACAAAAUUUGGUACAUCCUUCAUUAAAUUUGGUACAUCCGAUUCGACAGAUUCCGAGACCCCCAUUUCAACAUGGAUGAUCCAUAAUUUCAUUUAGAAACCCAUAACAAAGUGAUUGGGGGUCGAUCCCCACUUCGAAAAGCAUUUUUGGACCCUUGGUACAUCCUUCAGAAAAUUUGGUACAUCCUUCACAAAAUUUGGUACAUCCUUCAUUAAAUUUGGUACAUCCGAUCCGACAGAUUCCGAGACCCCCAUUUCAACAUGGAUGGUCCAUAAUUUCUUUAGAAACCCAUAACAAAGUGAUUGGGGGUCGAUCCCCACUUCGGUACGCAUUUUCGGACCAUUGGUACAUCCUUCACAAAAUUUGGUACAUCCUUCAUUAAAUUUGGUACAUCUGACCCUAGUGAUUCCGGUACUGAUUACUACCAAAAAGUGCUAUUUUGUAGACCUAAUUAUAAUGGUUUUAAGCACCUUUGAGUAGUAAUCAUAUUCAUUUAACCCAAUUAAUUCAUUAAGGUCCUUAGUAAUUGGUUUUAACCAUUUUGUGGCAAGUUUACAUGUUUUUAUCAGCUUAUGAAUCAAUUCAAGCAUGCCAAAUGAUUGAGGAGAGUUAUUUGGAAUCCAUGGCAAAGCAAUGAAGAGCUCAAAUUCAUGAAGAAACUAAGCUUUGGAGCCUCAUAGUCCUUUGCCUUAGUCGUUCAAAGUAUGCAAGGAAAGAGCACUGGAGAGAGGAAAAACAGAGUGAAGAAAACAGAGGACAGCAGCUGCAGUCUUCUUGUGCACUUUUGGAGCACUUCCCGAAGUCCAUUUUCUACAUCCUAUAUACCAUUUCAAAGCUCAGAAGUCAAGAAUCCAACGCUUCAAACCGUGUACAUUUGGAGCUGAAAUGGNGGAAGUAUAAGCCUUUGGAAGAUGACUGCNNNNNNNNNNNNNNNNNNNNNNNNNNNNNNNNNNNNNNNNNNNNNNNNNNNNNNNNNNNNNNNNNNNNNNNNNNNNNNNNNNNNNNNNNNNNNNNNNNNNGUUCAGCUUGUUGAUGCGAAAAUAUUUCGCAACCCUCUUGAGUGUCUGCGAAAUCUCGCAGANACCAUUUUUCACUUGCGAAAUGUUCCUUGGAGCUUCUCGAUAUUUGCCACCGACUCUUUUGGAUAUUUUUCUUCAGAUAUUUUUGUAUAAAUUUCCAUUUUCUCCUUGUAUUCAGCCACUCAUGUAAUUCCUUAACUAGGAAGUAUCCAAGGAAGGCUAAAUUACCUUCCUAUAUAAACUCUCAGAUCAUGUAAUCCAUCAAUCAAUAUAUAGAAUAUACAGAGCCUUGCUCUGUUUUUCCUUCUCUUUCAUUUUUCAUUUCUUUUUAUUUCUAGCCAACCAAACUUUGAGGAUUUUUCCUCAAAGGAUGAGAGGCUAAGCUUUUUGUCUCUUGGAGUGAGGAAAGCCGGGUAAGUUUCCACAUGCAUAAUUUGGAAGUUUUGUUGUUUUAGUUUUUAAUGAAGAGAAAGUGUAACCCGUUAGUGAUUUCUAUGUUUUUAGUUAACUUAAAACACCUUAGAGUCAUCUGGGCCAACACUUGGUAAGGCAAGUGAUUUCCAACCAUGGAAAUGCACUAGUUUACCCCUUGUGAGCCUUUGGGAGGUGACUUAAAGGUAGGAUUUUUUAGAAUAGCCAACACUUGGUAAGCUUUUGGACUCCAAGGAGACAUCCAUUAGUUAUCUCUUGCGAGCUUUUGACGGGAAGUCCAAGGUUAAAGAUCAUCUUGAAUGGCAAGUGCUAGGUGAGAGGUAUGAGCCAUUGCAAGAUGCAUCAGUGAGAGGGAUUUAGUGUUUGAACCCAUUAAUGGGAAGCAUCUGUACAACACCGGUUAGAGAAUUAACUAUAUGUUAAUUCUCUAAUGCGAGGAAAAGAAACAAGUGACCGGAACUCCCUUUUUGUAUGAGGAAUCUGAGCCUAGUGAUCUGAACUCCAAGAAACAUCUUUUCUUUAUAAGUAAAAUCAGUUACUAUUUUUGGUUAGUUUAAAACCAAACCUUUUUCAUUCAAACAUCUCUAUGUUUUCUUUUAAAGCUAACCUUGAAAUGAAAAGGCACCAAUUCAACUUUGAAUUAACAUCAUUUGUGAAGUGAAAACUCAUCCCAGUGAACGAUCCUAGAGCCACUAUGCUAUAGUAGCUUUGUCUUUGCUACCCUAGUAUAUGGUGUAAUAGGUUAUAAAUUUUGUUGAUUAAUCCCUCAAUCAAGGAGCACCAGCUGGACACAAAUCAGCUGAGACACCAAUUGGGCACGAAUCAGGUACCCCCUUAGUGCCAUGGAUGGACCAUAAUUUAAUUUGGCAACCCAUAAGUGAUUUAUUUCAAAAUUUAAAAAAUACUUUUAUUAAAACAUAUUUUAUUACAUUUUAAAUAAAAAGUAAAUUGAUUUAUAUCAAAUAUUUGAUUUGAGAUAUGAUUUCUAAAAAUAUAUUACAAAUAUGUGGUGACAAUUUUUCAAUUAAAAUUCAUGUAUUUAAAUAAUUAAAAUUAUUAAUCAUUUAUCUAAUCAAAUUAAUUUUAAGUUAUAAAAUAUUAGGACUUCAUCAUUUUUUUUGUAGCAAAUUCUGAGUACAACUAUUUUUGUAAUAUUUAAAAAUACAAAAUUUUGAAAUUAAAUAAAAUUAAACGGGUAAAUAAAAAAAGUAGUUAAAAAAAUAAAGAUAAUGUAAAAUAGAAUGAUAAUAUAAUUUUGAAAUAAAGUAUUAGGUAAUGACAACGUUUUUUUUGUAGGAAUGAGCAUGAAGGAAAACUAUGGCCACCGCCUUCAUGUCAUACACAUCCCCAAUGGUAUUAUAAACUUUGGAAUCUUAUGUUAUAUGCAAUACACAAAAUAAGGGCCCACCCUUUAUUUCACAGGCAUGCCUAUGUGUCGAAGAUGCCAUGUGCAGUAGCCAAAUUAGGGGCAGACCUUUCAUAUGACAUGCAUGCAAGUGGGUGAAAACCUAAUCGUAGUUAUUAUUUGUGCACUAUCAAAAAGAUAAGCAUGCCCUUGUGCAGGUGGCAUGCCUUCAUAGUGACUUUAUCUUACUUGUUGAUUGGACAGUGUGGUCAUGGGAGGCAGACCCAACACAUGAAGGGUUGGCCCUACACAUUCACAUUGAAAUAAAAUGUAUGGAUAAUUGAUUCAUAUGUGUUAAAGCCUAAAAUAUAGAGUCAAUACAUACUAAGAUUGGAAAAUAGGCAAAAUGUCAUUCAGACAUUCAAAAUAACUUAAACCAACCUCAUAACUAGCAUCACAUUUACACAUAAAUAUUGCAUAGAGUGUUGACAAUUGGUGCAAGAGAGUAUAAAGUUUACUGAUGAUUAAUGAAAGCAUGCAUAUUGAUAAGCAUUGGAAAGCGUUAAAGUAAAAGGAGUUAAGAAGUUGUUUGAGAACGAGAUUUUAUAAACUUAUUACAAAAUCCAUGAAAAUGUUGUGCGCACACAUACGCAUUCGAUUGUAAGACGGAUAGAAAGUAAGGUUACUCCUCUUCAUUAGUCGGUGCAUCUUCGUCUUCUUCAUCUCCACCAUCAUCAUCACCAUCUUCCUCGUCAUCUGUCUGUGAUGGCGUAGGAGGUAGAGCAUCAGGGUGCAAUGCUUUCCAUGCUGCAAUGGAACGAUCGCAUUGUUGACGCACAAUCUUCAAUUGAUUGUUCAUUGAUUUGCACAUUGGGUAAAUAUCCCCAAGCUGAGAACUUUUAGUUGACCUACGCGACGAAGAGGAUGAUGUUUGUUUGUCUAUCGACAUUUUCAUGCGCAUAGGUUGCAUGCGCGGGAUUGACUCAUAAGGUAGUGUCUUGAAAUCCAACCCUGCAUUUUGUAAAAGCAAGCAAACAGUUGAACCAUAUGGUAAUGCACGUGUGCUCACAUUACUACGCCGUGCCUCUAUCAUGUUAUGGCAAAUAAGUGCGGGCAAAUUAAUUUUACUGCGACGUGCCAUGUGAAACAGAAUAUGCAGAACAUAUAGUGUAAGCUCAUUAAGAUGACCCUUCUUAUUCAAGACAGUAUGAAACAAUAUCAGACUUAGAAUCCUGUAUUUUGGAAGUAGAGAUCUAUGUUCAACGCUUGUACCCAACUGAAAACAAUGGCCGCAUAAUUCCUUUGUUAUUGUGUCUGACAUUGCCUUGAUAUCAAUCUCUGGAAUACAAAAGUUAAUAGCUUUCUUGGGUGUUUCCAAAGAGAAGGUGCGUCCAAUAAGGGAUGGGGAAACCCGCACAGCAACUCCCUUGAAUGAAGUGUGAAAUGAAUAUUUCUCCUCGUCAACAUUUCUGAUAUUGUUGUAGAAUGCUCGCACAGGAGUUGGAUAACAUUCUUGCGUUAGCUGUAUAAAUGGUCUCAAUUUGUAAAAAUCUAGUAACUCAGCAACGCCAUGUUCUUCAAACCCAGCAAUUAGUAUGACACGCUCAAUGGCAAUUGGUCGUUUUGCUAUGAGCUUAUCACAUUCGUGCUCAUCAGGUGGGUGGCGAGGCAUGAAAGGGUCAUGUUGGACUUCCUCAGGUACAGUUGACGUUGAGCCAUGUCUAACCUUCUUUUUAGGCGGCAUGAUGUUUGGUCCUUGUAAUGGCACUACAUAUUGUUAAAAAUUCAGUGAUGGAAGUUAGAGAUGAAAAGUUUCAAUUCAUUGCAUCCAAGCCAACCACAAAUAGCUUAAAAAGGAAUUCAAGCAACUCCCAAAAGAGUGGUUGCCACAACCAAGAGAAAAUAUGUGCAGAAAACAAUGAAAAACAAACCUUAUUGUUGUUGUUAUUGUAGCAAAUUGUUGACGAUUAUGCCAGUGAAAAUCUUACAGUGAAAUGGUAGAGUAGCUAAAAUGGAGGAAUGGGUGGGUGGAAGAGGGAGGUUGUGAUGUGCAACGUGUAUAGUAGAAAAUGAGGUGUAAAUGGGAAUGAAUAUGAGUUGUUGAGGAUGUGAUGUCAACCAAACUGAGUAAAUGGUUGAAGUUGGAAUGGAGGUCCGCCUAUGCACGAGAUGUGGCUAGUACAUACAUGCAUUUAAUGUUCCAUAAUGAGUGCAUAGUUACAAGUCACUAAAAUUGGAUGGGAUGAAACAACGUGAAUGAAGUCUUCUACAAGCCUACAAUUGGAGACUAUCAUUAUGUGGAGUGAAUGUGAAGUUAUUAUGUGGUAGGUGCAUCAUAAAUAUUGGUAAUAUGAAGUCUUCUACAAGCCUACAAUUGAAGACUAUCAUUAUGUGGAGUGAAUGUGAAGUUAUUAUGUGGUAGGUGCAUCAUAAAUAUUGGUAAUAUGUUGACCUCUAGUUAUUAAAUGUCCACUGUGGUACAAUCAAAUCAAAUGCAACAAAAGUUUUUCAAGUUUUUGUUCUCGUUGACAUAAAAUGGCCAAAUAUUUAUCGAAUAAGUGUAAUGUAGUUGAUACAAGUAUGAAUAAAUAUAAUAUUUAUUAAAUUUUUAUAAGAAAAGUAGCAUUAAUUGAUUUAAUAUAUUUAAGAGAUUUAUUUUUAAAUUAAAAAAUACGUAUAUUAAAACAUAUUUUAUGACAUUCUAAAUACUUUAAAAAAUGUAUCAUUAAAUUAUUAAAAAUGCUAAAAAAAACUUUCACAAUUGACAAAAAAUGCGCAUGGACUCCAAUUUUUUCCCACAAAAACAGUAGUAGAAGUUUAUUUAAUUCAAUUUGGAAAAAAAUGACCCAUAUCAUUAAAAAUAAUUAUUUUUAAAAAUCAUCCGUAAAUAUAAAAUUCUAUGACUUUAUUAAUCUGAUAGCUACACAUAGAAGCUAAUCACCUUGCUAAACAAAGAUUUAUUACCAGUAUGAUAUUUUCCAUCAUGCCAAACGCUGCACGAGUAUGCAAUUUCGUUUUGUAAAUGCUUAUUGAUUCGACUCAUGGUAGCUUAGCUUUAAAGGCGUAUCAACAAAAUUUAUACCUUAAAUACUAUUACUAAAGUAGCCAAGCUACUAUAGCAUAGUGGUUCUAGGAUCGUUCACUGGGAAGGGUUUUCGCAAACACUAGUGAUAUUCAAAUUAGGAAAAUAGGUGAUUUUCUUAUGGAUGUUAGCUUUAAAAGAAGAUGUAAAUGUUUUAGAAAGAUUUAAACUAAUCUAAGCUAACAUUAAAGACUAAAAUGAAAGGGUGUAAAAACAAGUUUCUCAAAGAUAGGAUAGCUAUGCUCUGGCUCUUAUGCAAAUUGGAAAUCUCAUGAUAGGCUCCUCGAGUUGGGGUUGCAACUAUGGUGAUGCUUGCUUCCCGAACCGGUAUGGAUUUAGCAAAUCAAGUUUUAAUCCUUUAAAAUGGCAAAACAGAUGGUAGUGAAUUUCAUCAAUGGUUAUUCACCUUAGACUUCCUUUGAAUGGCUCGUAAGAGAUAACUAAUGGUCUAAAGCCAAAAGCUUACCAAAUAUUGGCAACUCAAAGUCAUUCCAGGUGAUAAACUCACCUUUCAAUGACCAUUGAAAUUGGUUCUAACGAAUUAAUGCAAAACUUGGAAUUGAAAACCUCACCUUCCAAUAGCUCGUAGGAGAUAACUAAUGGAUAGAAAUCCAAAAGCUUAUCAAGUAUUGGCCGUUGGAAGUUGUCCAAAGGAAAUAAAAACCAAACUUUGCAUUAAUGAACCAUUAAUGAAAAACGACUACCUUACCUUCCAAGUGCGAGAAAUUUCCAUGGGAUUGCAUCCAAGCCAUCACAUAACAUCCAUACUUUGAGAAACUAAAAGUUUUAGCCAAUCAUCCUUUGAGGAAAAGCCCUCAGAGGCUGUUUAGCUUCCAAGAAAAUAAAAUAGUAAAGAGACAAGAGAGACGAGAGAGCUCUGUAUAUAUUUUAAGUGUCAAAACGUCACCUAUGUUAUAUAUUCCAAGAGGUGAUUUCCACCCCUUAUAUAGUCUUUACAAAAGCAAAAGCUUGUGAUUGGUUAGUUACAAGGAUAAGAAAGGAAAUUACAUCAAAAAAUACAAAGGAAAAUAUCUAAAGUGGAGUCGGCAAAAACAGAGGAAAAUUCGCACCACGCAUGGGUUAUGCGAAUUUUGAAGGUGUUAUGCGAAUUUCGCAAAACACCUUGUGUCGUGCGAAAUUUUCGCACAACCUGGAGCAGUUGGCUUCCAAAGGCCAUAUCUUCCUCAUUUCAGCUCCAAAUCGUACACGGUUUGAAGCUUUGGAUUCUUGACUUCCAGAGCUUUGAAAUGGUAUAUAGCAUGUAAAAAAUGGACUUCAGGAAGUGCUCUAAAAGUGCGAAAGAAAACUACAGCUGCUGUCCUCUUUGCUUCUCUUCACUUUGCUUGCUUUUCCUCUUUGCUUCUCUUUCCUUGCAUACUUUGAACGACUUUGGAAAAGGGCUAUGGAGCUCCAAAGCUUGGUUCUUCAUGAAUUUGAGCUUCCAAAAGCUUUGCCAUAACUUGUCCAAGUAGCUCCUCCAUCAUUUGGCAUGCUUGAAUUGAUUCAUAAGCUGAUAAAAACAUGUAAACUUGCCACAAAAUGGUUAAAACCAAUUACUAAGGACCUUAAUGAAUUAAUUGGGUUAAAUGAAUAUGAUUACUACUCAAAGGUGCUUAAAACCAUUAUAAUUAGGUCUACAAAAUAGCACUUUUUGGUAGUAAUCACUUAUAUCAUCCACAAUCAUUUAAACCUCCAUAAAUGAUCAAUAACUAUUUGUAUUUCAUGGCAUUGGCAGAAUUGAACCUUUUGGGAAUACAAGAAAUAAUGUUGAUGGGACAAAAUUAGAACUUCUAACAAAGUACAUAAAUUGGAAAGGUAAGACAAAUUGAGAAACCAAGAAAGAACCACUAGAUUUAGCACACAUUUAGGGUUCCAUUAUGAACUUUCAUCAUGAAACAUUUCCUAGAAUCAAUAGCUAACUAUAGUCCCCAAUGCAACCCAAUUGGCAUCUUUUGCAAUAGAAAUACUGGUGGUUGAUGAGCCCAAUCACAGAACUUCAUGAGCUUUCCCAUAAUACCUGUUUAUAAACGGUGCCUGAAAGGCAUUCCAAACAACAAUAAUUACUAUUUAAAGAUUAAUGAGUCAUACUUAUUUCCUGAAAAAAAAUGUAGAGAGGGCACAAAUAAGAUAAUGCAAUUAGCAUUCAUUAACAAGUGUCUGCUCUAAUAGAAGAGGCCAAAUUCAUUGAUAUGCUACAACCAAUCAACUAUUUUUUGUACUUAUUCACAGAAUGGAUGGCAAAACAUACCCUCAAUAAACCAUGGCCAAGUGAAAACAAGGUGACUAAACAGAAAAAACUCAACUUAAUUAGCUAAGUAAAAGUCAAACCAUUUAGAAAUAGUGUCAUAUUGAUCCAUUUGGAUACCAAGGAAAAAAAAUGGCCACAUAAUGACAAAGCUUUUGGGCGAUCAGUUAGUUGAUAUUAAAAAUAGCAGACAUGUUAUGUUAGCAUGGAACAGAUAAAUAAAUUAAACAUAUAUUCCAUCAAGAGAUUAUUUUUUGACUAUUUAUGUAGGGAACGACUUAUAGCAAUACACCAUGAUCUUGAAUAUCGCAUUAAGGCCAGCUUCAAAAUGCACAAGAUUCAUAGGCUAUCAAUAGUCUCAUAUGGAGAAACAAAAAUAGUGGUGUCGAAGAUAUUCUGUUCUUUCAAUAGAAGAAAUGUUCAAAAUUGUACCUUAACAUUUUAGAGUUUUUGUCAAUGAAGAAUAAUCGGAACAAACUCUAACAAAUUCUAUCUUAUGCUCUCUCUAGCUUUUAACAUGACUGUCCAUAUUAGAUUGUGUUGAUUGGUUGGGCUCUUGAUGAUUAUAGAGAGGUGUUUUUGUUAAUCUCUCAAUCUAAUUGCCUUUAUGUCUUAUUUCUAAACUUCUUGUGUACAUUUGUGCACCUUCUUUUAAUUAGGUGGUGUUAAUAAUAUUAUCUUUUGCAAAAGAAAAAAUAAAUUGUACCUUAACAUUUGAUAUGCCAGGAUUAUCAUCGGUCUGGACUGAGUAGAACUUGUUAAACUUCAUGUUUUCAAAUGCUGCUUUAGUCUAUUAACUCAUUUCUGCAAGGCCUUUUUCUAGGCUUCUCUAGCCUACAAGAAAAGGAAUUGACAAGUACUCAACAUAUUUGAAAUUUAUGUGCAAGACCAAAACUAUUGUAACGAUUGGUAUCUGUUAUAAAAUACCUGUCUAUUGGCUUUUUUUGCCUCUCGGACAUUGUCUUUGACAAAAUUAUGAGCAACCAAAACAAUUUAAGUUCAUGGUAUGGUUAAUUACAUGCAAGAGCAAUCAAUUACAUGCAUAUCAUCAAUUACAGAUCACCUUAAAUGCAUCCUUUUGAUCUGCAUCAAAUUCAUUCUCCUCAAUUAGCUUAUCAGUGACCUCCUAAAGAUAAGAGAAGUACAGUUAACCACAAGAUGUAAAUAAAACAUAAUAAAAACCUAUAAAGCUUAUGAGUAAUGAAGGAACUUAUUCUUUUAGAGGGUUCCUUCCACAACACUCCCCUAGGAAAUAUUAAAGCAGGAACAAGUCGUCCUUUGUCUUAUUAAAUGUCUAACCAUCAAAAAUCACUCUAAACUAAGUUUAGUAUCAAUUGAUUUAUAGAUGCGAGACAGCUAAACCCACAAUAAGAUGGUAACAAGGAUUCUUUCAGCUAAACAGAAAAUACAGCCAUUUGACUAAAUUGGUUUACAGGGUUGUUGAAUUAUCUAAUAAUUAGCUCAUGAUUAUACAUAAACAUAGAAAAUUGGGGAUAAGUUUAAGCAACCAGACCAUGUCAUUACAAUAUUAUCAACUGAUUUAAACAGGUUAUAUGGAAUAGCACAAACGAUUUAUGGAAGCAUUAAGAAAUUGUCAAUAAUAUAACCUUAAAAAAUAAAAAUGUCAUUUACUAGAGUUUUAUAUAUAUAGGGAGGAGAUAGCACCUAACCUGGUAGUCAAAUGAACCAUGCAUGCAUUGGAAGUAGUCUUGAUAACUUAUCCCUUCUAUUGUACCAUAAAAAAGACAUGACAUAGCCUCAAAAUCUAUUAUUCACUAUCAAUGACCAAGUUGAAGUUUAAAUUUGAAUGUAUAGUUAAAAAAUUGAAUGAAAUAAAACCAAAGAAAUUAAUUGUGAAGGUUACCCAAUACUAUUCUGCAUCGUUGGUUGACCAAAUAUUGGCUGUAACCAUUUCACCAAUUUCGUUUUCGCUAUCAAGAACCAUAUGAGUUGCAAAUUUCAAUCUUUCAAGGCUCAUGCGUUCCUACACAUUAAACUUAUGUUAGACCCUACAUCUCGGUAACAUUUAACAUGUACAUUUGAAAAUAAAACCAUAACAUCAUAUUUAACAACUUACAGAAUUAAUGGUUCUAUUAAGACCACUUCCAUCCCAAUGUUGCAUAUAGAGAAUAGCAUACAUCCCAGUAUGACAUUUGCAAUAACAAGUAUGAUUUGUGACAUGUUAUUAACAUAGGACCCAAUUAGGAUUGAAAAUGAAUACAUGAAAAAAAAAAUAUGUAACUAACAAUUUUGGAUCGCCAUCGAUAUCUGCAUACUGUGGAUGUAAAUUAUUUAUAUUCACAUCAUUCCGUUUGAAGGAAUUUUUUAAUAACUGCGACAUAAAUCCAACUACUUUGAAAGCUUCAUUAACAAAGUGAACACGUUGAAUGCUAUUAUAUGAUGAAAGUAGAUCCACCCUUUUAGCCUCCAAAUUGAUUACCAUGAUGACCCAUUCAUUAAAUUGGAAUAAGGGGAUAUAAAACUACAAAACAGACAAUCAUCAUAACAACAAUGAAGGCUUAAAUAUUUGAAAUAUAAAUUCAAAAUUAUUAAAAAAUUGUCAUCAAUCUAUGUAAUCAAUACAAUAGUCAAGCAUUACCUGGUUGCAAAAUUCAAGAUUAACACAAUAGCUACCUAAUCUUUUCUUGAGUGUUGAUUUUGAGGUAGACUUGCUCAUUGAACCACAUAUUUCUUGUAAAAAGUUGUUGAGAGCAUAGUAACAAUGUAUGACUAAAGCUAUACAUGCAUCUUAUAUUAGGGACAAGAUUUGGUGUACUCGAGGAAAAAACCUCACCCCAAAGUAUGGAUUAAAAAAGUGUCUGCAAUAAGGAUUCUCUUCUUUUGCAUUCAUGUAUCGGCAAAACAUGGAAAUCACCUACAUAAUGCCUCUUCAUUAGUUAAAAUGAUCAAUGGAAAGAUGAAGGUAUUUUUUUCUUAUUUAUCAUAAACCUUACCGGAAUAUCAAUGAAGCUCUCCCCUACUAAGCAUUAAAAUUGUUCCCGUGUCACGCCAUAGCCACCAUAUGCACAAAGCAUCUCACUAUUAAUCACAUGAAACACAAGACGUGAGUAAUUUUUUUUGUUUUCUAGAUAAAUCCAUAAUCAUAGUCUUUUAAGAACAAUACUUGUUAAACGUGUGAUUUGGGACUAACCUUGGAUCUUUUGACUCAUCAAAUACAUAGUCGGCAACAUGUGUCUCUUCCUCCGUCAACCUUUUAUAUUUUGAUACACAUAAUUGUACAAAAGGUGACUUACACGCAGCUGCUCGUUGCCUAUGACGACGUACUUUCAUUUUUACUCUUUGUGGUCGUAUUUCUUCUGAGGCUUGUGGUGCUACAUCCACAUUGUUGUUCAUGCACGAUUGCACUAACACCAACAUAUUGUGUGGCCCAGGGUGAAGGGGAUCCUCGUUUGAAAAGAACACACCAUCUUCUAUGUUGGGUCUUUCUGACACCCCUUCAUUUGUACAUCCAACGUCAUCUUCAAAAGAUCUUCUUUGACCACCAGAAUGAACAGGUGAAUGUUGUGGAUUAUUUUUAUAAAAUGGUGCACCACUUUCAUUAACAUGUUCAUGAAAAUUUGACGGUUGGCCUUCAUCUGUGCGAUAAUGUGAAGAGGUGAAACGAGUCCUCAACACUUUCACGUCACGGUUGUAUGAUGCAAUAAGACUAUUAAGAUGACUUUGUGCAUCGGUGAUUUGACGUUGUGUUGCCUCCAUGCGAGCACAAAUAACCUAAGUCAAACAUAAUGAAGGACCAUUAAAUGACAUAUAUUUAAACUAAGCCUUAAUAUAAGUUACUAUUCAUAGUCAUUAGGUAUGAAGGAUUACAUCAAAGUCUUCAUUCUCAUCUGGGUCAACUGGGUCAUCAACUGUAGGAGCCUUAUUUUUUUCUGUUUCAUCUUGCUCCGCCGAUGUGCUAACCAACUAUCAUUGCAAAACAUGUAAAUUGUCAUCCCAAUAAUCUAAUUACAAUGGUAAUCAACUAUCUUAAUAUAACUAAAAGCUAAUUAUACCUCAACUUUGCCAAAUCCUCCAAGCAUUUCUAACUCCAACUUGAUGCGUUGCUUGACCAAAAAAUCAUUCCAUGCAGCAAUGCGAGGAGUGGUAAGUUCCACAUACAUGGCUGGAAAAUUAGAUAUUGAAAAGUAGAAUAUCUGUUGCAUUAUAUAAGACAUAAUUAGUGGUAACAUCAUGGCCAACAUAGUGUAUAACCAUUAUUGAAUAUCUAAUACAUGGACAUAUACUUAUAAAUAAGACAAAAAGUUACCUGUAGAAACAUCAAACACCCUUUAAUCCAAACACUUUCCUUCCUCCUAUGUUCAUGUAUAGCUUGAAUCAAAAAUUCUAAGACAUUCUCCCCAAUUUAUGUUCCCAAGUAACUGCUCUCGGGGUGUAUACCAUAACGAGUGACUACCUUCCAAACGAGAAGUGGGUGCCAAUAAGGUUGCACAAGCGAAAAUCAAGAAGACCCGCUUAAAUUCCUCCAUAUCAUCGAUGCCAACCAUCAUUGACUCUAUAUCUUGCAAACUCGGCAUUUGACUAGCUUUAACACUUCCCUUCUCAACAAUUAACUUUCUUCCACUAUGUGGAAUGCCCAUCGUCAUCCCAACAUCAUGACAUGUCAAAGAAACCUUCUUACCCCCAAAUAACUCGAGUUGGGAAUAAGCAAUGUUUGUGUUUUUUAUCAACCAAAAACAUAAAUCUAAAUUAACCUCCUUACAACCUAAUUGCAAUAGCCCACCAAAACCAAGUUCUCGUAUUACAUCCUUCUUCACUUCUGAGAGCAAAUGGAUUCCAGAGAGGAAUCUACGGCUAGAACAACGACACCGUAUGUUCAUAUUAUCACUGCAUUAAACAACUAUAAUUCAUUAAUAAAUUAAUCAAAUGUUAAAGACAUGUGAACGUGAAUAUAGUGUUCCUAUAUACAUUCAUCAUAAUUAUUACACAAAUAUAACAUAUAUUAACAAAGAAAUGGGAAACAUUUUGUUACAUCAUGUAAAUGAUAAUCAUUGAGAUCGGUUUCCUCUAGCCUUUCAAUAAUAUGGUUAUCAAUAAGGGUGAAAUUGUUAUAUAUAGGGUCACCCACUAUGAUACCCACUGCAAAAAAAAAAAAAAAAAAACAGACAAUGUGCAUUUUAGUGGGUCAGCCAAUAAAAACAAAUGGUACGCCUCAAAGUUACAUACUCAUCUAACCAUAUCAAUAUAGUUUAGGGAAAAGUGGGAUUUGAUUCACUAAUAAGAAAAUAUAUGAUAAAAAGAAUCCCAAAUAUUUUAAAUUAGUAUUAUCUUCAUCUAUUUAAAAAUAAUUUGAAAUACAUGCAAUGAGUUAUCCAAUUAUUCCAAAAAAUGUCAUUUUAUUUUUUAUGUUAUUCAAAUCAAUUGAAAACUACACUCCUCCAUAUAAAUGUUUCCUUAUUAUUUUAGAUUUUUUUAUUAUUAUUUUAUUAUUUAAGAUUUUUUUUCCUCUAGAAACAAACACCUUAUAGGAUUCUUAUUUUAGUUUUCUAAAAGUUUAGGAAAUAUUGUCAAACAAAUCAUAUUUAAUCAUAAUUACGAAUUCAAAAAGUAAUAAGAUUUUUUAUUAAAUAAUAAAGAAUAAACUCGUAAUAUAUAAUUCUUUUAAUAUUAUAACAAAUUUAUUAUUAAAAAACUUUAAUAACAAAUUUUAUUCAUUAUUAUAUUAAACAAUUAUUAAUAUUAUAUAAUAAAUAGAAAUUUAUUAUUGGUUUAUUUAUUAUCAAGAAUAUGAAUCUAUUUUUAACUUAUUAAUACUAUAAUAAAUUCUGUUUUUUUUUUCAAAUUAUUACUUUAUAAUGUUUCUAGAGAAAAAAAAUUCCCAAAUAAUAAAAUAAUAAAAUAAUAAAAUAAUAAAGUAAUAAUAAUAAUAAUAAUAAUAAUAAUAAUAAUAAUAAUAAUAAUAAUAAUUUAAGAUUAUUGACAACUACACUCCUCCAUAUAAAUGUUUCCUUAUUAUUUUAGAUUUUUAUUUUAUUUUAUUAUUUUAUUAUUUAAGAUUUUUUUUCCUCUAGAAACAAACACCUUAUAAGAUUCUUAUUUUAGUUUUCUAAAAGUUUAGGAAAUAUUGUCAAACAAAUCAUAUUUAAUCAUAAUUACGAAUUCAAAAAGUAAUAAGAUUUUUUAUUAAAUAAUAAAGAAUAAACUUCGUAAUAUAUAAUUAUUUUAAUAUUAUAACAAAUUUAUUAUUGAAAAACUCUAAUAACAAAUUUUAUUCAUUAUUAUAUUAAACAAUUAUUAAUAUUAUAUAAUAAAUAGAAAUUUAUUAUUGGUUUAUUUAUUAUCAAGAAUACGAAUCUAUUUUUAACUUAUUAAUACUAUAAUAAAUUCUGUUUUUUUUUUUCAAAUUAUUACUUUAUAAUGUUUUUAGAGAAAAAAAAUUCCCAAAUAAUAAAAUAAUAAAAUAAUAAAGUAAUAAUAAUAAUAAUAAUAAUAAUAAUNNNNNNNNNNNNNNNNNNNNNNNNNNNNNNNNNNNNNNNNNNNNNNNNNNNNNNNNNNNNNNNNNNNNNNNNNNNNNNNNNNNNNNNNNNNNNNNNNNNNNNNNNNNNNNNNNNNNNNNNNNNNNNNNNNNNNNNNNNNNNNNNNNNNNNNNNNNNNNNNNNNNNNNNNNNNNNNNNNNNNNNNNNNNNNNNNNNNNNNNNCUUUUUUCAAAUUAUUACUUUAUAAUGUUUUUAGAGAAAAAAAAUUCCCAAAUAAUAAAAUAAUAAAAUAAUAAAGUAAUAAUAAUAAUAAUAAUAAUAAUAAUUUAAGAUUAUUGACAACUACACUCCUCCAUAUAAAUGUUUCCUUAUUAUUUUAGAUUUUUAUUUUAUUUUAUUAUUUUAUUAUUUAAGAUUUUGUUUCCUCUAGAAACAAACACCUUAUAGGAUUCUUAUUUUAGUUUUCUAAAAGUUUAGGAAAUAUUGUCAAACAAAUCAUAUUUAAUCAUAAUUACGAAUUCAAAAAGUAAUAAGAUUUUUUAUUAAAUAAUAAAGAAUAAACUCGUAAUAUAUAAUUCUUUUAAUAUUAUAACAAAUUUAUUAUUAAAAAACUUUAAUAACAAAUUUUAUUCAUUAUUAUAUUAAACAAUUAUUAAUAUUAUAUAAUAAAUAGAAAUUUAUUAUUGGUUUAUUUAUUAUCAAGAAUAUGAAUCUAUUUUUAACUUAUUAAUACUAUAAUAAAUUCUGUUUUUUUUUUCAAAUUAUUACUUUAUAAUGUUUCUAGAGAAAAAAAAUUCCCAAAUAAUAAAAUAAUAAAAUAAUAAAAUAAUAAAGUAAUAAUAAUAAUAAUAAUAAUAAUAAUAAUAAUAAUAAUAAUAAUAAUUUAAGAUUAUUGACAACUACACUCCUCCAUAUAAAUGUUUCCUUAUUAUUUUAGAUUUUUAUUUUAUUUUAUUAUUUUAUUAUUUAAGAUUUUUUUUCCUCUAGAAACAAACACCUUAUAAGAUUCUUAUUUUAGUUUUCUAAAAGUUUAGGAAAUAUUGUCAAACAAAUCAUAUUUAAUCAUAAUUACAAAUUCAAAAAGUAAUAAGAUUGUUUAUUAAAUAAUAAAGAAUAAACUUCGUAAUAUAUAAUUCUUUUAAUAUUAUAACAAAUUUAUUAUUGAAAAACACUAAUAACAAAUUUUAUUCAUUAUUAAAUUAAACAAUUAUUAAUAUUAUAUAAUAAAUAGAAAUUUAUUAUUGGUUUAUUUAUUAUCAAGAAUACGAAUCUAUUUUUAACUUAUUAAUACUAUAAUAAAUUCUGUAUUUUUUUUCUUCAAAUUCUUACUUUAUAAUGUUUCUAGAGAAAAAAAAUUCCCAAAUAAUAAAAUAAUAAAAUAAUAAAGUAAUAAUAAUAAUAAUAAUAAUAAUAAUAAUAAUAAUUUAAGAUUAUUGACAACUACACUCCUCCAUAUAAAUGUUUCCUUAUUAUUUUAGAUUUUUAUUUUAUUUUAUUAUUUUAUUAUUUAAGAUUUUUUUUCCUCUAGAAACAAACACCUUAUAGGAUUCUUAUUUUAGUUUUCUAAAAGUUUAGGAAAUAUUGUCAAACAAAUCAUAUUUAAUCAUAAUUACGAAUUCAAAAAGUAAUAAGAUUGUUUAUUAAAUAAUAAAGAAUAAAAUUCGUAAUAUAUAAUUAUUUUAAUAUUAUAACAAAUUUAUUAUUGAAAAACUCUAAUAACAAAUUUUAUUCAUUAUUAUAUUAAACAAUUAUUAAUAUUAUAUAAUAAAUAGAAAUUUAUUAUUGGUUUAUUUAUUAUCAAGAAUACGAAUCUAUUUUUAACUUAUUAAUACUAUAAUAAAUUCUGUAUUUUUUUUUUCAAAUUCUUACUUUAUAAUGUUUCUAGAGAAAAAAAAUUCCCAAAUAAUAAAAUAAUAAAAUAAUAAAGUAAUAAUAAUAAUAAAAUAUCUAAAAAGAAUGGAAAUAUUUAUACAAUGGAUUCUAAUUGUCAAUGGAUUAGGAUGACAUGACAAGUAAAGGGCUAUUUUUGGGAAUAAUUAAAUCAUAAAUUAAAAAGUGCAUGCAUUUUAAAUUAUUUUUAAAUAAAUGAAGAUAAUAUUGGAAUUUUCUUUGUCAACCAAUCAGUUUUGAGAAAAAAUGUUCUUGUAACGGAUAAGCUCCAAGAGGUUAGUUUUUGUAUAUAUAUAUAUAUAUAUAUAUAUAUAUAAUGUAUAUAUAUAACAGUUCAUGUAAAUUUUGAUUUUUUUGUAAAUUAAAAUAUAAUAUUUUUUUAUAUUGAUAAAUAAAAGUCAUAUUGUUUUAAACUACUUUAUUCAACAAACAACAAGAUCGGUGGCCCCAACAUUGAUAUGGUUACAAAAAUAGCUAUAAAAGAAAAUAUGACAUCAAAAUCCAAUUCAAUAAAAAUCAUAGUCCUCAAACCUCUGUUUCAUUAAAAGGUACAUAAUCCUACAAUUCACUUCAUAUGACUCAUGAAGUUAGCGCCAUCAAGAUGAAUUGUCAUAAUUGAAACAAAUCUACAUAAACAAAUAGAGACCAUUUCACAUUUUAAACUACAAUAUCCAUCAAACAACAACAAGACCAAUGUUUACAAAAUUAAUGAAGUUACAAAACUACUGAAAGAAAAGAGUAACCUACCAUUUAAAAAUUUUCUACAUUUGUAUUAAAAAUAUAUGGUAACAAAAUUUUCUAUUAACAUUAAUUUAUUUAAAUAAUUAAUAUUAUUAAUAAUUUAUCUUAUCAAAUUAAUUUUAAUUUAUAAAAUAUUACUGAUAAAAACUGAAAUUUUGAUUUAACCAAAAUAAAGAUGGAUAAUUAAUUAUUUAUAAUUAAUAAUUAAUAAUUUUGAUUUAUAAUAUUGUUCUUGUGAUUUGUUUCCUUUUUAUUUCUAUACUAUAUCUAAAAAACAAACAUGCUCGUUGCCAUUCGUUGAGGCAUUAUGGGAAGGUGAAGGACCCAACGGUGGAGAAUUUGUUGCCGGAGAUUGAUUUUGAGCACACUGUUGGGAGGAGAUUGGUUUCAACCUCUGGAACUCGGUCUGUGGUUCUAAUGGUGGUUGAUGCUUCAGAUUUUGAUGGGUCCGGCCACCACGCGUGAGGCAUCAAGAAACCCCUUUGUUGAAUUCUUCUCCAGGCAAGCAUCAUGCCUUAUUUUCCUCUGCCACUCUCAAUCCUCGCAGGUGCUAAUCUAAUCAUGUUAUUAAUAUUUAUUUUCAACCCCAAUUUGCUUCCCAAGAAAAUCCAUCCCUCAUUCGAUUUCCGGGAAAAUUCAUCCUCGUUUAAUUUCCGAGAGAAAUCCAUCAAAACUCCCAAGGAAAACCAAAAAAAAAAAAUGCUUUUAUUUUGUUGCUCCCCGUGUUUUCUGGAUCUGUUCUAAGGUUUUAUUUGUUUUUGUGCCAUUGGAUUUAAAUUCUACAAACCCUAAAUCCACGAUUUUUGAGCCACGCUGAAAACCACAACCUUUGCCCUCAAAUUGUGGAUCUGUGUGCGUGUGUGGCGGGUUGGAUUUAAAUUCUACAAACCCUAAAUCCAUGAUUUUUUUGCCACGCUGAAAACCACAACCUUUGCCCUCAAAUUGUGGAUCUGUGUGCGUGUGUGAUAUUUUUAAAAAAUUACCCAAUUUUCUGUCAAAGAUCUCAACAAGCAUUAAUACCAACCCAAAUUAACUCAUAAAUCCAUUACAUUUGUACCUGGGAAAGCUCCUCUCAGCUCGGACCACUUCUCUCUAUUUUCACUGCAAGCUUCCCUCGCGAAUUGUGGCUGUGAAAGAAAGUGAAAAAAUAUGGGUUUUUGGAGUUAGGGUUUGGUUCAGGAGAGAAGAAGGGAUUUGGGGGGUUUGGUUGAAAGAGAGAAGAAGGGAUUUAGGGUUUUGAUUCAACACAGAAGAAAUGAUUUCGGGUAAAUCUCACUAUUAUAUUUUAGUAAAUAUUUUUUAAAAAAUAUUGCCACAUGGAGUGUCUACAUGUCAUAUGAGCCAUGUCACUGGCUUAAGUGGAACAUGACUUUGCUGAGUAAUUGAUUAUGUCAAAGUGUAUGAGGGUAUUUUUGGAAGGCUCCUCAAUAUCACUAUUACAGUGUAUGAAAGGUGAUUUAUUUUUCACAAAAUCCAUUGAAUUUGAAAAGUAAAAAGUUAAGUUUCCAAAAGGCAAAAUUUUGCCCCUUGGUGUAUGGUUACAUAAAUUCCCCUAAAAUAAAGUGGGUAAAGUAAGUAACGGACUUUGACAAUUAAUUUAAUGAAUUUUUUUGGUUCCCUUAAAAACUUUUUCUGUUAAAAAAUGAAAAACUUCACUAAAUUUGAAUUAAAAAUUCCAUAUAGUUUUUAAAAUGACCACAACCUAUAAUUUGCAUAGACUAAGGGCAAGGAGAUAUUUUAUACCCAUACUUUAAUGACGCUUCUCUGAAGCGCCAAGUUAUAGAAUUAACAUUAUCACACUUUGAAUAUGCACCAUUAUAUACCCAAUAAUACCUAAAUAAGCCUUAUCAAACGAUGAUGCUUCUAAUAAGCAUCAUGGAUUGAAAAAUACUACACUAAACAAUGAUGCUUUUAUUGGGUUUUUCCUCAUAUGGAAGGCCCAAAUUAAGAGCCCAAAAUUUAAGCUCUCUUAGGCCUUUAUAUAAAAGGGUUAAAAGAAAAAUCCUUCUUCUUCUUCUUCUUCCAAUUUUUUUUUGCAGCCACUAGAGAUAGAAGAAAAAAAUAUUAGAAGGAGAAAAGAGAGAGAGAAGGGGAAAACCACCAUUUUUUGAAACUAGAGAGAAAAAAACUCAAUUUUUCUUCACUGUCCAGAUUUCAUCAAAGGUUUGAUCCCGCUUCAUCUGUGGGCCAAUCGACUUGAUAUUUGAAGGAGAGGUUCGUGACUCAUUGAUCUUCAAUCUGAACGGUAAAGAUCGGAUUUGGAGUUCCGUACGGUCUUCUUUCAGUCCGAGAAUAGAGCCUCUGUUUUAGUGAGUUUUCUAUCCGAACAGUUUUGAUCAUGAGCUUCGAUCAAGUUUAAUCCGUGGUUCGAUUGAGUUGAUUUUUGGUAAGCACGUUUAGAACUUGUUGAUCUUCAUUCUGAACGGUGAAAAUUGGAUUUGGAGUUCGAAACAGUUAUAUUUCAGUCUGAGAACAAUGAUUGUGUUUGGUGAGAUUUCUCCAUUGUCUUUUAUGCAAAGUUGUUGAAAUUGCCAAGAUUAAUUUGUUUUGAGAUAUGACUGAUGUAUGCCUCUAGUUUUAUCUAGAGAGAAUUGUGUAACCCAUUGAUUAUAUCAGUGGAGUUUUUAAGUGGCCUAAGGGUCCCGUGGUUUUUACUUCUCACAUUAGAGAAGGUUUUCCACGCUAAAAAUUGUUAGUGUUCAUAUAUUUGUUGAUUGGGUGAAUUAUUAUUGCUCUAUUUGAUUGAUUCCUAUUAGGUUCUCACAAGAAGGGAUAAAACCUGGUUGCGCAUUGUUUGUGUUUAUUCCAUCAAAGUGGUAUCAGAGCAUUGGUUUAAGAUAAUUUGUGCCUUGUGUAGAACAAUGAAAACUAAUACAAGUAGAAUGAUUACUCUGAAUGGCUCCAAUUAUCAUGUUUGGAAAGGAAAGAUGGAAGACUUAUUGUAUGUGAAGGAUUAUUAUUUUCUUGUGUUUGCUUCUGGAAAGCCAAAAAAUAAAACUGAUGCAGAAUGAAAUUUACUUCAUCGGCAGGCUUGUGGUUAUAUCAAACAGUGGGUAGAUGAUAAUGUUCUCAAUCAUGUUAGUGAAGAGAAACAUGCAUGGAGUUUAUGGAACAAACUCGAACAGUUAUAUGCUAAAAAGACUGGUAACAAUAAAUUAUUUCUGAUCAAGAAUAUGAUUAGCUUGAAGUAUUAAGAUGGAACUCCUAUGACAGAUCACUUGAAUACAUUCCAAGGUAUUAUUAAUCAGUUGGCUGGAAUGAAUAUCAAGUUUUAGGAAGAGGUGCAAGGGUUGUGGCUUCUUAGUACAUUGACGAACUCGUAGGAGACAUUUAGAACUUCUUUGUCUAACUCAGCUCUAGAUGGUACUAUGAAUAUAGAUUUGGUUAAGAGUUGUGUUCUGAAUGAAGAGAUGAAAAGAAAGUCAUAGGGUUCCCCUUCACAGUCAGAUGUCCUAGUUACUGAAAAAAUGGGGAGGAGUAAGAGUAGAGGUUCAAAGAACAAAGAUAGAAGCAAAAGCAAGACUAACAAGUUUGCCAAUGUUGAGUGUCACUAUUUCCUUUUGAAAGGGCAUAUAAUAAAGUAUUGUCGCCAAUUGAAGAGAGAUAUGAAACAAGGGAAAGUGAAGAACAAGAAGAAUGAUAAUGGUGGUGAAGAUGAUCGAGUUACCACUACUACUUCAGAUUUCCUUAUUGUUUAUGAUAGUGAUGUUGUUAAUUUUGCUUGCUAGGAGACUAGUUGGGUGAUUGAUAGCGGUGCCUCAAUCCAUGCUACACCUCGGAAAGAUUUCUUUACAUCUUACAUAUUCGGUGAUUUGGAAGUGUUAGAGUGGGUAAUGAUGGCUCAGCUAAAGCCCUUGGUAUGGGAGAUGUGCGUUUGAGACUAGUAAUGAUACUAUGUUGAUUUUGAAGAAUGUCAAACAUAUUUCGGAUAUCCGCAUGAAUUUAAUCUCUAUAGGUAAGCUUGAUGAUAAAGGGUUUUACAACACCUUUCGUGAUAGUCAGUGAAAGCUCACUAGAGGUUCUAUAGUGGUAGCAAAAGGAAAGAAGUGUUCCUCAUUGUAUUUGAUGUAGGCAAGGGUAAUUGAUUCCAGUAUCAAUGCAGUGGAUGAUGAUAGCAUAGUUGAGCUUUGGCACAACAGACUCAGUCACAUGAGUGAGAAGGGCUUGAUGAUUUUGGCUAAGAAGAAUCUUCUUUCUGGUAUGAAGAAAGGAUCUUUGAAAAGGUGUGCUCAUUGCUUAGUAGGAAAGUAGACCAGAGUUGCAUUCAAAACACACCACCAUACAAGGAAGUCAGGUAUGCUUGAUUUAGUGUAUUCUGAUGUGUGUGGUCCUAUGAAAACAAAAACACUUAGUGGAUCUCUAUAUUUUGUGACUUUUAUAGAUGAUCAUUCAAGAAAUAUUUGGGUGUAUGCCUUGAAAACAAAAGACCAAGUAUUAGAGGUGUUUAAGCAGUUUCAUGCUCUUGUUGAGAGACAAUCUGGUGAAAAAUUGAAAUGCAUCUGGACUGAUAAUGAGGGUGAGUAUUCUAGUCCUUUUGAUGAGUAUUGUAGACAACAUGGUAUUCGACAUCAAAAGACACCUCCUAAGACUCCUCAGUUGAAUGGGUUGGCUAAGAGAAUGAAUAAGACACUGGUUGAAAGGGUGAGAUGUUUACUUUCGCAGUCACAGUUUCCAAGAUCCUUUUGGGGUGAGGCUUUGAAUACUGUUAUACAUGUUCUUAAUCUUACACUAUGUGUUCCUUUAGAAUUUGAUGUUCCGGAUAGAAUUUGGUCAGAUAAUGAAAUCUCUUAUGAUCACUUGCGUGUCUUUGGAUGCAAGACUUUUGUGCACAUUCCGAAAGAUGAGAGGUCUAAGCUUGAUGCUAAGACAAGACCUUGUGUAUUCAUUGGCUAUGGUCAGGAUGAGCAUGGUUACAAGUUUUAUGAUCCGGUGCAGAAAAAGCUUGUAAGAAGCCGAGAUGCUAUGUUUAUGGAAAUCAUACCAUACAAGACAUUGAGAUGACUGAUGCAACAGAGUUUCAGUAUAGUGAUAAUCUGAUUGACUUAGAUCCAGUUCCUUUGACACAUCUUCCUACAUAGGUUGAAGAUGAAACACAUGAGGACCAACCUAACAUUGGUGGUGUUGAAACUCCCACACAGGUUGAGAUGGAUAAUGAUGUUCAUGAGCAGUCACCAGUAGCAGAGGCUCCACCAGAUAUUCCACUCAGGAGGUCUACUAGAGACCGACAUCCUCCCACAUGGUAUUCUGUUGAUGAUUAUGUAUUACUAACUGAUGGGGGAGAACCUAAAAUUUAUGAGGAAGCCAUGGGAGAUGAAAAUAAGAUGAAGUGGGUUGAUACUAUGCAAGAUGAGAUGAAGUCAUUGCAUGAGAAUCGUUCUUUUGAGCUUGUCAAGUUGCCAAAGGGAAAAAGAGCUUUGAAGAACAAGUAGGUUUAUAGAGUGAAGCAAGAAGAACACACUUCACAACCACGUUACAAAGCUAGAUUGGUUGUCAAAGGAUUCAGUCAAAAGAAAGAUAUUGAUUUUGAUAAGAUUUUUUCUCCUGUUGUUAAGAUGUCAUCUAUUCAUGUAGUUUUGGGCUUGACAACUAGUCUUGAUUUGGAGAUUGAGCAAAUGGAUGUUAAUACUGCAUUUCUCCAUGGUGAUUUAGACAAAGAAAUUUAUAUGGAACAACUAGAGGGUUUCACAAUAAAAGGAAAAGAGGAUUAUGUGUGUAAGUUGAAGAAAAGUCUUUAUGGCUUGAAGCAGGCACCGAGGCAGUGGUAUAAGAAGUUUGAAUCAGUUAUGGGGAAGCAAGGCUACCGAAAAACUUCUUCUGACCAUAGCGUAUUUGUGCAGAAAUUCUCUGAUGAUGAUUUUGUUAUAUUGUUGCUCUAUGUUGAUGAUAUUUUGAUUUGAUAGAAAUGUUUCAAGAAUUGAUAAGUUGAAGAAGCAAUUAAGCAAAUCCUUUUCCAUGAAGGAUUUGGGGUCAGCAAAGAAAAUUCUAGGUAUUAGAAUUGAGCGAGAUAGAGUAUCCAAGAAGCUGUAUAUGUCACAGGAGCAAUAUAUUGAAAAGGUGCUUGAAAGAUUAAACAUGAGCAAAGCUAAAGUAGUUAGUUCUCUUCUAGCUAGUCACUUUAAGCUAAGCAGCAGACAUAGCCCUUUUACAGAUAAGGAGAAGGAAGACAUGAGAAGAGUUCCAUAUGCCUCAAUAGUAAGAAGUUUGAUAUAUGCCAUGGUAUGUACUAGACCAGACAUAGCUUAUGCCAUUGGUGUUGUUAGCUGCUUUCUAUCUAAUCCAAGAAGACUACAUUGGGAGGCAAUUAAGUGGAUUAUGAGAUCUUUGCUAGACACUUCCAAGUUGAAACUCACUUUUGGAAGUAGGAAACUAAUACUUGUUGGAAUCAACCUUCAUGGUAUGACCUCCAAAUAUAGGUGCCCCAACUUUUGGUCAAUUUUUGAAGUAUUGGGAAUUCCAAUUGCACUUACAUUUGAUAAGUACUUUGUAUAAAACUCGAUGUUUUCCUUUGCAAUAUAGCAUUUGGCAAUGCAACCUUUGGGUUGUUUACUGUUUCGUACAUAGCCUUUUAACACUUUCUUGAACCUUUCAAAUGGGUACAUCUACCUAAGGUAAACCAGUCCACAAAGUCUCACCUCUUUUAUAAGAUGCACCAUAAGAUGUACCAUGAUAUCAAAGAAUGAAGGUGGGAAAUACUUUUCAAACAAGCACAAUGUCGCCACAACCUCAUUUUGUAACUCAUCUAAUGUAGACCUCAACCACUUUAUUACAGAGAGCAUUGAAAAAGGAACUCAAUCUACAGAUGGCAUUCCUCACAAGCUUUGGAAAAAUAGUUUGUAAUGAAACUGCCAAUAACUGUUGCAUUAAUGUAUGAUAGUCAUGGGAUUUCAAGCCAUAAAGCUUCAAGUCUUCCAUUAACACAAUGUUUCGAAGGUUAGAGCAAUAUCCAGAAGGAACCUUCAAUUGUGAAAGAGUUUGGAAAAAUACCUUCCUUUCCAUUUUGGAAAGUGUAUAACAUGUAGGAGGGAGAUAUGUUCUCUUUGAUUCAAACCUUGGUGCCAAUUCACUUCUUAAGCCCAUGUCUACGAGAUCUAAACGAUAGUUGAGUUCAUCCUUUGUCUUACCUGGAAUGUUGAGUAAGAUACUAAUGAUGUUUUCACAAACAUUUUUCUCAAUAUGCAUUACAUCCAAAUUAUGACGAACAUGAAGAUAUUUUCAAUACUCAUGAUCAAAGAAUAUGAACUUCUUCUUCCAACAAUUUGCAUUGAUAACUUUGGAUUUACCACGAUUAACUUUUUUUUCCUCCAUGAAUUACAAAUGAAAUUAAUUUUCCUGAGAAUUUCCUUUCCACUUAAUAUUUGUGGAGGUGACCUAAACUCUUGUUCACCAUCGAAUGUUUUUUUUUUUUGUUUCCUAAAUGGAUGGUUGCAUGGAAGAAAUUGUCUAUGUCCUGUAUAUGAGUUAUUUUUUUACAUGUUUCAAUCUAUGAGAAUAUGUUUCUUCCCUGUAUAUUGGACAACCAAAAUAUCCUUUAACUGUGCACUCAGACAAGUUUCCAUAUACAGAGAAGUCACUGAUUGUCCAUAAUGGAACAAAUCUUAAUGUAAAGAACUCUCGUUGAUGUUCAUUGUAAGCUUGGACUCCGACCUCUCAUAAUGUUUUAAGAUCUUCUAUCAACGAUGUUAAAUAGAUGUUAAGGUCAUUACUAGGUUUUCGUGGACCUAAAAUUAACAAAGAUAACAUCAUAAAUUUUAUCUUCAUGCACAACCAUGGAGGAAGGUUAUAAAUUAUCAUGAGAAUAGACCAAAAACUAUGUUUGCUACUUAAUGAACUGUGAGGAUUUAUGUCAUCUGCUGAGAUGACAAGUCUUAGGUUUCUAGGUUCUAAGGAAAACUCGGGCCGUCUAUGGUCAACUAGCUUCCAUGAUGGUGAGUCUGAUGGAUGACACAUUUUCCCAUCAAAAUCUCUUUCUUUGGCAUGCCAUAUGAGGUAUUUUGCGAUUUUUGAUGAUUGAAACAUUCUUCUAAAUCUUGGAACUGGAGGAAAAUACCACAUUACUUUUGCAAGAACUCCCUUCCUCUUUUUAGUUUCUGUCAUGUUUGUCUUCCACCUUGAAGUUCCACAAGAAGGACAUGAGGAUGCAUCUUUCAACUCAUUCCUAUAAAGUAUACAAUCAUUAGGACAUGCAUGUAUUUUCUCAUAUUCAAUUCCCAAUGUAUUCAAUGUCUUUUUUUGCUUCAUACAUAGACAAAGGCAACUCAUUAUUUACAAGCAACAUAUUUCCAAGCAUUUCUAAAAGCUUUGAAAAGCUUUUAGCAAACUGCCCAAAGCAUGCUUUUAGGUUGUACAAUUCAAUCAAUGUAGACAAUUUUGUAAAAAUUCUACAACUAGGAUAUAAAGGUUUUUUUACAUCUUUCAAUAAUAUUUGAAAUGAUUCUAGGUCAUUUUUACAAUCCUCCUGUGCAACUUGAACCAUUUCUAUUGUAUUAUGCACAUCAUCAAAUUAAACUCUAUCAUAAUGUUUUGCUCUUGUAGUUGGUGGUCCAAUUGGAGUUGCCUCUCCAUGCCAAUACCAUGUAUUAUGGUAACUUUGAUCAAUUUCGUGGAAAAACAUAUGCUCUCUAAUCUUUUGAGGAGUAUGGAAUAUCAUAUUACCACACUAUAAGUAUGGACAUUUAAUGGAGUUUUUAUUUUCAGAAUUUUGUAUUGCAAAUGUGAUAAAAUGUGAUAAAAUGUUCUACCCCAUCCUUGUACUCCUUCGAUCUUCUAUCCUUUGAAAUCUAUGAACGAUCCAUUUUUUAAUAACAAACUUCCAAUAGUGAUCAAACUUCAAAUUGAAGAAAAUAUCAACAUUUUCUAUGUCAUUCAUUUAGCAACCUCUCUUUCCUCUGUUCAAAGAAUAAUCAGGAAUCAAUUUAAUACAACAUUUGCUUAAGAUGCUAGAUUUAAGAGAAAAAGUGUGAGCAUUAAUGUCCUAACCAUUUUGAAUUGUGUACAUAGAUUUACACUAUUGGAAUAACACGCUAAUUAUUGACAAUUUUAAAAAGUGCUAAGGAAAAAAAAGGUCAUUGUAUAUAUUAUAUAUAGUAGUGAUUAAGAAGCUAUAAAUGUUAUUGACCUUGAAUACUUGCAUUAAAGAGGAUGUACAAUCUCAAUUAAACAAGUGCAUAUUAAUAUUAUUAACAUGUACAAUUCAAGUUGUGUUGCAUUUUUUUUAUGGCAUUUAACAUCUCCAACUUUGUAAAUUAGGGAAUGGUUCCUAUCCCAUAUAAGAAUACAUAAUCUCUAUGAGUCAACUGCCAAUAUGCUCAAUUUAAUUUAAAAAGAUUUCAGCAACAUUUCCUUAUGAUUCUCCAAGUACACAAAAUGGAUAAGGCAUAAUAUGUAACCUUGUCCAAGUAUGUACCCAAAGAACAAGAAGAAAGAGUACCAAAAUUUAUUUAAAAUGAAUUAAGAAUAAGCAAUUAAUUUCAUUGAUAUUAUGUUUUCCUACACUGUCCAGUCAAACAAUUCAAACAUCAUUUGUAGAGAAAAAAUCUUUAUCACAUGGUAGACAAUUUAAAAGUUGUCAACGUGAAACUAGUAUAGAUAAAACCAUUUUCACCUUUUGACAACUAAAAUGUCUUUACUAUGUAAUAACAAAAACUUUUGUUUGACAAUGAUACUUGAACGGGAACUCUAAGGUUGUAUGCAAGCAUAGUUGAUUAAAAUUAAAACACAAUUACUUACUAAAAUAUUACAACAAAACAACAUAACUCUCAUUCUAUUACGUUUAUCUUAAAUAUAUAACAUUUAACAUGGAGACCCAAAAACCUUUUCACAACUUAGAGAGAAACAUCUUCUACAAAAAGGUCCACACCAAAUUUAAUCAAAUUAAUCUAAAUUGGCAAUUUUAAAUAAACAUCAAGUAAUUAUCCUUCAAAACAAAUAAUAAGACAAUCAAAAUUUUACAACUAAUUUUUUUGUCCAAAUUUUAGCCUAUAAUGGUAUUUUGUGAACUAAAUAAUUUUAACUUGUCUCUAUGCAGUGCUUUUAUAUUUGGUGUUUUUUAGAAGAAUUGACAAGCAUUAUAGGGAUAAUAUAUGGUUUAACAUAUAUUUUUUUUCAUUUAAAAUAAAAAUUAUGAAAACAUUAAGUAUUAAGAUGACAAUAUUUUUGGUUUGAUUACAAUUUUAAUCUCUUUAUUAUAAAACUAAUAUAAUAUACAUCUAAAUAAUGUGUAAAGAAAUUCUAGAUGCCUAUGUAAAUAAAUAAAUAGUGCAUCCUAAUGAAAAAACUGAGAAUUAAUUUCAUAUUUUGGAACAUUCUAUACAAUCAAUGAUAUGAAUAAAUUAGAUUAAACAAUAUAAUCAAUUAAAUCAAUUAACAUUUCAUCACUUAAAAUUAAUACAUGCAAACCUAGGUGUUAGUGUGUGAAGCAUGACUCGCUUUGUAAACCAUAUAUCAUAAUAUAGGAGCACACGGUAAUGAAUAGGGAACAUGGUUUUCAUAAUUUUAAAAAAUUAAUACAUAAAUUUUGAAAUUAUAAUUUUAACCUUUUAAAUAUCUAAACUAAGUAAUCAUCAUAAUAGGAAAUUUAUCCCAAAUACCCUUUUGAACCAAAUAUCCUAAAAUUGUUUUUAGGUUAUAAUUAAAUUUUGUGUUAUCAAUUUUAAUUUAAUUUUUACUAUUUUCUGUUUUCAAAUGGUUUGGUAAAUCAUUUUAAUAUAUUUAUAAUCAAUCAAGUAAAUUAAUUUAAUAUAAAAUAUAUUUAUUUAAAAUAAUUUUUAGUUUAAUAAAUAAAAUAUUCAUAUUAUACUUUUACGAUCAUAUUUUAUCCAUAUAAAUAAUAUUCACCCAUGAUAAUAUUUAUAUUUCUUUUAUAUCAUAUUUCCUACAAGAUCUCAUAUUUGAUUUUAUUUCAUGUCAUUUUGAACCUUUUAAAAAGUUCUUAAGAAAACUUUGAAACAUAGAAUUGGUUUAUUCCCUUUUUCGUUUUUCUGUUAUUUUUAUAUAAAAUAAAAAUAGAGAAAAUACCCAUAUUUGAACAAUAUACCUAUAAAUUUGGAAUUCUUUUAUGAAAAAAUCAAUUAAAAUGAAUGAGAUAAUAUUUCUAUUUUCAUCCUUGAACUAUUUAAUCGAAAAGAUAAGGAUUAAAAAAUUGUAGAAGGCAUUUUUUUCUUCUUAUUUUUAAAAGAUAAAGAUCAUUGUUUUGAAUUUUGUGUUUCAAUAUACCUUAACCAAAUAACCGUUUCUUUAUUAAAUAUUCAUUUUAUUUUAUUUUUAUCAAAUUGAUAAUAUUAAUAUACGACAAUAAUAAAUGAUUAAGAAGAAAAUAGUAAUAAAAGCAACAGAGAAAAUGAUGACGAAUAGAAUGAAGAAAGAAGAAAUCUUUUGCCUGGACAAUGCCACAUCAAAGCAAAAUGAGACCAAGGGAGGAAGUGCUCUGGAGGCUUCAAGCCUUGAAUGGAUGCCAACAAGGCGUAGUGGAGCCAUCCCCUUGACUCACGCCUGAGCAAAGCCUGAGCCAUGGUAACAAAUAUCUUUGAAUAAAGAAUAUUUUUCUUACAUACCCCAAUUAUUGUUAUAUCUAAUUGACACCAUAGUACGUGCUAAUAUGCCUAAAAAACUUGUUAGAUGCAAAGAAGCUUGUCCAACAUAAAUACCAUCGGGAUUGUACUUCAUCAUAAGCUUUACCCUUCUACUCUAGUUCUUGAUAAUCAUAGACUUUUGAGUUAUCCCUCUACACCUCCUUUUUGUAGGUGGUUUUUCUCCUUGCUCUAGAUCCCUACUUGUAAUAAAAAUAGUUAUAAAGUUUAAAAGUAAGUUUAUAAAAUAUCCAUAAAUCCAUACAAAAUUUGUAUGAAAUAUCUAACUAAAAUUUUAAGUAUCAAAACUUCAAUUGAGCUAUAUAGAACACAAUAUUGAAAAUAGAUCUGUCAAUGUUUUUUUGAAGCCAAUCUGACAUUAACUAAAAUUGAAACCAUACCAAUUAUCUAAUAGUAUAGACAAAUGAACCAAUAAGCAUAAGGUUUACCUUCUAGAAAACUAUACUAGCAUAUCAAUUCACCACAUAAAAAAUGAACAACAACUACUUAGACAAAUACAUGUUGCAAUAAAAACUAAAAUGCAUUUUGAAAUAAAAUAAAAUUUUGAUCACAUCAUUAUAACAAGCCUUCAAUUCAUUUACAUAUAAGAUUUGUUCUUAACCCAAAUCCCCUCACCAUCACGUCACAUACAAAUUGCAUCAAAGUCUUCCAUAGCAUCAAAUGAUUCAACUUGUGGCAAAGAAAAAAUGACUGGAUGGUGUUCAAUAGAGUUGUCCAUGAGAUCAUCACCCUCGUCCCUUUCCAAGAAGUCUUGUUGAGAAGUUGAUAAAACAAUUGACCAUCUUGGAUCAAGUUCAUCUUGUACGUAUAAAACUUGCUUAGCCUAAGAAGCUAAAAUGAAAAGAUUUGAUUUAUGAGCCAUUUUGUUGAAGUCAGCUAAGGUUAACCUAAGAUCAUCAACUCUAAUUCUGUUCUUAUUAUCAACCCAAUCACAAUUGAAGAUUGGAAUCCUAAACAUGGUAAAAUCAAGGUUCCAAAUCUCAGUAAUAACCCCAUAGAAACAAACCUCACCAAAUACUGGAUUUUUAUCCUUGGCACUAGCAAUUUGCAUUGUUGUUGCUACAAUAUUGACUCCACUGUUUUGGGUAGCUCGUAAAUCAUCAUGCCCCUUGGUAUGGUAGUGGCACCCAUAAUGACACAACCUUGAUACUUAAACACAUAAUGGCUAGGACCAUGAGCUAUCCAUUUAAGGGUUUUAGAUUAGGUUCUUCAUUACUAAUGGCAACUUCAACUUGUAUAGAUAAGUUAUAGUUAUUAUUAACAUAGAUAACCAUGAGUGUAAAGAAUACGAUAAAUUUUACUACCACUCUAGUACCUUAUGUCGCAACCAAUAAGUAAAAGUACGCAUAGGCUCAUCUUGUAGCCAUUUUUGUCUUUUAGCUUGACAUGGAUAUUUCAUUUUCAACCAUUUCAUGUGAUCUUUAUGAAGUCAUGUAUAAUAAUUUUAUAGUUAGUAUCCUAUAUUUAUUAUAAGUAUGAUAAACAAAGAAACAAAAGUGUGUCCCACUUACUUGACAUAAGGUUGGAUGAUUGUUGUAUUCUCCAACACAUAAUGAUGUGCUUGUAACCAUAAAUUGGAAUCAACCUUCAUGGUAUGACCUCCAAAUAUAGGUGCCCCAACUUUUGGUCAAUUUUUGAAGUAUUGGGAAUUCCAAUUGCACUUACAUUUGAUAAGUACUUUGUAUAAAACUCGAUGCUUUCCUUUGCAAUAUAACAUUUAGCAAUGCAACCUUUGGGUUGUUUACGAUUUCGUACAUAGCCUUUUAACACUUUCUUAAACCUUUCAAAUGGGUACAUCUACCUAAGGUAAAUCGGUCCACAAAGGCUCACCUCUUUUACAAGAUGCACCGUAAAAGAUGUACCAAGAUAUCAAAGAAUGAAGGUGGGAAAUACUUUUCAAACAAGCACAAUGUCACCACAACCUCAUUUUGUAACUCAUCUAAUGUAGACCUCAACCACUUUUACUAUAGAGAGCAUUGAAAAAUGAACUCAAUCUACAAAUGCCAUUCCUCACAUGCUUUGGAAAAAUAGUUUGUAAUGAAACUGUCAAUAACUAUUACAUUAAUGUAUGAUAGUCAUGGGAUUUCAAGCCAUAAAGCUUCAAGUCUUCCAUUGACACAAUGCUUCGAAGGUUAGAGCAAUAUCCAGAAGGAACCUUCAAUUGUGAAAGAGUUUGGCAAAAUACCUUCCUUUCCAUUUUGGAAAGUGUAUAACAUGUAGGAGGGAGAUAUGUUCUCUUUGAUUCAAACCUUGGUGCCAAUUCACUUCUUAAGCCCAUGUCUACGAGAUUUAAAUGAUAGUUGAGUUCAUCCUUUGUCUUACCUGGAAUGUUGUGUAAGAUACUAAUGAUGCUUUCACAAACAUUUUUCUCAAUAUGCAUUACAUUCAAAUUAUGAUGAACAUGAAGAUAUUUUCAAUACUCAAGAUCAAAGAAUAUGAACUUCUUCUUCCAACAAUUUGCAUUGAUAACUUUGGAUUUACCACGAUUAACUUUUUUUUCCUCCAUGAAUUACAAAUGAAAUUAAUUUUCUUGAGAAUUUCCUUUCCACUUAAUAUUUGUGGAGGUGGCUUAAACUCUUAUUCACCAUUGAAUGUUUUUUUUUUCCCUAAAUGGAUGGUUACAUGGAAGAAACCAUCUAUGUCCUGUAUAUGAGUUAUUUUUUUCCCUGUUUCAAUCUACGAGAAUAUGUUUAUUUAUUGCAUAUUGAAUAACCAAAAUAUCCUUUAACUGUGCACCCAAACAAGUUUUCAUAUACAGGAAAGUCACUGAUUGUCCAUAAUAGAACAACUCUUAAUGUAAAGAACUCUUGUUGAUGUGCAUCAUAAGCUUGGACUCUGAUCUCCCACAAUGUUUUAAGAUCUUCUAUCAACGAUGCUAAAUAGAUGUAAAUGUCAUUCCCAAGUUUUCGUGGACUUGAAAUUAACAAAUAUAACAUCAUAAAUUUUUUCUUCAUGCACAACCAUGGAGGAAAGUUAUAAAUUAUCAUGAGAAUAGGCCAACAGCUAUGUUUGCUACUUAAUGAACUGUGAGGAUUUCUACCAUCUGCUGAGAUGACAAGUCUCAGGUUUCUAGGUUCUGAGGAAAACUCAGGCCAUCUAUGGUCAACUAGCUUCCAUGAUGGUGAGUCUAAUGGAUGACGCAUUUUCCCAUCAAAAUCUCUUUCUUUGGCAUGCCAUAUGAGCUUUUUUGUGAUUUUUGAUGAUUGAAACAUUCUUCUAAAUCUUGGAACUGAAGGAAAAUACCACAUUACUUUUGCAGGAACUCCCUUCCUCUUUUUAGUUCUUGUCCUAUUUGUCUUCCACCUUGAAGUUCCACGAGUAUGACAUGAGGAUGCAUCUUUCAACUCAUUCCUAUAAAGUAUACAAUCAUUGGGACAUGCAUGUAUUUUCUCAUAUUCCAUUCCCAAUGCAUUCAAUGUCUUUUUUGCUUCAUACAUAGACAAAGGCAACUCAUUAUUUACAAGCAACAUAUUUCCAAGCAUUUCUAAAAGCUCUGAAAAGCUUUUAUCAAACUACCCAAAGCGUGCUUUUAUUUUUAUAAUUUAAUCAAUGUAGACAAUUUUGUAAAGUUUCUACAACUAGGAUAUAAAGGUUUUCUACAUCUUUCAAUAACCAUUUCUAUUGUAUUAUGCACAUCAUCAAAUUGAACUCUAUCAUAAUAUUUUGCUCUUAUAGUUGGUGGUCCAAUUGGAGUUGCCUCUCCAUGCCAAUACCAUGUAUGGUAACUUUGAUCAAUUCCAUGGAAAAACAUAUGCUUUCUAAUCUUUUGAGGAGUAUGGAAUAUCAUAUUACCACAUUGUAAGUAUGGACAUUUAAUGGAGUUUUUAUUUACAGAAUUUUGUAUUGUAAAUGUGAUAAAAUGUUCAACCCCAUCCUUAUACUUCUUCGAUCUUCUAUCCUUUGAAAUCUAUGAACGAUCCAUUUUUUAAUAACAAACUUCCAAUAGUGAUCAAACUUCAAAUUGAAGAAAAUAUCAAUAUUUUCUAUAUCAUUCAUUUAGCAACCUUUCUUUCCUCUGUUCAAAGAAUAAUCAAGAAUCAAUUUAAUACAACAUUUGAUUAAAAGGCUAGAUUUAAGAGAAAAAGGGGUGAGCAUUAAUGUCCUAACCAUUUUGAAUUUUGUAUAUAGAUUUACACUAUUGGAAUAACACACUAAUUAUUGACAAUUUUAAAAAGUGCCAAGGAAAAAAAAGGUCAUUGUAUAUGUUAUACAUAGUAGUGAUUAAGAAGCUAUAAAUGUUAUUGACCUUGAAUACUUGCAUUAAAGAUGAUGUACAACCUCAAUUAAACAAGUGCAUAUUAAUAUUAUUGACAUAUACAAUUCAAGUUGUGUUGCAUUUUUUAUGGCAUUUAACAUCUCCAACUUCGUAAAUUAGGGAGUGGUUCCUAUCCCAUAUAAGAAUACAUAAUCUUUAUGUGUCAACUGCCAAUGUGCUCAAUUUAAUUUUAAAAAAAAAAAAAAAAAUGGCAGCAUUUCCCUAUGGUUCUCCAAGUACACAAAAUGAACAAGACAUAAUAUGUGACCUUGUCCAAGUAUGUACCCAGAGAACAAGAAGAAAGAGUACCAAAAUUUCUUUAAAAUGAAUUAAGAAUAAGCAAUUAACUUCAUAGCUAUUAUGUUUUCCUACACUAUCCAAUCAAACAAUUCAAACAUCAUUUGUAGAGAAAAGAUCUUUAUCACAUGGUAGACAAUUUAAAAGUUGUCAUCGUGAAACUAGUAUAGAUAAAACCAUUUUCACCUUUUGACAACUAAAAUGUCUUUACUAUCUAAUAACAAAAAUUUGUCUCACAAUGAUACUUGAACGAGAACUCUAAGAUUGCAUGCAAGCAUAGUUGAUUAAAAUUAAAACACAAUUACUUACUAAAAUAUUACAAAAAAAAAAAACAUAACUCUCAUUCUAUCAUGUUUAUCUUAAAUAUAUAACAUUUAACAUGGAGACCUAAAAACCUUUUCGCAACUUAGAGAGAAACAUCUUUUACAAAAAGGUCUACACCAAAUCUAAUCAAAUUAAUCUAAAUUGACAAUUUUAAAUAUACAUCAAGUAAUUAUCCUACAAAACAAAUAAUAAGGCAAUCAAAAUUUUAUAAUUAAUUUUUUGGUCCAAAUUUUAGCCUAUAAUGGUAUUUUGUGAACUAUAUAAUUUUAACUUGUCUCUAUGUAGUGCUUUUAUAUUUGGUGUUUUUGAGAAGAAUUCACAAGCAUUAUAGGGAUAAUAUAUGGCUUAACAUACAUUUUUUUUUCAUUUAAAAUAAAAAUUAUGAAAACAUUAAGUAUUAAGAUGGCAAUAUUUUUGGUUUGAUUAAAAUUUUAAUCUCUUUAUUAUAAAACUAAUAUAAUAUACAUCUAAAUAAUAUGUAAAGAAAUUCUAGAUGCCUAUGUAAAAAAAUAAAUAGUGCAUCCUAAUGGAAAAACUAAGAAUUAAUUUCAUAUUUUGGAACAUUCUAUAUAGUCAAUGAUACAAAUAAAUUAGAUUAAACAAUAUAUUCAAUUAACAUUUCAUCACUUAAAAUUAACACAUGCAAACCCUACGUGUUAGUGUGUAAAGCAUGACUCGCUUUGUAAACCAUAUAUCAUAAUAUAGGAGCACACGGUAAUGAACAGGGAACAUGGUUUUCAUAAUCUUAAGAAAUUAAUAAAUAAAUUUUGAAAUUAUAAUUUUAACCUUUUAAAUAUCUAAACUAAGCAAUCAUCGUAAUAGGAAAUUUAUCCUAAAUACCCCUUUGAACCAAAUAUCCUAAAAUUGUUUUUAGGUUAUAAUUAAAUUUUUGUGUUAUCAAUUUUUAUUUAAUUUUUACUAUUUUCUAUUUUCAAAUGGUUUGGUAAAUUAGUUUAAUAUAUUUAUAAUCAAUCAAGUAAAUUAAUUUAAUAUAAAGUAUAUUUAUGUAAAAUAAUUUUUAGUUUAAUAAAUAAAAAUUUAUAUUAUACUUUUACGGUAAUAUUUUAUCCAUAUAAAUAAUAUUCACCCAUCAUAAUAUUUGUAUUCCUUUUAUAUCAUAUUACCUACAAGAUCUCAUAUUUGAUUUUAUUUCCUGUCAUUUUUAACCUUUUAAAAAAUUCUUAAGAAAAUUUUGAAACAUAGAAUUGGUUUAUUCCCUUUUUCGUUUUUCUGUUAUUUUUAUAUAAAAUAAAAAUAGAGAAAAUACCCAUAUUUGAAAAAUAUACCUAUAUAUUUGGAAUUCUUUUAUAAAAAAAUCAAUUAAAAUGAAUGAGAUAAUAUUUCUAUUUUCAUCCUUGAACUAUUUAAUCGAAAAGGUAAGGAUUAAAAAAUUGUAGAAGACAUUUUUUUCUUCUUAUUUUUAAAAGAUAAAGAUCAUUGUUUUGAAUUUACUGUUUCAAUAUACCUUAACCAAAAAACCGUUUCUUUAUUAAAUGUUCAUUUUAUUUUUUUAUCAAAUUGAUAAUAGUAAUAUACGACAAUAAUAAAUGAUUAAGAAGAAAAUAGUAAUAAAAGCAAUAGAGAAAAUAAUGACGAAUAGAACGAAGAAAGCAUAAAUCUUUUUCCUGGACAAUGCAACGUCAAAGCAAAAUGAGACCAAGGGAGGAAGUGCUCUGGAGGCUUCAAGCCUUGAAUGGAUGCCAACAAUGCGUAGUGGAGCCAUCCCCUGACUCACGCCUGAGCAAAGCCUGAGCCAUGGUAACAAAUAUCUUUGAAUAAAGAAUAUUUUUCUAACAUACCCCAAUUAUGUACUAAAGUAGACAGCUGAGAGUUACUACUUGUAAGCAAGAAUAGCCUGAUCAUCUUCAUUGAGGAGCAUUCAUAAACACUACUACUGUUUUAAAAGUGGAUUUAUGCAAAUUUAAUACAGAAUUCCUCCAACAAUCACCCAAGAAGACUUGAUCUUUACUUAAUUAACAAGUCCAAAUAGAGAUAUUUGGGCUUAGGUAGAGAUAUGAUCUACUGGACCUAUAUAUAAGAUGAAAUUGAAUCGUGACAUUUAUUAGUUUAUGUCAUUUUAUACGCAAUGUUGUCGUUUUCAUAGCAUAACUAUAUUUUGUUUUCCUAAAGAUCUUUUAGGCAUAUCUCAUAAUGUUAUAGAAUCUGGGUUAUAAAAUUAACUAAUUGAUAAAAUUGUUCACAAUUAUUUUUAGUAUUGUGACGUUGAUUUAAUAAAAUUCCACUUAGUAGUUUUAUAUCCCUUAAUAGCCAUGCCUCAUAGUUUUAAUAUGAAAUAUUUUUGUUUCCAUGGCUAAUCUCACCUUGUAUAUUUGAAAGCCCUGUUAUUCUUGGAGAAAUGUUAAUUAAAAACUCGAGUUUGCUCUAUUUUAGUCAUCAACAAACCCUAUCUAGUGGUAGCAAUAAAUUUACCCUGAUUAACAAUAUAAAAAAAGGCAUAAUAUAAAGGAAGAUGUGAUGUUGUAAAGAUUUGACCCCAAGAAACCAUGAAAAAUGAAACUAUUGCAAUUUAAAUAUUAAAACUAAGCAGAGACGAGAGCUAAAUAGUGGUAUAAACCUAGAUAGUGCAAUAGGUGAAGAAAUAGCAUAGGAUCAAAUUUGUAUGCAAGUUUUUGUCUUUAAACAUGCAAUUGUUUGAAGCAUGAGAAAUUCUCAAUAUUUAAUUUCCAUUACAUUUUAUUAAUCAUUUCCUUUUAUGGACAAAGAUUUUGGAUGUAUAUAUUAGUGAAAGUGAGGACUCAAGCAUGCUAUCUGAUCAAAGAAUUUCCAAUGAUUUUUUUUUUCUAGCUCCCAAAUUUUUGCACUAGUCUCCUUUUCCAAUAAGUCACAUGGAAAAUUUUAAGACUAUCCACCUCAAAAGCAUUAGCAUUAGCAAAAAAAGCAAUUUAAACUUUUAGUUGUGUAUGGAAAGUAUGGGUGUGUAUUUCAUUUUCAGUAAGAAAAAAUAGCAGUAUGUACAUAAAUUACCUAUGACUGAGGAUCAAAGCAAAGAUGAAAACUGUGAUCUGGAAAGCUAAUGACUAUAUCCAGCUUCAGUGGCUCUUGUAUAAAUUGUCAUAACAAUGAGAUGUUUUACUAGAAAUAUCUCCAAUCUGCCUCUUAGCAAUGCUGGAAAUGCAAGAUACUUAAGAAGAAGACAUUAACUAGAUCAACAUCUUAUCUUAAAACUUCGAUUUAAGAAAAGAGUGCUAUCUUUGGGUACUUAGGAAUUCAGGGGAAGCUACUAAAACUUACUUUUGCAUGAUGUUUAGAUGAUAGUAACAUGAACAUCUAUGGCCAUGCUACUUCAUGGAUGAUUGUAUUAACAGAGCAAUUCCCGUGUCAAAAUUCCUUUAGUUAUCACACCUUGAUUCACUUCCAAGGCCCCAGUAAUAAAAAAAUAAAAGGUUUCAAGAACCCACAUAUUUGAUGAUGAAGUCUUCUGUUUCAAUUGACUUUAAAGCCACAAAACCAAUAACAUUUUGGUGACAUUAGCUUCUUCAUUAUUGGAGCUAUUCAAUAGCAAAUAACCCCCUACCCCACCAGCCAACCACCCUAAAAAAUACCUCAUGUUUUGGUCUUAAACACCCCAUACAAAUAUAACAAUUUGACUUGGAGAAUUCCAUAGAAUAUUUAGUAUGGGAACUACUCUGAAGAUUGACCUGUCUUGGCAAGAGCUCCAUAUGCAGAACCUACAGGCAUAAUCUACCCCAACUCCUACCCAAAAUUUUCGAUUAAAACAUAUAGGGUUUUACUUCGUUUAAAGAUAUAAAUCAAAUUCAUAGGAAUCGUUUUGGUUGGUAACACAUUUUUAUUUAAUAAACCCUAAAAAAGUUAUAUUAAAGGUGAUAAAAAAAUUAAUAUAAUUUUUAAUGAAAUUAAGAAAAACCAAGAAAAAAUCAGGACUUUACCUUGAAUCACUAAGUGGAUGGAGACAAUGGAAUGUCUUGCGGUCCCAAGUUGUUUCUUCUCAAAACAGUUGGAGUUAUUUUUCUCGUUUAUUUGGAGAAAAUAGGCUUUGGCCAAAUGGAAAAUGAAAGAAAAAAAUUAGGGUUUAGAUUAAAAGAAAAAACCCCACCAAAAUCUAUGCAUGUGCAAAACUUACUCUUCUAAUUAGUGGACUUCCCACUUCAACUGGUCUUUCAAUCUCGACUACAUUGAUGUAAUACUUCUAUUGUUGAAAUGAAAACCUGUAAAUCUCAUCUCACUUUUGGUUACUUCACAAAGGAGAAGGCCAAACACAACUCUGACAACUGACCACUAGUACAUCCUAGGCAAGUGAAGACUUAGGGUUUUGGAUGCUCUGAAUGUGAGAUUUGAAGGUAUGUGAAGGAAAAUCAUGUUUUGGCGGGUGAGGAAAUCGUGUGGAGGGAGUGGAAAUUUUAGGCAUGUUUUAGAUAAAUAUAUAUACUAGGUAGGAUAAUGACACUCUUUAGAAACAUCAAGAAUGCAAAAAUGUUAUAUAUCCAAUGACACUUAAAAUAAGCACCAACAUUUUUUAAUUUAUACAUAUCAACGACACUUGCAGAUGUGUCAUAGUAAACAAGCGCCAAUGUUUGGGCAUAAAAAAUAAAUAAUGACAUUUUUUUAAAAGUGCUAAGGAAGGAAGUGUCAUUGUUCUUGUUUUUUGUAGUAGUGAUGGUAUGGUGGAAUGAUUUUCUCUCAUCUGUGGGCGUACACAUGUUUGACCUAACCAUAUUAAAAUCUCUUAUAUCUUUAUGUGGAUUAUUUUAUUUUUGUGUAAUUGAACUAGUAUUGUUUGCAUCAAAGCUUUUGCUAGUUCAACAUAUAAUUUGUGGUGUAUGUUAGAAUUGUGUUGAAAGUGUAAGUCCUAUUCUCCUAUUUACAAAAGGCAUAAACUUUUGCACUCUAAACAUUUCAUGGCCAGCCUGAUUUUAUGCAUGUAUUCAAAACCAAAUGGUGAAUGAACACUUGAGUAGUAUUGGAGACGGAAAAGAAGAGAAGUAAUAUUGGAUAAAAGGGACANNNNNNNNNNNNNNNNNNNNNNNNNNNNNNNNNNNNNNNNNNNNNNNNNNNNNNNNNNNNNNNNNNNNNNNNNNNNNNNNNNNNNNNNNNNNNNNNNNNNUUACAUCACACAAAUUCNUUUUUUUGCAUUGAAUCUGGUUGAAGAGUUCACUACCAAUUUUUGAACUCUAAGAAUAAUAUGUAAGUAGUGCAGGCAAACACAGGAAUCUUGAAAGACAGAUAAAAAUCAAAUAACAGUCAAAAUAAAAUGUAAGUUUAACAACAUGAGAUACAAUGGAGAUCCGUAUCAAACUCCUCGAAGCUUCUGGGUCUCCAUAUUCUGCAGAGAAGUCUCGUCUGCAACUUUGUACAAGUCAACAGCCAAACUUCAUUUCCAAAUUGAUGAGUGUCCAAAAUGUGACCGACAAAUACGUUAUUAAAAGGGAAAAACAAAGGACAGAAAAAGAAAGAGAGGAGAAAAUCUAUGCUUGAUCUUUGGCACUGAAUUACUGGUUUUACUUCCAGUCAAUCCAUUCAGAUAUCUUCUCAACGCACAAGAAGGGAUUGAAAAAAUCCCAGCUCCAAUUUUCCAAAAAACAGCUUAGUCCACUAGUCAGUCAAGAACCAUGACGACUUGCAACACCCCAGUCUUCUUUGUUUUACAGAAGCUCUCAAUUUUAUAAGUGCAGACAGACCAGAAUCUCACUCAGCUCAGCUUCACAAAUUCAAGUCAGCAAUCACUCAAAUGCAUUAAACUAAUUUUUAUGCUCUUCUCCUAUUGAGAGAAAUAGGCAUUCACUUUGAAGAGACAACGCAAGUUUGUGUCAGUAGGUUAUAUGUGUACCCUGAUAAGCAAAUCCCCUCUACUGAUGGAGAUGCCAAGCUCUAGCUUGAGAUUACAGUGGUGGUUUUUCCUUGUCAACCUCAUCAUUUGUAUUAGUUUGCUUCGGUUGGAAUCUCUUUCCAGCACGCCCACUUUUGGAAAUGAAACUGAUAAGCUUGCAUUGCUCACCAUCAAGCAUUAUCUGGUUGAUGUUCCAAAUGGAGUUCUGAGUUCCUGGAAUGACUCUGCAUUUCUGCCAGUGGCAUGGGGUUACAUUCAGUCGCUGACAUCAGAGGGUCACAACGAGGGUCAAAGCUUAGGUGGUUCCUUACCACCUAUUGGGAACUGAACAUUCCAAAGAGAGUUGGUGUUGUCCAACAAUCACUUGCACGGUACUAUACCCAGUGACAUUGGUCUUUUACGAUGGAUGCAGCAUCUCAAUCUGAGCACAAAUUCCCUCCAAGGUGAGAUUCCGGUUGAAGUGCUUGAAAUAUUUAUAUUUGGAUGUAAAUAACCUGUCUGGUAUGAUUUCUCCCUCACUCUAUAAUAGGUCAUCUGCCAUUGAAUUUUUUGUAUCUGGCAACAUUCUGUCUGGAAAUUUUACUCCAAACAUGAGGUUUAAUUUUCCUCAACUCCGCAAGUUUGGCAUAGCAGGGUAUCAGUUUACUGGAAUAAUUCCAGAUACACUAUCCAAUAUUUCAGGACUUGAACUUUUGGAUCUAAGUAACAAUUAUCUAACUGGCCAAGUCCCUGAUAGCUUAGGAGUGCUCAAGGAUCUGUAUUGGUUGAACCUUGAAUUCAAUAAAUUAGGAAGGGGCAUGUCAGGCGAUUUAAAUUUUCCAUAUUCUUUGCCAAAUGUCAGCAGUUUAAGACUUAUCAAUCCACAUGCCAAUAAUUUCCGGGGCGUGUUACUCAUCUCCAUUGUUAAUCGAUCAACCCAACUGCAGAAGCUUAUCAUAGGGGGCAACAAAAUAUCUGGAAGCAUCCCAAAAGAGAUUGGGAACCUGAUCAGCUUAACUGUUUUCAGUGCAAUGCGGAAUAAUCUUACUGUGUCAUUCCCAUUUCAAUUGGCAAGCUUCAGAAUUUAAGAGUAUUCGACUUAAAUUGGAACAGGCUAUCAGGUCUGCUCCCAUCCACCGUCGGCAACUCAAGUCAACUAUACUACCUUGACAUGGGCUACAACAAUUUGGAAGGGAACAUUCCUACUCACAGGAACUGCCAAAAUAUGGAAAUUCUUUUCCUCGAUCACAAUAAGUUGAGUGGUAGUGUACCUGAAAAUGUCACUUGUCAUUUCAAUCAGUUGAGAUCACUCUACCUACAGCAAAACACAUUCACCGGUUCUCUCCCAACAGAUGUUGGUCAACUGAAAAACCUAAAUCAGCUGCUUGUUUCUGACAACAACUUGUCAGGCAAAAUCCCCAGGGAACUUGGCAGCUGUUCGAUAUUUGAGUACCUCGACAUGGCAAAAAACUCUUUCCAGGGAAACAUCCCUCUGUCAUUUAGCUCAUUGAGAGGUAUUCGGUUCCUAGACCUUUCAUGCAACAUCUUGCCUGGAACGAUUCCCAAAGAACUACAUCUUCUUGGUUUGUUGAGUUUAAAUCUGCCUUAUAACUACCUUGAAGGUGAGCUUCCAAGUGGAGGAGUUUUUAAAAAUGUGAGUGGGAUUUUAAUCACUGGGAACAAGAAGCUUUGUGGGGGGAAUCCCUCAACUUCAGCUGCCAGCAUGCUGUGAUGUAGAGUCAGCAAAGCAUGGCAAAGGGAAGCAUCUUUCAACCAAAAUUGUUAUAGCCAUAAGCAUUACUGGUGUUUCUUGCUUGGCUUUCAUAGUGGCUUCAGUUCUCCUCUAUGGGAGAAAAACGGCUGUAAUGAAGCCUUCUUCCACCUUUUUAAGAUAUGGAUACUUGAGGGUUUCUUACAAAGAGCUCCUCAAAGCAGCUAGUGGAUUUGCUUCUUCCAACUUGAUUGGCAUGGGAAGUUUUGGUUCCAUAUACAAAGGAAUUCUAAUUCGAGGUGAAAGACCUGUUGCAGUGAAGGUACUGAACCUUCAACACCGUGGAGCUACCAAGAGUUUCAUGGCUAAGUGCAAGGUCCUCAGGAAUAUUCAGCUUCGGAAUCUCCUUGGAUUCAUAACUUCAUGUUCAAGUGUGGACAACAAAGUUUGUGAUUUUAAGGCUCUAGUAUUUGAGUUCAUGCCUAAUGGGAACCUAGAUAGCUGGCUGUAUCAUGAAUCUAGAAAUUUAAGCUUCAGACAAAGAUUGGAUAUCGUAAUUGAUGUGGCUAAUGCUCUGGAUUAUCUUCAUCACCAAUGCCAGACGCCAAUUGUUCAUGGUGAUCUAAGGCCAAGCAAUGUUCUUCUUGAUGAUGACAUGGCUGCCCAUGUUGGGGACUUCGGGUUAGCCAACCUCCUUCCUGAAGCUAACGAGAUUCUGAGUAGUGGUCUGUAGGUUUUCAUUGAAACAGAGUGUGGAAACUCUUUGGAAGCAAUAGAACGUUGAGGAAUCUGAAGUUCUUAAUUUUAUUAAGCUUCAAACCACUUAUUUAUACAACUAGCUUAAAACAGAAAAACAUAAAAAUAGCAACAAACCUGCUACCUAUAGAUAAUUCCUAAAGAAUAGAAACAACCAACAAACUUCCUAAGAAAUAGGUAAAUCUUCCACAUGACUAACUUAUUUGACUACUUCCACUUCAAUCUACUCAGCUCCAUGUCAGCAGCUCCUAUGACAUGUCAUUCAACACUCCUCCUUGUCUUUGGAGCUGCAAACUCCAAGCCUUUGCCUUAAGAACUCAUAUCUAGCUUUGGGAAGUGGUUUGGUUAAGAUAUCAGCAUUCUGACUUUCUGUUUUACAGUAGACCAACUGAAUUUCUCCCUCCUUCUGUACCUCUCUUAGGAAAUAGAGUUUCAACUUGAAAUGUUUUGUUUUUCCAUGGAACACCGGAUUAUUUGCAAUUGAAAUUGCAGCUUGGUUAUCUACGAGUAUUUGUGUGCUUUCAUUUUGCUCCAUAAGCAAGUCAGCCAUUAAUUUCCUAAUCCAGAGAGCCUGAUUCACAGCAGCGGCAGCAGCUACAUAUUCUGCUUCUGCUGUAGAUUGAGCUAUGACUUCUUGCUUUUUGGAACACCAUGAAAAAAUAGCAGAACCAAAGCUGAAACAAUAACCUAAAGUACUUCUCAUGUCAUCAACACAACCUGCCCAAUCACUAUCUGAAUAACCAUGGAGAGUAAAGUUUUUAACUUGACAAAACCUCAGACCAUAGUUAAUUGUACCCUUGACAUAUCUAACAAUUCUUUUUGCUGCUUGAAAGUGAAUUUCACUAGCACAAUGCAUGUACCUUGAGAGUAAACUUACAACAUUCAUAAUAUCUGGUCUAGUUGCCGUUAGGUACAUCAAGCACCCAAUAAUGGUCCUGUAAAGCCUUUCGUCAGCUUUUGCAGCUCCAUUUUUUUUGCAAAACUUCUCAUUUUGAUUCAUUGGAGUUGCACUUGGAUUGCACUCUUCCAUCUUGAACUUUUUCAGGAUUUCCUUGGCAUAUUUCUGUUGACAUAUGAAGAUCUCAUUCUGCUUUUGUUGUACCUCCAUGCCAAGAAAGAAUGUCAUCCUCCCAAGAUCAGUCAUCUCAAAAACAUCCUUCAUUUCCUUUUUGAAAUUGCCAAUUUGCUUCAUACUGCUUCCUGUCACAAGUAGAUCAUCAACAUAUAAAGAUACCACAAGUGUUUCAUCACAAACCUUCUUGAAGUAUAGAGUAAAUUCACUUAGGCUUUUUGUAAAGCCUAACCCUAACAAAUGUGAAUCAAUCCUACUGUACCAUGCCCUUGGUGCCUAUUUUAAACCAUACAAGGCCUUUUUCAGCAAAUAUACUUUAUCCUCCAUUCCUUUAACAAUAAAACCUUCAAGCUGCUCCACAAAAAUUUCUUCCUCCAAGUAUCCAUUCAAGAAGGCUGAUUUGACAUCCAUCUGAUGUAUAUUCCAGCCCUUUUGAGCAGCAAGAGCCAGGAACAUUCUUAUAGUGUCCAAUCUAGCAACUGGGGCAAAAGUCUCAGAGAAAUCCACCCCCAAACAUCUGAGCAUAUCCUUUGACAACCAGUCUUGCCUUGUGUUUGUUUAUAGAACCAUCAGAAUUGAGUUUGGUUCUAUAAACCCACUUGACUCCAAUUGCCCUUUUAUGUCUUGGUUUGUCCACUAGCUCCCAAGUCUGGUUUUUUUCAAUCAUUUUAAGCUCCUCCUUCAUUGCAUCCAUCCAUUUUUUAUCCGUUGCAGCUUCUUCAUACCUUGCAGGCUCUAUUAUAGCAAUAUUGCACCUCUGAUAGAUGUCAGAGAGUGAUCUGGUUCCCCUGACAGGUUCAUCAUCAAUAUUGGCAUUCUCCUCCUGAAACUCAAGCUUCUUAUCAUUCUCCCAACUUCAAAUUCGAAGAAUUUGACAUCUCUACUAACUAUGACUUUGUUGUUUUUUGGAAGAUAGAUUCUAUAGGCCUUUGAUAUUGAGUUAUAACCUAUAAAGAUCCUAGCUUCUGCUUUCUUAUCCAAUUUGUCUCUCUUAACAUGUGGAAUAUAAGAGAAACAAAGACAACCAAAUGUUUUUAAAUUUUGCAGCCUUGGUUUAUAGCCAUACCAUGCUUCAAAUGGAGUCUUUUGUUGCAAAGCUUUUGUUGGCAGUCUAUUUAGCAGAAAGACUGAUGUAUGUGCAGCCUCAGCCCAGAAUUUCUUUGGCAGCCCUUUCUCAUGCAGCAAACACCUUGUCAUUUCCAUAAGUGUUCUAUUUUUCCUCUCAACGACUCCAUUCUGUUGAGGGGUAUAAGGUGUUGUAAGCUGGUGCUCAAUGCCUGCAUCCUCACAAAAUUUGUUAAAUUUCUCCGAGGUGUAUUCAGUUCCAUUAUCAAACCUGAUCACUUGCAUUUUACAUUUACUUUGAUUUUCAGCCCAAGCUUUAAACUUCCAAAAGAUGUCAGCAACCUCAGAUUUAAAUUUCAUGAAAUAAAUCCAGCACAUUCUUGUGUGAUCAUCAAUGAAAGCAAUAUAGAACUUACUGCCAUUCAGUGAUGGUGUUCUCUGAGGUCCUCCCACAUUAGUGUGUACUAACUGCAACUUCUGAGUAGCUCUCCAGGCCUUGUUUUGUGGGAAAGGAAGUCUUGCUUGUUUCCCGUACUGACAUGCUACAUAGGUAGGAGGCUUCACCUCUAAUUCAGGCAAGCCUUCUCCAAGAUCGUUCUUCUUCAUAAAGAGAAGGGCGCUAUGAUGAAAGUGCCCCAAACGCCUAUGCCAAAGCAUUGUAUUGCUUUCUUCUUUGUGAAUUGCAGCCUGCUCUUCUUGCAUCAAAUCCAAGGCAAAGCCUUUGCCUUUCAUUUGAACUAUAAAUACCUCUCUGCCUUGUGCAUCAGCAAUCAUGCACCGAUUGUCCUCAAACAUCACCUUAUAGCCUUUUUCCAGCAGCUGACCGACACUCAAUAGAUUUUGAUUAAUCUCAAGAACAUAUAAGACAUUAGAAAUUAAUUUCAAACCUGUGUGGCCUUCAAUUGCCACUGUUCCUUUGGCCUUACUGCAAGAUAUGCUCCAUUUCCAAUUCUAACUUUGGAAGUAACAGUUUUGUCAAGUUCCUUAAAGAGCCCUUGAUCAUAAGUCAUAUGGUUUGUACAACCACUGUCUAUAAGCCAAGUUUCUGGGGAGCUACUAGUGGCAAAGCAUGAUACCACAAAUAGUUGCUCAUCUGGAAGUUCUUCCACAGCAACCUUGACUUCUCCUUGCUGCUGUUGAGAUUUGCAAAUCCUUUCCACAUGCCUUAGAUGACCACACUUGUGACAUCUUACAUCCGGCCUCUACCAACACCUUUUUUGUGGAUGAUUGGAUUUUUUACAGUAAGGACAUGGUGGAAACUUUUGAGUGUUGUUGUUGCUGUUAUUGUUGCUUUGCAUCUCUUUUUUGUACUGAGAUAUGGCUUGAAAUGCACCCUCCACAGAUCCUUCUUGUCUCAUAAGCCUCCUUUGUUCUUGAGCCUGUAAUGCAUUCAACAACUCUGCCAAGGUGAUACUUGACACAUCUUUUGAGUUUUCUAGAGAUGAUAUUGUAGUCUCAAACUUUUCAGGAACUGUUAUAAAAAUUUUCUGAACCAUUCUAGAAUCAAAAAAGUCAGUACCAAGAAGUCUUACUUUGUUAACAAUACUAAGAAGUCUGUCUGAGUAAUCCUUGAUUGUUUCUGAUUCUUUCAUCCUUUGCAUCUCAAAUUCUCUAAUCAAGUUCAGCACUUGCAUACCUUUGACUCGUUCAUUUCCUUCAUAUUCCUUCUUCAAGAAGUUCCAUAUUUCAUUUGUUGUCUUCAGUGUCAUGAUUCUGGUGAAAAUUGUAGAUGAGACAGCUGCAGCUCAAGAGAACCACAUAAUGCGAUGCUCUAAGGGUUUCAAAGAAAGACACGAGGCUUGGGAGAGGUUGAGUUCAAGAUUAGCUAAGGUAGUACAUAGGGUUCCUUAAGGAAGUACCUAAAGGGAGGAAUAUAUUAAUUAUUCAUAUAUAGCUUCCCCUCCCUAGACGAAGGAAACAAAAUCUUUUGCACUUUGUUUUGAUAUGUAAUUGCCUUUCUAACAAUUGGGUAAAUCAUUUGACCUAAUAAAUGUUUAGAUCAUUGUAUUAGUAAAUAAGUCCGUAGGUGAAACAACUACAUUAAUUCCUUUUUUGAAAAGGCCUUUGAGAAGCCAAAAACUAUUUUUAAAUUGAAUAAGAGCUUAACUAAUUUUUUUAAAAAGAGUUAAAAGCUACAUAAUAUGAAAUCUAGGAAAACGUUAAUUUGUCGUAGAAGCUUUAUUUUAGCUUAUAUGGGAAACUAUUUUAUGUUAUAAGAUCAAUAUUGCCCUUUGAGAAUUAUAGCUUCUUCCUUGAGCUAAAGGCAAAAACAAAAACCUAUCCGAGUAGGAGAACAAAGUACAAAACUUGAUUCUUACCAGGAAAGCAUAAAUUGAAAAUCACCAAUUAUCCCAACAUCCAACUCAAUAAAUUAAAACACCUCAAAAUCAAAAUGUCAAAAAUAUAUCAAUUUUCUUCUAUUGAAACAUAAAACAAACUGAAUGCUUGAAACAACAUCAACCAUCCAUUAAUUUGAUUUUUGGUCAAUCACCCAUUUCUUUCUUUUUUAAAAAUAAGAAGACCACACAUUUAGGUAGAAUCGCUCUCUGCUACAACGUAGGCAAUGCCUACAUAAGAACUAAAUCCUACCCACAAAAUGUCUCCUCAAAAAACUAUAAUUAAAAAAAAUGAAAUAAACAAGGGAGACAUCAGUUAUAUAUAUAUAAACAAGGGAGACCAGUUCAAUUGCAAGAAAUCAAAGAACAAAAGGUUCACAAACUUGAAAGCUACCUUUGAAAUUCUUGAAAAAAGUAACAGAUUACUGUACCACGACAUUGAUUAACCCAAUGAAAGAAUUUAACUCCACAAAAAGAUAUUUACGCAAAUGAGGUUAGGCUUUUAAGGAUUUGGGUUUUCAGGAUGAAGAGAAAGACGAGGCAGAGGCCAAGGUUUCAAAAAUUUAGGGUUCUAGGAGGGACAAAAGCAAAUGGAGUUUUAGGUUUCCGUUGACAGAGUUGGUGUCGAGGUGAAAAACGUUAGAUCUUUUUAUUUUUUAUUUUUUGGGCUUUUAAGGUUUUUUGGGUAUUCAGAUGUGGAGGCUGAGCUGGACGAAUGGGAGGGCAUUUUGGGAAUGAAAGCACACUUCAGUACAGAGUGCAUGGAAUUGCCAAUAUUUUCGGCAUUAGCACAGAUUUCUUGAUUUUCCCAAAGUUGGGGGUUGAAAAAUCCUAACAUUGUGAACCCUUGUUUUAUAGGUAGAGCAUAAGGUGUGUCCAUUGUGACACUGUAAAGAAGUCAACUUGGUAAAAACCACGACACAAUUUUUAUGCCUUAAAAGCAAAUAUAAACAAUUAAAAAGAGAGUCGAAAACUCAUUUUUGAUCUAUUUCUGAACCAUACCAGGCAGUAGAUACCAGACUUUGCAAUCAAACAUCUUAUUUGAUGCGAAGGGACAAGCCAAUGACCAAACAAAUAGAGGAGAAAACAAAGUGUCGAGGAAAAGAUGCCACAGAAAUCAAAAGAAAGUGAAAAAGUGUGAGUCACUUGAAUUUCUUAAAUAGCUAAAAACAGGUGGCUUACCUAUUAUGGCUCUUCAUGAUGAUUUAUUCUUUUGGUGAGAUUCUAGGUUGUGAUAAGCAUACAUGGCAAAAGAAAAAAAAAUGUUUUAAGAACACAUGGAACAAUGAUUAAUCAUCUUUCCGUGGAAGAAAAAACAUCUAGCUGGAAUACGUUGACAAUGGAAAGGAAGCAAUCAAAAGGAAGAACAACCAUUCAACAGUUCCACCCGAAAAAUCCAAUGCAAGGUAUAGCAAAAUAUAACAAUCACAAAGGAAACAAAUUAUUAUGUGAUCUACCAGUAAGUAACAGAGACCAGAGAACAUGGGAGUACACUAUUGAAGAGCCGCUUGGAACACUAGUCUACUCAUAAUAAGUAGAAAUAGUGAAAUAGUUCCAAUUAAGUUAUAAGAUGGUUCAAAACCUCAUAAAACUAGAUAAGAACUUCCAGUUAUCUUCUAAUUUUAGCAGAAACUAGAGAAAUUAGUCUUCCAACUAUAAAUAACUGUGAAAACCCUUAAGAUUUCAGAUAAUCAAUAGAAGGAAUCCCAGAUAGAGAUGGUGUUAAAAUAUGUCAACAAGUCUAAUUAUAAGAAUAUUCACAUACUCCAACAUAACUUGUCAAGCAUAUGAUACUCAUAAACUGUUUUAAUUUCAUACUAUAAAUGAUAAUAAAAAAAAAUGCACUAGCAUCUCUCUCUUAACUUCAUAAAGCUGCAGAUAACAAUAGGAAAAUUAAAGAUGUUUGAAUUAAAUUUAUAGGAGCAACAGCCUAACAGGAGAACGUAUAAUUCUUAAAGAAUGGAUUAAAGAUCAGUCUUGUGUGUAACAAUAUCCUUUGUUUCUGAAGCUCUGGAUGGAUGGGGCAAAGUGCUUUCAAGAUUAUCCACUGUGAUGUUAUUUGAUACAAUCAAGGCAGGAAGACCAGCAGAAUUGUUUAUAAUAAGUUUUGGUAUCAUACUAUCAUGGAGUUUCUUCUAGAAACAAUUCAACAUAAUUCUUCUUAACACAUUACAAUAUAGGAGUUUAAAAGGUUCUCCCCAUCAUGAAACUAAUCACUUCAAAUUGACAACCAAUUCGAAUCAGCUCCAAUAUCAAAAUAAGCAAUCCACAAAAAACCCAAGUGCCAUUCCAUCCAUAUACCAAAAUAAACCUUCAAAUCCAUUUGAAGAAAUCAUUUCAUCCAAAACCCACUUGUAAAAACACAUUAAACUCAACAAAAAAAACAUACCAAAAAAUAAUCCAUCAACCCCAAAAACCCCAAAUCAAUUUCCCUUGUUGAUUGAUUGAUUGCAAUAGUAUUACACAGGCUUAUCAUUUUGUCGCCCUAGAAAAUGAAAUGCCCAAGUUCUCAAUUGAGUGGAGAUUUCAAAACAUUGAAAAACCUAAUACCCCAAAUUCUAAUAUUUUUUGUUCCUUCUCCCACAAUUCUCAUCAACCAAACGGAGAAUGACGAACGUAUCAAAUUCUCUAUUGAUGGGAGAUUUCAAUUUUCUUGCUUCCCAAACAAUGCCCAAAACUCCAAAAUUUCCCUUUUUCCCAUACUUUCCUACCAAUCAAACAGACAAUAACCAAUCCAAGAAACCACCUAAAGAGGAGAAGAAAUGCACACAUAUACACACUCACUUGGUGGAUUGGUGGGUACAUGUAAUUGGUGCACACGGGGCACUCAAGCAAUUCAUGAACGCUAGUCGCCGGAGCAGUCGCCGAAGGAACGACGCCUUUUUGAAGAGGCUUCGACGAGAACUGAUGAACCACAUGAUUGUGAUUGAGAUUGUGAUGAUGGUAAUGAAGGUGGUAGAUCUCCUCUUCUUCCAUGUCAUCCGAUGAUGAUACACACUCGAUAUUAUCCAAGUCCAUUAACACACGACCAGAACCAAACAGCUCCUAAAAAGGAGGUUCUUUUCUUCCUUCUUCUCUCUAUCUGUUUUUGUAUCGAGUUUCCCCAAAUUUGAAAGCUUAUCGGGUCGGUUUUACAAAUUUGAUAACUUUGAAGAACCCGGGCGGGGGGGGGGGGGGGGGGGGGUUUUUGGAAAGGGGGGUUUUAAAAAAGUUAUAAUGGGGGAAAAAGGAAAAAAUUUUUUUAAAAAGGGGAAAAUUUUGGGGUUUAAAAAAAUUGGGGUUUGAAAAAAAAAUUUUGGGGAAAGGGGCCCCCCAAAAAAAAAUUUUCCCUUUUUAAAACCCAAAUUUUUUUUUUAAAUUCCCCACAAAAUUUAAGGUAAAAAAAAAAAAAGGGGAGGAAGGGUUUUAAUUUUCUUUGUUGGGGAACUUUUUUUUUUAAAAGGGAAAACCCCAAAAGGGGUUUCUUCCCCUUUUAAAAAAAAUUUUUUCCAAAAAUCCGAAGACCCCCCUUUAACCUGGGGGUUUUUUUUUUUUUUUAAACCCCUUUUCCGGAUUUCCAAAGGGAAAAAAACCUUUAAAAANNNNNNNNNNNNNNNNNNNNNNNNNNNNNNNNNNNNNNNNNNNNNNNNNNNNNNNNNNNNNNNNNNNNNNNNNNNNNNNNNNNNNNNNNNNNNNNNNNNNCCGGGGGGGGGGGGGGGGGGGGGGGUCUAUUGACAAGGAUGCAUUAUAAACAGUAUAUAGUGCGUAAAAAGGAAAUAAUUUUUUGAAAUAGUGGACAUAUCUUGGGUUAUACAAACUUGGGGUUUGAAAAUAAUAUUAUUGGGAAAUGGGCCUCCCAAAACACAACUUUCCCUUUUAAGAAUCCAAAUUUUUAGUUCAAAUUCCACUACAAAUUCGAUGUAAAAAUAAAAGACUGUAGAGUAUGGUUUUAACUUUCCUUGCUUGCGACUCUUCUUUUUCAAUAUGGAUAAGCCCAGAGCGGGUUCUCUCCCCUCUUAGAAAAGAGUUCAUCCAAAGAUCCGAGAGCCCUCAUCUACACGUGUGCAUUAUCUUCUCUUUUAGACCCCUUCCUCGGAUUGCCAAAGGGAACAAGACCUUGAAGAAACACAGAAUAAACGAAAUGACUAUUUUUUUUGUGAGCCAUGAGGUUAUUCUUCUAACCAUGCCCGAAAUCGUACCUCUCCAAUUUUGAAAAUAUUCCAAUAUAAAGGAGAGGAAAAAGCAAGAGCAGAGGAUGCAAGUGAGGAAUGAAAGGGCAGAGGAAUGUGGUAAAACAGCGUACAAGCCGGUUGUGAAAGCGAUGGCCAUUGCUCCCAUGCCAAUCAUGGUCAAAAUAAAGGCCGAAACCAAGUGCUUUGCAAGGAACUCCUCCCCAUUACGCAUGGUCAUAAAAAAGUGAAGAAAUACAGCGCAUAGUGAGGAGACCAUGGCUAUGGUAUCCGUCACAACAAAUGCUCUGAAAGCUGCUUUCUUUGAUAAAAUUGCCUUGCCAUCAUCACCAUUGUAACCACCGGGCAAAGUGAAACCCGCAGCAUAAGUUACUGUUGUUAUAAGCGCGGAAACUAUCAAAUGGGUAGACCUUGUUUUUGUAAUUCAGAGGUACGUUUCUCCUUGUCCUCUUUGCUUUCUUUCUCUUUCUUCAAUUUCUUAAUUAUUUCCUGAAAUUGAUGAAUCAAUUUUUGUCACAUUCAGUCACUCAUUGCUGGGUAAACAAGAAGUCAUUGAAAAUCUGAUACAAAUGAUAAAUGCGUCUAACUUAAAUACAGUAGCAAAUCAAGCUUCUUUAUUCCAAAAGAUUGAGGUUAAUGGAGUUAUUUGUUUGCUCUAAACCUUCUUAAUAAAAAUAGUAUGAUGAAUACCAAUUUGCUUAAAUUUCAACACCAAUAUAAAUUAUUAAAUAAAUCCAAUGAAUUUAUCUUAUUUCCAAACAUAUUUAAGAGUAACAAAACAUAGCAUAUUUCAAAGAAAAUAUAUCUUUUCGUUCAAAUGAACUCAAACAUAUAACUGAAGUGAUGUGGAAGCCUUACAUUUUUCCCAAAAAUGUUCUCCUCGAUCCCGUCGUUAACUGUCAAGUAUUUCACUAAUUUCUUAGUUUCCCUCUCCCAAAACCAAGAUCUAGUUUCAGGCAUAACCAUCUCGAAGGCACCUUGGAUCACAUCCUGAAAUUGAAUAAAAGGAACAUUUCAAUUUAAUUCAAUUGAUGAAUCCAUUUUUUUCACAUUCAGUCACUCAUUGCUGGGUAAACAAGCCAUUGAAAAUCUGAUACGUACAAGUGAGAAAUGCAUCCGACUUAACCAACCUUUAAUUAAAUACAUCCAAUCAAGCUUAUUUAUUCCAAGAGAUCUGGGGUUAAUCGACUUACUUGUUUGUUCUAAAACUUCUUAAUAAAAGCAUGAUGAGUGCCAAUUUAUUUAAAUUUGAACAUCAGCAUAUUCAAUAAAUCCAAUAAAUUUAGAGACAAUGGGGGUUAAAAAAAAUUGAAGGAAGACAAAAUAAAAUUUUAUCAACUCUUUAUCCUAUUCAUCUUCUACUACUUUAAAAUGUGAUAAAAAAUAAUUAAAAUGUGGAAAAGAAAAAAUAAUAAUUCUUGAUGUUAUGUUUGGUUCUUGAGAAAUCUUAAGACUUUUUUGCUCAUAGAAAAUGAUAAAAGAAAAGAACAAAAAAGUGAAAACAAAUAAUAAGGCUAUGCUUAUUUCCAAAAAAUAUAAGGGAAAAUUUAAAGAGAAGAAAAAUAUAAAUAGAUAAGCAUAGCCUUAAUGUUUUUCAUGAGCCAAAUGUAGUCCGAGAAGAAUCCAUGAAAAUUUAAAAAAUAAAACUGGAAAAAAUAAAAUAUUUUCCCUAGAAAAAAGUGGAAAAAGUUUGGAAAACGUGCAUUUCGCAACGGUUUAAUCUUUUGUUUUCUAAACAUUUUUAUGAACGAUAAAAUAAGAGAAAAUCUUAUAAAUUGUUCUUAUCUUUUUAUUUUUGUAUCUUUCUAUUUUUCCUUUCCUCAAAUUAAUCUUAAACUACAUUUGAUUUUAGAAAGUACAGGAAAAAAAUAUUAAGAGAAGUUGUUAUUUUUUUUUUUUUUCACAUUUGGAUACAAGUGAAAAAAUGAUAAGAAAAUAUAUAAAAAUAAAAAUUAUACUAUAAAAAGGACUAGCUAUUCACCAGUUCUAGGUAGUUUCAUAACAAAAUAUCAAACAUUCACGUAUAAUUGAAGUGAUGUGAGACUUCACCUUUUUCUUGGAACUGUCCUUCUUGGCCCUCGAAAUUAUGUCGUAAGCUGUCAAGUUUUUGCUAUUAUACGCCUUCUUAUCCACAUUCCAAUCGAAUAAGAACCGAAAAUCUGAAAUUUGAUAAGAAGAGAGCAAGUGGAUGGGUGUGUUUCCUUGACCAUCUUUCUCAUUUACAAGUCCUCUGGCUCUUAACCAUUCAUUUUGAAAGUAAUCACUAGGCUUAUAAUCAUGGUCUCCCUUUUUCAUCAGGGAAAAGUGAAAAACAUUAUGGCCGUCGUUAUCGACUUGCUCGCAACAAUCUGGAUAGUGAGAUAGGAGCUCCUCUAUUAUGUUUUUAUGAUGGUGGAAAGAUGCAAUAUGAAGGGCAGUCUUGUUACCAUCAUUGAUCCCAAGAUAUGCUACACUCUUAUCUGAAUUCUCUAGCAGUUGCCUCACAAUUGUUGGAUGACAAUUUCUCUCUGCAGCACAGUGAAGUGGAGACCACCCUUUCUCAUCCACUUCCUUAGUUAGAGCUGGAUUCCAUUUCAAUAUCGCGUCGGUCAUUUCUGACAAAUGGAUAAAUGAAAAAAGAGAGUAAAAAAGAAAGUUCAGAAAAAUGAAAGAAAAUAAAUAAAGUCAAAUCAACCAUGGCAGUUUCCCUUUUAGUCUAAAUAUGUGAAAAUAACAUAAUCAUUGUAUUAAACCCUCCGUAUUAUGAGCAUACUACCUUGGUCAUUGCAGAGUACAGCAGCAUGCAAGGCCGUUCUACCCAUGAAGCCACUGUAGGCUGGUGAAGUGCGAGUUUUGUGACUUUUGUCUAGGAUAAUUUGCACUAUUCUGGUAAAUCCUCUCUCAGCAGCCAUGUAAAGAGGAGUCCCACCAGAAACAUUAGCACCAUAAGUAUACUCAGGGUCUUUCUCAAUCAAUAACUUCACCAAAGAAUAUUGGCCAUAUCGCACUGCCUCAUGCAAGGCUGUGUCUUUCUCCUUAUUUGUCAUCCUCAACAUCAACUUAUCUGCUUCAAGCCCAGUUUCAAUAUCUGUGGCAGCGUCUAAAAGAGCUUUCACAACAUCCAAAUGCCCUUCCCUUGCUGCAAGGUGAAGCGGAAUGUCCCCUUUCAGAUUAGGGUGUAGCAGUAGAGAUGAAGAUGAAGGCAACCUAAGGAUCAAAUUCACAGACUCCAGUUGACCGAACUGGGCAGCGAUGUGGAGUAUUGUGUUAUGCUUUGGGGUUAAAUGGACUAGUAAGUCAUGAUCUGAAAUUUUUUCGAGGACUUCAAUGUUCCCCUUUGCUGCCGCCUUGUACACGUCCGCAUCCAUGCCCGUGAUGACAGUGUGGCUGCCAUCUCCAUUUGCAGCUUGGUUGGAGGUCUGGGCUGGGCUAGGAUCUUGAGCUACAACCUGAUUGGAAUUAGAAUCCAUGUCAAGAUUCUGAAAUUCUUCACUGAGGUUCGAAGCACCCAGCUGAUCCAUUAAGUGUUUAUGGGUUGGAAGUGAAGUGAUCGACUCCACUCAUCACGUUUAUGGCUUGGAAGGUGGUCCCCCUUCGCUGCAAAUGAAGUUGUGUGGUGGAGACGUCCUUGCUCUCAACCACAAUAUUGAUUCCAUAAUGAGGCCAAUGUUUGUGUUAAUAGCAGCAUAAACAAAAUUUAAUUUAAUAAAGAAUGUAAAAGCAAAAACUUCAUCUCUUAUAUUUUUGUUUAAUAAAUUUAUUGAACUCUUAAUAAAACAUAUUAAACUUCAAUGUCGAAAUUUUUAAAAAUAAAAAAUACAAUUGCAUUCCAAUGUUUGCUAUUAAAAAUCAUAUGAGAUUUUUUUUCUCAUGUUUAGUAUUAUUUACAAAUUAUUUGACAAUUUAUAAUUUAGUAUCCAUUUGAAUACAUUUUCUUAUUUUUUAUUUUUAAAAAUAAAAAAUAAUAAUAAAUUCUAUAUAAAAACUAUAAGCUUGGUUAAAAAUUAAUAAAUUAUUUUUUUAUAUUAUUUUAAACUUAUUUUAUUUAUUUAUUUUUAUAUAUAAAAAUCAAAUAAUUUAAAAAUAUAUAAAUUUCUGAAUAAUUUUAAUUAUAUUUUCUAUAAUAAAAUCACUUUCUUCCACAUUAUUUUUUCUUUAUUUAACAUUUUCAAACCACCAAAUAUAGGGCUUGUUUGGUUGCUGUUUUUGAAAACUGUUCUGGAAAACAGUUUUUGAGAACAAUUUUUAAGAACAGUUUUUGGUGUUUUUUAAAAAAAAAAUUAUGUUUGGGAACUGAAUUUUGAAAAACAGUUUUUGUUCUCAAAAACAAAAAAACAUGUUUGGUUGAGUUAAUAAAAAAAAAAUUUAGAACAAAUAAAAUAAAAAACACGUUUGAAAGAUUUUUUUUUUUCUAAUUAAUAAAAUAUUUUCUUCAAGUAAUUUUAUAUUAUAAAUUUAUAAUAAUUUUUAGAUAUAUAAUUCAUUUAAAUUAAAAAAAUUAUUUAUUUUAUUAAUUUAAAAAUAAAAAUAUUUUUUAUAUUUUUUUAAAAUAAAUCAAACAUAAUAAAAUCAUUUUUAUUAAUAUUUUUUUAUUUAAUCUUUAACUUUAUUAAAAAUUAUAGCAUUUUCUAUUAAAUUGAGAUAAAAUUGUUCUCAUGAUUUGUUUUUUUUUUUUUAUCUCUACUAAAUAUAAAAUUCAAAAUGCCACCCUUCUCUGAUCGGGCAUCAAAAAGCCCUUUUCUGAAGUUGCCCUCCAGCCGAGAGAAUCCCUAAAAGGCCCUAUUUUCCUCUGCCACUCUCAAUCCUCGCAGGUACUAAUCUAAUCAUGUUAUUAUUAUUUUUUUUUUUUUUGCAACCCCCGUUUGAUUCCCAAGAAAAUCCAUCCCCCAUUCGAUUUCCAAGAAAAUUCAUCCUCGUUUGAUUUCCGAGAAAAUCCAAGCAAAAACCCUGCAACCCCCGUUUGAUUCCCAAGAAAAUCCAUCCCUCAUUCGAUUUCCGGGAAAAUUCAUCCUCGUUUGAUUUCCGAGAAAAUCCAAGCAAAAACCCCAAGGAAAACCAAAAAAAUGGAUUUUCUGGAUCCGUUUUAGGGUCUCUUUGCUAUUGUGCCAUUGGAUUUAAAUUUCACGAACCUUGAAUCAAAACUGAGAAACGGGAAAAAUCAAGAAGAGGUGACGCGACUGUGCUGGAGAAGAGAUGAAAACGGGAAGAAAAAAAAAACACGGAGAACAGAUGAUUUUUUUUUUGUUUAAUUUUGUUCUGUAAACAGUAAAAAAACGGGGAAAACAACGUUUUAUUGUUCUCUAAACAGUGUCAUUUUGAGAACACGGGGAACAACAAAAACAAAAACAACUCUCUCAACCAAACGAGUUUUUGGUGUUUUUUGUUUUCAAGAACAGAAAACAGUUCUUGAAAACACUAAACAAACAGGCCCAUAGACUUUAAUUUCUAUGUUUUUCUUUUAUAUUAAUAGAAUGUCAUUGAAAAGUCCUUGAUAUAUUUUGCCAGCUCAUGUACGACAACUGUGGAAAGGACGGACUGUAAAGAAAGAAUACGUUGAUUACUUGUGUGUUGGAGAGGAGGCGCUCAAUUUUUAUUUUUUUUAUUUUUUCCUUGAGUUGGUGAGUGAUAACUGGUGUAAAGAAAGAGAACGAAGAGGCAGGGGAAUAUUUCCAGAAAAGCUUCAUAUCAUUGUAGUAUGGUUUAGUACUCUGAUUUGUCCAUGUAUAUAUAUAUAUAUAGUUUUGAUGGCGGUAAAAUAUUAUGUUUCAAACAUACAUACAACACACUGUUUCCUACUUAUCCUACGCACACAGCAGCUUCUUUGAACUUUCUUGAAGUGUUAUUCACGUGAUUAUCCUCUAUAAUGUUCUCUAUUGUAUAGUGGAAUGAUUCUCUUAUCCAUAGAUGUGAGAUUGGUUGGCCGAAUCACAUUAAAACCUCAUGCACAUUUGUAUUGAUUAUUUUAUCUUUAUAUUCUUGAAUGAAUUUUGUUUGCAUGAAAGUUUCACUAGCACAACAAAUUGGUAUUAGAGAUCCAAGUUGAAGACUUUUAGAAGAGCAAAAUAUUACAGAGCACAUAAGACGAAGACAAAAGAAAUUUCAGAUAAUGGUUGACAAUUUUUAACUAUAGUGACUGACUCAUUGUUUCAUCAUUUAGUGAUGAAUGAUAGUUGUUGUUAUCCCUUCUUCUUUAAUAAUUGAUGAUGUUAUCUCCACUCCUUCAAUAAUUGAUGAUGUUAUCUCUACUUCUUGCUCUCGUUCAAUAAUUGAUGAUGUUAUCUCCACUCCAAUAAUUAGUGAUGCUAUUUUCACUCCUUUCAAUAUAUUAUAACUAACUAAUAACAUCAAUACCUGUGGACCCGCAUUUUUCACGUGCGUCCCCACUCGAUCGGCGAGACUCGCUUUUUAGUUGUAAAAAAUUAUUUAGUUUUGGAAAAGUUGGAGUCGCCACUUAUUUUAUUUUUAUUUUAAAGGGAAAAUAAAAUGAGAAAGAAAAACCUUAAAAUGUGACUCCAUAAUUUUUGGAAAAAAACAUGUCUUUGAAAAAACCCGAGUCUAGGUCCGGGGAUCAGGUUACUUAUUGGGAAGGUACCUCUAGGAGGUAGCACCCCUCUAAGCCCUUUUAAGGUCUCUACUGACUAAGUUGAGGGAAACGUGACAAUUAAAUGGUUGAUCAUGGAUACCUAAGUAAGCAAGGUGAUUUCAAAAAUAGCAUGCCAAACAAGAUCAAAUCACAAUAAAGGAGAGUUAAGAUGCGUACCUGAACCACUUCUUAAGCGCUAUCAAAAGGACAUAGAAGAUUAGUUUGAAAAUGUGAUACAACAUUUGUUUUAUCUAAGCAAAUCAAGCAUCUAUCUGAACACCUAAGAAUCACAUCAUGUAUGGAUCUAAUCACCAAUAGCAUACGUGCCCACAUAAUUCUCGAAAAUAAGUGAGGAAGAGCAUACCUGGGUAGCAAGCUAGUACUCCUUUAUGGGAAACAAAAUUAGCCAAAUAACAUAUCCAAAAUAAUCUCAUAUAUACCACAAAAUGAAGCACCAUCAAUCGAAUGUCAAACAAAAAAUAUUUGAGGAAAUAUCAUGAAUGUCGGGCCCCCCUCCAAAGCCCUAAUUAAUUUUGUAUGAGUUGAUUCUAUAAAUUCCAUUAUUUGGAAUCAUGAAUUUUGCUCAUGCUUGUUGAAAAAUCGAGAAAAACCAUGAAAAUUAGUUGAAAAUGAUGAAAACGCAUGCCGGAAGGGAAAAUGGCAGCAAAUAGUAUGUUAAAAUAUGGGUUUUAGUGACUAGAAGGACUCUAAAGAUGGAUUUUUCAAAGCUGGAAAUGCUUGGUCGUAAAAGAAUUCAAAAAUUCAAUUUAAAAUAAUAAAUUUUCAAUCAAAGAAGCAAGGAGAGGAGGAGGUGUGUGUAGCAAGAUAGCCAUGCUGGAAGUAGAGUCCGGGAGUAUGAAGGUGCUAGUGAUUGAGCUGUUGAUACUUGAAUGAAAAGACCUUUAUAGAUUGCUGAUAUGACUGGAGGAGAACUAACAGUAUUCAUUUUAGUGUCCAUGCUCACUGGGUUUGGGGUGUAUAAUUUCAUCAGCAAAGACAUUCCAACCCGACUCUGGCUUUUCAAGAUCACAAUUUGCAUUGCUAGCAGGAAAUUGUAGUGAAGCAAUUAAGGCUUGAUUCUAGAUCUGAUUCCCUUACUGCCACUCAUUCUUCUCUUCUCUAAGUUCAGUUAGAGGGAAUUUGCAUUCAAUAGUCUUUAAAACUGGAACUAGAAAUCCCUGACUUCCAACUAUCUCCUCAGAAGGUUUGAAAUUGACAUGUCCAUCAACUGUUGGAUUCCCGUCAUCCGAGUACAUCAACUCACAUCUAACAGCCACUAGAAACUACAGAAGUAUCAGUGUUUCCAGACGGGUCUUCCCUGAAGAUACCAUGCAAAACAUAUAUCCUUUCAACUUCGGUUUCUAUGCCUUUGCCAUAACGCAAACUGAACUGUCACUUAGCUUUAGCCGGAAGAACUGGAAUUCUGGACCUUCGCGAUUUGGAUGGCAAAUCAGCUAUUGCAGAAUGAUUGGCGAGUAGCAAAUGUAAACAAUUUCGGGUACUUUGAUAGCAACCCUCAUUGAUAACCGAGAGAAGUAUGCUAAAUGCUGAAUUUAGUGGAUGAGUUGAUGAUGAUUUUAGUAAAGGGUGCGUUCAAAAUGAGGAUGUGAAGAGUGGUUGGGCGAGUAUGCUGAUGUGGGACAAACUGGAAUGCAAAAAUGGGACACGCUGUGUGCGAGCACAUACAAAGUCCACUACCUUCUGAAUAAUGCCAACUUGUCAUCUUUAUAGAAUGCAUUGUUCAGCAUCUUAACUCUCUCUCCAUAUCAAAUAUGUUGGCCAAAUUUUUAUAAAGUUCUCUCCAUAGUCCACGCAUUGGCAAAUCAAGAGUCUGACCUACAUCCUCUGACUUCAAGAGCGCUUCGCUGUGACCAAUCUUCAGACCAAGAUCAGCUUCUUUGGUGAUCUUUGUACCAAGUGAGGAACUUCUAGGAUAUACCGGAUUAUAGUAGCAGCGACAUCGUCAAACCCAGAAAAGGGACUACUUGUUGGCAAAGGUGGAAGCAUGGGCAGUCCUCCUUCAUCAAGAAAAUUAAAAAGGAUGGAAUGAGUUCUGGUAAGAAUAGAAUGCAACUGCAGGAUAGCAUGCAUUGUUCCGGAUGUGAGUCGGUUCUUGAUACCAAAACAAGCAAUCUCAAUAGGUCACUUCUGCUCAUGCAUAUCUAUAUUUUCAUCAUCUGCUGAAUCUUCAUUCCCGCUAUUUUCAAUCCAUGAAUCUGUUGAAAUAAAGUAUCUGUGUAGAUUGUCAUCAUCAAGAAUGUUCUCAUUCUCUUCCAAAAGAGCCAUAAUGAUGGCUUCAGCAUUAUUAACAGCAUGUGCAGCAACAAGAAACUGGACAAAGCUAUCACCAUUUAUGUCGAAGUCGUUUUCCAUCAGUGGCCUAAUCUGCACCCUGUUUUCUAUUACUGCUUUCUCCAUUGAAUUUAUGGGCUUGCAUCUUUAAGUUGUGAACUGAUGUAUUUGGUACAGUUUAGGCAUGCUCAUUCUCCAAGCAUAACAGACGAUAAUCUGAUAGUUAUGUAUCUAUAAAUAGCUUGAUAAAUGGUUUGCCUCUAUUGGGAAAGGAAUCAAUAAAGCUAUCUUUGAGAAGUAAUGAAACCCUGUCAUUGUUUGAUUGUACUGAUUGUAUGAGAUCUCAAUCUUGAGCAGAAUGACUUCAGGUAGCACUUCAUCACACGCAAAAAUUAGGCAGCAGCUUCAACACCAAACAAGAUGCAGUUCUCUUAGCUUGUGAUAAUAUGUAAACACCUGCACUUCAUUCAACUUAUAUACAGGAUGCCUUUUAGCAAUUGAAUUAUGACAUGCCAAUUUAACAUGUAGUGGACCUAGUUCAAAAAAACAAGCUCUUUAUGUCGAGGAAGGAAUUCUUGAGAAUCUGGAACAUAACUGUGAGUAAUCUUGGAAACAAUUGGACAAUCUGUAGGUUCUUCACUUGCUCUCAUCGCUAAGUUACCCCAUUCAUUCUGAUACCUGGACUUGCUACCUCUGAUUUACUUGGAGAUCAUCAACAAGAGGACAAUCAAGGUAAAGUGAGCCCACUGAUUCUUAUUCAUGUUGGUUAGAUGCUAACUUGCUGAUGUGUUCUGUCAAACUAAGCGAGCCAACUGGUGUGUUCUGUUGAAUUGAGAAACACUAUAUUUACCCCCAAAUUUAAAUCUUUUAACCUGAAUUCAGAAUCAGCAGCGUCAUUAGAGUCACUGGCAGUGGCAAGCCUCUAUUCUUGCCCAAUUCUAUCAACAAUUUCUCAUUUCUUGAAACUUGCAUUUCCGAGAAGAGGAUUGUCUUUUGCAUUCUGAACAUUCCAUUAACUGCUUGAAGCUGGUAAAGGAUUAGGAGGAGUGGACAUUUGAACUUUUAUUACAGCUUUGCUAUUUAAAUUUGAAGAACUAAUUGGUUUGCACUGUGUCUCAACAGCACUGCUGUUGGAUUUGACUUGCUUCGAUUUACUAUAAGUAGUAAAAUCGUUCUCAAAAUCCACCAACCCAAUGGACUCUGGGGAGAAAGGUUCAGCCUGAUGCAUGCUAUUAGCAUUGGAAGUUGUCCCGAUCAUAGCAAGAUCAAUCAAACUUUUACCUAGCUGACUUAUCUUCAUUUCAAUCAUAGUAUCUUCGAGGAGCAAACUGUUAUUGAACUACAUGUCGCACACGUCCAAUAGUAGGAAUAAUCGGCGCUUGUCUGAGAGCUUCACAAAAGCAAUGUGUGUUUCAUCAACGUUCGGAUCAGAUAUUGGAGUUUCCUGUAAACUGGCGGAACUGUUGGAGACUUUGGCAUCAUAAAUUGCAGCAAGACUGAAAUCCUGAAUUGCACCUCUAGGUGUUCUAGAAAACUUAGUCAUGUCUGCCUCCUAUGUUCUCUUCUGAUAAAUCUGUUCUUUCCAAAUGCUUUAAGAGGUUGAAAUCAAUACAAACUGCAGAAGCAUCAUGGUCGUCGAUGUAUUCAAAUUCUAUAUUCUUCAAGGAAUCACAAGUGGGCACAGUUUCGUCUAAAGGAGCCAAACCAUCUGAUCAACUUGGGGAAAUAUCCAUGGUUCUAAGGAUGGAAAGGAUGCUAACUAUGCUAUUUGAAGCAGAAGACUGGUAAUGUAACUAGGAAUGCAACCUCAGGUGCCCUCAACUUUCUUCUUAUAAUCAAGGAUGAUGAGUUUAUUGCAUAUGAACCCACAAGGCGAGCUUUGCCACUUGGAAAUUUCUGUUAUAUGCUUCACUCACUGAUGUCUUUUGGACUAGAGGUCUAUUGGCCACAUGGAUGCUUUUGCUCAAUGCCUCAUUCGCAGAUGGUUUUAGAGCCUAAGGUCUAUUUGCUGCCUGAGCACUACUUCUAUCCAUUGAGACACUUGAUGCCGCUCCCAAAAGGUCUCGCAGAGAAUAUUCAUUCAAAUCAAUAUCACCAUUGUGCAUGGCCUAACUAUACACGGCAGCAUCUCCAUUGCAAAUGACCAGGUUGUCGGAGUCAGCAUCCCCAUUUCUGAUGAGCCGACUAUAGGUUCCGGGGUUGCCAUUAUUUUUUUCAAAUAUAUUAAGCUCAAUGGAAUUGAAAUGCCUCUCUGGUUCAGUCAGCUGAUUUGUCAGAUCCUGGUUUAUUUUUAAUACAUUUCGUCGCUUCAGUUCUAGUUCAGAAGUCAACUUCUACCGACUCUAGAGGUACGAAUAUUCUGCUGUCAGUGGCUUGCCUAUCAAUUCCUUGCAUGUAUGCUUUCCUUGCCAAAAACUUGCACUGUCUCAUCAAGCAGAUGAUGAAUCUCCCCAUGCUAUUGAUCAAUUAUGGUCCACCACGUUCAGCAGUUUUUCAGAAAGGGUGCCUGUGUCUAUGCCUUGCUCUAAUUCUAUAACUGAACUUCUUUGGAAUAUGGUGCAGGCAUCCCUGAAACCACUUGCCCUUUUUAUACAUUGCAAAAGUGUAUCCAGUUCUUUAGCCAUCUCUUUACCGUUGUCGAAUUGUCUUGAUAAAUGCGAUUCAGAGUUCAGUUGUCCUUGUAAGGGGAGAGUUCUGUAAUUCUCCUUGAGAGGAUAAGACUUAUAAUUAGGAGACUUGGCUGGAAACUGCAUUGACAAUUGUGUACCUAGAGUCGAAGAUAUUGGUUCGACAUUCUCUACCACCAUUGAACCUCUCUGUCAUCUGCUCUGACUGACGGAACUUCUCUUGGACAUGCUAAUUCAUGCGACAAGUUGCCUGAUACGCAGGCUUGCCUUGCAAUUGAGAAUGUCAUUGACCAUGCUGCAUUAGUUCUGGUUGUUCUCCAAUAGAUAGGCCACCAUUGAACCUCUCUGUCCCCUGCUCUGACUGACGGAACUUCUCUUGGACAUGCUGAUUCAUGCGACAAGUUGCCUGAUAUGCAGGCUUGCCUUGUGAUUGAGAAUGUCAUUGACCAUGCUGCAUUGGUUCUCCUUCGUAAUCCUUUGGAACUAAGUUCAGGAUUCUGCAUGUUGUACUUCUUAAUGGAACUUGAAGAUACCUCAUCUUCAUCUUGAAAUACAGCAUCAGGUAAAAUAUUUAUUUAUUAAUAUAGGCCAAACACUGUGGAGUCAGGUCUAUGUCCACUUUGACCAUCUCCGGAAACAAUUCGAUUGCAAUCUCUGGACGUCCUAUAUGCAAAUAACCAGAUAUUAAUAAAUUCCGAGUGACCACGUCCGAUGGGGCAUUUCAUCGAAUAGCCGUUGAGCACUUGAAGCGACACCAUAUUUACCAUACAUAUCCAUAGGAACACAACAAAUAGACAUCUGAAUCAAAACCCGCCUUGAUUAUGGUGGAAUGAAGCUAAACUUGCACAAAGAUAGAUCCAGAUUUUACAUUCAAGGAGAUCAUUUUGUUGAGAAUGUGAGCGGUAGGCGCAGACCCAUGUUGCUGCAAAUGACCCUUAUCCAGAGCACAACUCAACAGUGUCGUCUUGUCUAUGUGCAAUCAAAUUAGUGAGUCUUAUUGUGGCUGAGAUGUCAGCACUCAAAUAUGCGAAACCUGUGGCAACAUGGCCUGAGAACUGCUUGAAGUAUUUCAACGGAACAGGAUUGAUUAAAUUCCCAUUCAAUUUGCCCUUUGUUCAUGAAAUUGGUUAACACCUUCAGCCUUGGAUUACUCUCUUUUAUAGCAUAGACAGAUGACAUGGCUACAGAAGCAUCAUGUGUGUGUUCAUUGUAGGGACCCCUCCCCCUGAUAACAUGUGGCGCGCUUCGCUAUUCGGAGCAACUCCAUCCGGAUUCCCCAAAGAGGGACACGUGGCACGCUCCCCUAUCCGGACUCCCUCAGGGAGAAGCACACGUCACUCGCGAAUGUCACGCUCGAACGAUAACAUAUCAUAUCCGGAUCACUGACUGAAGUGAGCAAGUCUUGCUACAUCAUUCCGACAGCCUGCCACAGCCCACGUUCUGCCGCCUGCAGAGCGAAAAGACAGGAAUGAUGGCAAGUCGCCCCUCACGAUCUCUGACAGCCGUCUAUAGGGUGAUGAUGACUCUGCCACCACCUAGAGGCAUCAUGACGAGCCAAAAAGUCUUCCUAUCAUUAAAGAGGGAGGUAGAGCUUCUGACACUAUAUAUAAGGACCUUCACACAAGGAGGAAGGUAAGCUUGCUAUACCUAGAAAAAGGCUAACUGCUUAAUCUCUCUAGACAUGGUUGACAAAACCAUCGGAGGGUGUGUCUGGACACCUUGUCCGGACAUCUUUUGCAGGGACAACUGAACUAGAAAUCUAUCUUGGUUGAAAGCGUGCGUCCACUUGGAAGCUACGUGGAUCAUCGGGACGCAAGGCCUCAACAUUGGCACCGCCUGUGUGAAAAUCGCUGAUUCAGUCGCUGGCAAAGAUGUCCACACCUUCCAGAAGCCGCUCGUCUGCUAGGGGAGAAGAAGAUAAUACCGAAUGGCGCCAAGCCAUCGAGAGAAGACAGUUGGCAAGCGAGCGACAAAUGCAGGCUCUCCUCCAGGAGACAGCGAGAUUGAGAGAAGAAAACGUUGUGUUGCGCAUCCAGGCUUCAUCGAUGGAGCCUCCUCGUGGUUAGCGCUCAAGAGGCCAGGUAGCAAACUCAAGGCCUGACCUAGAGUCAAUAUACCCUGGGACAACAGGAGCCAUCCCUGAAACAUGCAACGUUAGGCCACAAGAGCGACACACGCCCAUGCACCAAACUCCCCAGGAGGAAAGCUCGAACUCUACUCGUCUCUCGUCAAAGAGACAACGCGAAAAAAGACCCCAGUUUUCGGGCGCAAUGCGCGCGAGACUAGGCCCACAGGAGCCUGGGAGGCCAAGGCCGCCAGUAGCCACAACCUGGGGAGCGCACCCUGACCCUAUGGUCACCUCUUUGGUGCAGAACGUUCCCCCGCACCAAGCGAUACGACAAGCUGGGAGAAACCUCCCAAACGAGCCACCCAGUGGCUCCAUCAGCAAAAGGCUGGACGACAUACUCUCCACGCCUUUUUGCUCUCAUAUUAUUCAUUACGACCCCCUAAGGGGAUUUCUCGUGCCUAAAUUCUCCACGUACGAUGGGUCCAGCGACCCCUUCGACCAUAUCAUGCAUUAUCGACAACUCAUGACUCUCGAUAUAGGAAACGACGCGCUGCUAUGCAAAGUAUUCCCCGCCAACCUACAAGGGCAGACCCUCUCAUGGUUUCACCGCCUACCUCCCAACUCUGUUGAUAAUUUCAGGGACCUGUCGGAAGCUUUUGUGGGACAAUACUUAUGCUCCGCUCGGCAAAAACAGAACAUCAGCACUCUGCAAAACAUAAAAAUGCAGGAGAACGAGUCGUUGAGGGAAUUCGUGAAGCGGUUUGGUCAGGCCGUGUUACAAGUAGAAGCUUACAGCAUAGAUGAUGUCCUACAUAUCUUCAAGCGAAGCAUCUGUCCAGGCACCCCAUUCUUUGAAUCGCUGGCUAAGAAGCCUCCUACGACGAUGGACGACUUGUUCCGGCGCGCGAGCAAAUACUCAAUGCUCGAAGAUGACGUGCGAGCAGCCACUCAGCAAAUCUUGGUUGCUGGACAGGCAUCCAGAAGUGGUGCGGAAAGAAGUGCCAAAAUUCCAGACCGGCCAAGGCCGUCAAGUCAAAGGCAGGAAGAACAAAGCCGUCCGAAACAGCCGCCCCUUACACCCUUUUCCAUAUCCUAUGAGAAGCUUCUCCCUAUGAUCCAAGACAUGUCCGACUUCAGGUGGCCCGAACCCCUCAGAACGGACCCAUCCAAAAGGGAUCAUAGUAAAAAAUGCGCCUACCAUAAGGAGCAUGGUCACACAACGGAGAUGUGCAGGAGCCUCCAUUAUUUGGUCGAGAAACUCAUAAAAGCGGGACAUUUGAAGCAAUACCUCCGCUCGGAUGCCAGAGGUAGGGACGCUUCCCAAGAUCACAACUCUGGAACCCCCAGGGUUCCAGCCGCCCCCAAAGCCAUUAUAAACUAUAUCAACGGAGGCCCAUUGGACGAGGAAUACGACUCCAAACGAAAGAAACAAAGGUUGUUGCGGGCAGCAUCGGUGCGUGAGCGAGUCAACUCCAUACGGCCUGGGAUAACUGGGGGGGGGGGGGGGGGGGUUGUGCGCCAGAGAUCGACCUCCGGAAUGGUUCCCACAUACCCCCUCAAGCAACUCAGCUAAUACAUACAGGGCCUCUGAGUGGUUUAAGCACUUGAGAUAGGGGCCUGUAAAGGACCGCUUGUACAAGUGCCCCCUGAUCAAGGUGAAACGGGCGGCUUGGACCCGGAUCUUGUGUCUUGCUUGGGCUCUUCGGGCAGAGUGCUUGUUUGGAGGUACCUUAUAAUGUCUUCCGUCCACUCUUGGUCGUCUGCUUGGUUUGCCUCAAUGGUAUUGCAAGUGGAGGUUUCCGCGACGGAAGGGUUGACUUGCACAUGUAUAGGCAAUAAUAUGGCUUCUUUGAUAGGGAGUGAAGCAACUAUGCCUGCUAGGGCGUCGGCACGUCCAUUUUCAGUUCGUUUUUCUUUUUUCGAUCGUCCAUUCGNNNNNNNNNNNNNNNNNNNNNNNNNNNNNNNNNNNNNNNNNNNNNNNNNNNNNNNNNNNNNNNNNNNNNNNNNNNNNNNNNNNNNNNNNNNNNNNNNNNNGGGGGGGGGCCUCGCCCCAUAGAUGGGACAAUCAUUUUCCCACCAGUAGACCCCACACGGAUAUUGCAGUCGCACCGCGACGCCCUCAUCCUGUCCCUAGAGAUAGGAGACUUCGACGUGAGAUGCAUCCUAGAUGACCCGGGCAGCUCGACCGAUCUUGUACAAGCAUCGGUCAUUAGCCACAUGGGGCGCAAUCUAACAGGCCUCGAAAACCCUGGGCGAAUUUUGUCCGGAUUCAACGGAGUGUCAACUACCUCAUUGGGAGAUAUUGUACUGCCGGUCCAAGCUGGCCUAGUCACUCUCAACGUACAAUUUUCGAUGGUACAAGAUUUAUCACCCUUCAAUGUCAUCUUGGGGCUCACAUGGCUGCACUACAUGAAAGUCAUCCCCUCUACGUAUCAUCAAAUGGUAAGCUUUCUUACCAAGGAUGGACAAAUUGACCUAUACGGCAGCCAGUUAGCCGCUCGCCAGUGCUACCAGAUAGCACGAGAGGUAGGAACCAGUCAGGAGGAUAAACCCCUCCCUAAGUCCACCCACGCGCUGGACCAAUAACAAUUACUGAGUCCGGCGGACAAAGAUCCCCCGGCAGCGGAUCCCCUGCGGACAAUCCAAAUUUCGGAGGAAGAUACUCACUUUACAUAUAUCAGUUCCCUUUUGACGCUUGAAGAGACCCGGAACAUCCAAGACGCCCUCCGACAAAGCCAUGACGUUUUCGCCUGGGCGUAUUCUGAUAUGAAGGGAAUUCACCCCUCCAUCGUCUCUCAUAAGCUUAACGUUUUGCCAACAACAAGGCUCGUCAAACAGAGGGUUAGACGUUUUCACCCGGACAGGCAAAAGAUUAUCAGGGAAGAGAUUGAAAAGUUGCUAGAAGCCGGAUUCAUUAGAGAAGUGGAGUAUUCGGACUGGUUGGCAAAUAUAGUGGUGGUACCCAAAAAGGAAGGCAAAUGGCGGGUGUGCGUCAAUUACACCAACCUCAAUAAUGCAUGCCCAAAAGACAGUUUCCCUCUGCCACGGAUAGACCAAAUUGUGGACUCCACUGCUGGGCAAAGGAUGCUCUCCUUCUUGGACGCCUUCUCCGGAUACCACCAAAUCCUCAUGUCCCCGGCUGAUGAAGAGAAGACAACCUUCAUAACGCCACACGGUCUUUAUUGCUACAAAGUCAUGCCGUUCGGACUCAAAAACGCUGGCGCCACUUAUCAGAGACUGAUGACGAAGAUCUUCAAGCCUCUGGUCAGCCGCACAGUGGAGGUAUACAUUGACGAUAUCGUGGUUAAAAGCAAAACCCGAGAGGAACAUGUCCUCCACUUGCAAGAGGUCUUCCACCUCUUAAAGAAGUAUGACAUGAAGUUGAAUCCUUCUAAAUGCGCCUUUGGCGUAAGUGUUGGCAAAUUCCUGGGAUUUAUGGUCAACCAAAGGGGGAUAGAGGUUAGCCCGGAUCAAGUUAAGGUAGUCAUGGAAACGCCACCCCCCAAGAGCAAAAAGGAAUUACAGCACCUCACAGGCAAGCUCGUCGCGCUAGGACGCUUAUAACCCGCUUCACUGAUGAGUUGCGACACUUCUUCUUGGCAAUACGAAAAGUUGGAGCGAGCGGAUGGACGGACAGCUGUCAGAGCGCUUUCGAAAAAAUUAAACAUUGCCUCAUGCAACCACCCAUUCUAAGCAGUCCCCUCUCUAGAGAAAAAUUGUAUAUGUACCUGGCUAUAUCGGAGUGGGCAAUCAGUGCUGUUCUGUUUCGCUGCCCCUCGCCCAAGGAACAAAAACCUAUUUACUACGUCAGUAGAGCGUUGGCGGACGUAGAAACAAGGUAUUCAAAGAUGGAGCUAACGGCCUUGGCUCUUCGAAGUGCCGCUCAGAAGCUCCGCCCUUACUUCCAAGCCCACCCGGUGGUCGUGCUAACUGACCAGCCCCUUCGCAACAUCCUGCACAAGCCGGACUUAACCAGACGAAUGCUUCAAUGGGCCAUAGAGUUGAGCGAAUAUGGAAUCGAGUUCCAACCCAGGUUGUCCAUGAAAGGCCAAGUGAUGACUGACUUUGUGCUGGAAUACUUCCGAAGGCCUAUCCAGCGUAAGGAACCAAGUGAAAAAGAGUGGUGGACUUUGCGCGUUGAUGGAGCCUCCCGGUCAUCAGGAUCCAAAGUAGGGCUCCUGCUGCAAUCCCCAAUAGGAGAACAUCUGGAGCAAGCCAUCCGACUGGGGUUCCCCACCUCUAACAAUGAAGCGGAGUAUGAGGCCAUCCUAUCCGGAUUGGACCUCGCCCUAGCUCUAUCCGUCUCCAGGCUCCGGGUCUAUAGUGAUUCUCAACUCGUGGUAAGGCACGUCCAGAAAGAAUACUAAGCUAAGGAUGCGCGCAUGGCGCGAUACCUGACUAAAGUAAGGGACACCUUACAACAGUUCACCGAAUGGACGAUCGAAAAAAGAAAACGAACUGAAAAUGGACGUGCCGACGCCCUAGCAGGCAUAGUUGCUUCACUCCCUAUCAAAGAAGCCAUAUUAUUGCCUAUACAUGUGCAAGUCAACCCUUCCGUCGCGGAAACCUCCACUUGCAAUACCAUUGAGGCAAACCAAGCAGACGACCAAGAGUGGACGGAAGACAUUAUAAGGUACCUCCAAACAAGCACUCUGCCCGAAGAGCCCAAGCAAGACACAAGAUCCGGGUCCAAGCCGCCCGUUUCACCUUGAUCAGGGGGCACUUGUACAAGCGGUCCUUUACAGGCCCCUAUCUCAAGUGCUUAAACCACUCAGAGGCCCUGUAUGUAUUAGCUGAGUUGCAUGAGGGGGUAUGUGGGAACCAUUCCGGAGGUCGAUCUCUGGCGCACAAGGCCCAUUCGCAAGGGUAUUACUGGCCCACGAUGAAAAAGGAUGCGGCAGCCUAUGUCAAAAAAUGUGACAAGUGUCAAAGGCAUGCCCCCAUACCACAUAUGCCGUCAGAGACGUUGAAACCAAUUUCAGGCCCCUGACCCUUCGCACAGUGGGGCAUGGACAUAGUAGGACCCCUACCAGCCGCAGCUGCCCAGAAAAAAUUCCUGCUCGUCGCCAUAGAUUACUUUAGUAAAUGGGUGGAAGCUGAAACAUACGCUAGCAUCAAAGACAAAGAUGUCACCAAGUUCGUAUGGAAAAACAUCAUCUACCGCUUUGGAAUCCCCCAAACCAUUAUAGCCAACAACGGUCUACAGUUUGAUAGCAUCGCUUUCCGGAAUUUCUGUUCGGAACUAAACAUCCGGAAUUCAUACUCCACACCGCAUUAUCCUCAAAGCAAUGGACAAGCAGAGACCACAAACAAGACCCUAAUAACUGCCUUAAAAAAAAGGCUUGAGCAAGCCAAAGGGAAGUGGGUAGAGGAGCUACCCGGCGUCCUGUGGGCUUAUCGAACCACACCCGGACGGCCGAUAGGAAACACUCCUUUUGCCCUCGCAUAUGGUAUGGACGCAAUCAUUCCUACAGAAAUAGGGCUACCCACUAUCCGGACCGAGGCAGGAUGGCAGGAUGAUGCAAAUGCGGAAUUGGGAAGAAAUUUGGACUGGGCAGACGAAGUAAGAGAGACCGCAUCCAUCCGGAUGGCCGACUAUCAACAAAGGGCAGCCGCUCACUACAAUCGCAAGGCAAGGCCCAGGAGUUUCAAAAGUGGAACGCUAGUUCUUAGAAAGGUUUUCGAAAACACUGCUGAGACAGGAGCAGGAAAGUUUCAAGCCAAUUGGGAAGGCCCCUAUAUAGUGUCCAAGACAAGUGAAAGUGGAGCCUAUCAUCUACAGAAGCUAGACGGAACCCCAUUGCUCCGACCAUGGAAUGUAUCCAAUCUAAAGUAGUAUUACCAAUGAAAGAAAGAUAGAAGUACAAUGUGAAUGAGUAUGUUUUAUUAAUACUUGUGAAAUUGUAUACAAGAAGGUUCUCCGGACUACUAAUACAGAGAGAAAUGGCAGUAAAAGUUACAAAAAGAAAAGCUCUCAUUGAGAGGGCUUGCGGCGCAACUUUUCUUCCUCGCCCGGGGGAAUCGAAGGGACGUCCCGUUUGAUACCAUGCUUCUUCAUGCAGCAACGGUAGCCAAAGAGAUACAUCUGUCUACCUGCUUCUGGUAUUCCGUCUUGAGUUCCUCCUUUUGCGCAGCAAACUCAGCUUCCAACUCUUCUUUUUGUGCUGAUAAAUGCAACUGCAAGUCCUCUUUCUAUUUUUUCUCAAUUGACACCUUUAUCCGGAGUUGUCUCACCUCCCCCCUCAGCUGGGUCGUCUCGUUCUCCGCCUCGUGCAGGCGAGCUUCUGUAGCUUCCUCCCAUCUCUUUGCCUCUGCUAGCACUAUCCGGAAAGCCUCGUUGUCGUCCUGAGACCUCUUCAAAGCUUCGGCACUCUCUUCAGAGGCUCUCUGGGCAGCGGAUAAGCUGGCUUCGGCCUGCUCCAAUCUCGAGGGCAAUUCUUCUUCACCACUCAUGCGCUGGGAGACAAAAGCCUUCAUGUGGUCGGAAAUCCACAGCAGGUCUAAAAAAAGAUCGCGUUGUUGAACCAUGCCGCGAAUACAGCUCACCAGCUGCAGAAAAACCCACAAUAAGAAGUUCAAUUACAAGCCAUGUGACAAACACACCAGUAUGGCAAGAAAAAUCAAGAGGAGUAGCUAUACCAUUUCUGCCGCCUCAAACAUUUUCACUGAAGGCAGAGCAACAUCUGAGCCAGGUGGAAUCCGUUUCAACAACUCUUCCAACUCCACAUAGCUGAAAGGGCUAGCGAAGGUGCAAGCCGCAUCAUCAACUGAACUCCCUCCUGACAAGGCGUUAUGGUGUGGUUCCUCCCCUGGAUUCGGGUCCCCAUCAUUCACGGCCGACUGGAUCUCUUCGGGCGAACCCUCAUCCGGGACUAGCACCAGGUCGGUUGGGUUCUCUUUCGCCAUCUCCGUCUCACUCUCCUCCGGAUGAUCCUCCUGGGUGGAUGAGCAGCUGACUUCGAUGGUUUUCAGAAGACGAUCCUGAAGCCGCCCGCUGAUGCCGAACUUUAAAUCAAUGGCCGGACGAGACCUCCCCGCAGCUAGCCCCUUCACCGAUACAAGUGCAAGGGAACUCGACUCACAAGGGGGCAAACCCUGCCUUUCAGCCCCCAUUUCUUCCAUUGGAGGCACCGUAGGAGGCAACAUUUCAGCGCAAAAGGGCCCGACUACAUCCGCGUCCGGAUGGGGAGAGCUGGGCUGAUACACUGAGGUUGCUUCCUCACCUAGAAGAGCCAGUCGUUCAGCCGCUGGCAUUGAAGGCCCCGAUCCAUUUUGACCAGGGACACGUACAGAAUCGCUUGAAGCAGAGGGCAAGUCGGAGGGAGCUGGAGAUCUUAUUACUAUUCCCUUUAUGGGAGCUGGAGAUUUUAUUACUACUCCCUUUGUGGGAGCUGGAGAUUUUUUACUAUUCCCUUUGUGGGAACCUUCUUCUUCUUUCCUACUAGGGCGUUAGCGGGAGGUAAGGCACGGAGCGUUUAUCACCAGGGGCCCUCCGCAAAGUUCCCUCUUGUCUUCUUUCCUCCCGUUCGCUGAGAAGAGCUUUGCAUGCCUGGGCGUCUGCCUUUCGCACCUCCGUGUAGAACGGGAUAUCUUUGAGAACGAAAUGCUCCCUAGGCACUACCUUUUUUGGCAACUUCCUAGGGAGAAUAUUGGUGACGUACGCCUAGGGCUCCCGGACAACGGCCAAUAAGUUUCGCGCAGUAAGCAGCAUCUGAUGAUGUCUCUCAGCUGCAGUAAUCUCAAACAGCUUGUUCAAUCGGUCGAAGGACGAUUUUUCCACCAACUCGACCACGCGACCCCUCUUGUCCGUAUCUGCAUUAUCAGCAACCAAAGAUGUUAGUCAUCUGAUAACCCCAAAAUAAGAAGAGCAACAGACGAACGCCGAACAAACCCCACAAACUACCUUACCCGGAAGCACCAGCGAACGGUUUGGGGAAAACGGUCUCCGGAUGCUCUAGUAGACCAACCCAGACACCCUAGACUAAUACAUGCCCCUUGGCUCCUCCCUUCGUCGAAUCCGGAAGAUCAGUCACCAAUUGGAGAGAAGGUAGGCGGGCAGCCAGACUGAAGACGUCAUUUUCCCCUUCUUGAUGGAGUAGAUGAAAAGAACCUCCAGCAGUGAAAGGUCCAAGUUGAACAGCAUGCUCAAAAUGCUGCACCCCAUGCCAUCAGUACCCGGACCAUGUUGGGAUGGAUGUAGGCCGGGGGGAUCUGGGUGAAGUGGAGAAAUUCUUUGAACAACGAUGGGAGGGGGAACCAGAGCCCAGCAUUGAAUUGCUCCUUGGUGAAGAAGAUAGCGUUGUCCGCAGAUUUCUCAAUUGACAUGACCUCUCCGUCCAUAAGUUGAACGGACACGCCAUUCGGGAUGCAGAAGCGUUCGCAGAACUUCCUCACGUUCAGCUUGUCCACGGAUUUUUCCGCAUGGACCUUUCUGGAUGCAUCUUUGCCGCUCUGCCCUGCCGCGCUAGACGAAGCAGCGUCCUUGUUCGUAGACAUUUUUUAGAGUGGGGCUGAAGCGGAACCUGCAUGGUAGGAUGCCAACAGUAAAAAAAUAAGGACCCGACCCCACAACCCUAACGGCAAAAAUGCCCAGAAAACCUAACAUAACCAGCAUCUCCAUCCUAACCCUUGACUCUACCCCAAAGAAAGAUCGGCAACCCACAAAAGGUGCAGGGGGGCAACAGAAACCCUAACGCACCCAAAACACAACAGAAUCCCUCGAAAAAGCCCUAAAAACCGACAUCGACCCCCAGUAGCAAGUACCUUGCCCAACAAGCCAGAAACAACCGCAAAACAAACACAAUGAGGAGAAGGCAGGGAUAGAGAACGUACCGAGCGUAAACUAGGAAAAUGGAGAUGAAGUCCGCGAUGCAGUCACCGUCACGACACGAGUAUUGCUAGCAAAAACCCUAGAACCUCACUCACAGACGAAGGUAUGCAGAAGGUUGCAGAGAAAGCACUACCAGCAAAAAAUGCAGAAGAAAAAAAUGCAAGAGUGAGGGGCUCAAUCUGCUAUUUAUAGCGAGACAGCCCCUCAGUAUCCCAAACGUCCAGCCGCGCCGUUGCUGAAAAGACACGCUGCCUGGGAAAUCCCAGAGACGACGGCUCGUCAUAAAUACCCUGUUUCCUCUUCGCCUCCGCGCACCACGUGGCCCAAUGAGUGCAAAAAGUAACAUAAGUUUCAAAAACAAUCAUUUUUAACUCGCCCAUUCUGCCCGGGCAAAAUCGGCAGGCUAAAAGGGGGGCAUUGUAGGGACCCCUCCCCCUGAUAACACGUGGCGCGCUUCGCUAUCCGGAGCAACUCCAUCCGGAUUCCCCAAAGAGGGACACGUGGCGCGCUCCCCUAUCCGGACUCCCUCAGGGAGAAGCACACGUCACUCGCGAAUGUCACGCCCGGACGAUAACAUAUCCUAUCCGGAUCAUUGACUGAAGUGAGCAAGUCUUGCUACAUCAUUCCGACAGCCUGCCACAGCCCACGUUCCGCCGUCUGCAGAGCGAAAGGACAGGAAUGAUGGCAAGUCGCCCCUCACGAUCUCUGACAGCCGUCUAUAGGGUGAUGAUGACUCUGCCACCACCUAAAGGCAUCAUGACGAGCCAAAAAGUCUUCCCAUCAUUAAAGAGGGAGGCAGAGCUUCUGACACUAUAUAUAAGGACCUUCACACAAGGAGGAAGGUAAGCUUGCUAUACCUAGAAAAAGGCCAACUGCUUAAUCUCUCUAGACAUGGCUGACAAGACCAUCGGAGGGUGUGUCCGGACACCUUGUCCGGACAUCUUUUGUAGGGACAACUGAACCAGAAAUCUAUCUUGGUUCAAAGCGUGCGUCCACUUGGCAGCUACGUGGAUCAUCGGGACGCAAGGCCUCAACAUUGGCGCCGUCUGUGGGAAAAUCGCUGAUUCAGUCACAAAGACGCAAAGAAAGGGUGAACCAGAAAAAUAUCAAUUAACAUAAACAGCUCCAUUUCUCAUAUUAAUCCAUGGGCUGGACAGGGGAAACAAUAAAGAAUUGGAUUUAAACAUAAACAGAGUAUUGACCAAAUUCAAGCACAGGGUCAUAUAUUUCAGCAGACACCAACGACAUUAAAGGAACAAAAACAAAACAGGGCAAACAAGUAAGCAAACAAUCUCAACAAAGAAAUUUGUGGCCCUUUCCGUCCACACCAAUCAACAAUAUAUUGAAUAUUCAGAAAUGACCAAUUGGAGAAAUCGAGUAUGAAUAAGAACACCAAAAGUAACCAGAAACAUACUUGGGCAGUCUUGCUUCCAAUCGCUCCCUCUUUCUGCUCUUCUCUGCGCUUUUCUUCAAGAUCUCUCUAAAGAAAACCCCCAAAGACAAUCUCCGAAUCUUCCCCAAAAAAUCCUCAUUUUCAACAUCCUUUUGCACGUAUAUAUAUCAACCCCCCCAAAGACCUAAAUCUGUUCCAAAACCAAAUAAGGAAAAUCCCCCUUUCCUUUUUGUUCUUUUCUUCCUUUUUUAAAUCUACUUUCCUUCUUUUAACACUUUAAAUUUCCUUUCCAUCCUCCGUUCAGCCGUGAUCUGCUUUCCUUUCUUUAAGGAUAUAAAUCUCCUUUCCAUGUUGCAUAGAAUAUCCCCACAUGUAUGCAGCCGUGUACAUCAAGGAUCUCAUCCGAUGUGUGCAUUCGAAUCUCAUGCCAAAAUAAAAUAAGAAUUAAAAUUAGUAAAGGUCAUGAAAUUGAAAAUUAAAACUAAUUUAAAAUUAUGCAAUUAAAAACAUUAUGUCUAUCAUAGGUACACAAAAAUAAUUAAGACAUCAGUUUACACAAUUAGUCAUUAAUCUCAUGCAAUAUUCUAUAAAAUAAAUAAAUAAAAACAAAUAACUAACCAAAUAAUAAUAAAUAAAUAAGUAAAUAAAUAAAUAAAAUAAAUAGAUAAAUAAAUAAAUAAGAAAUCAAGUACAUGCAAGCAUUAAAAAUGCAAAUCAUGCAAAUUAUGUAAGUCAUAUAGGAAUUACCUAAAAGGUAACUGUAGACCCUCAAUUUUGUCCCUCGACACUGGCAUUUAUCCUUCGGGUGUCACAUCCACCCAUCGUUCGCAUAUGGCACCACUAGGGCCCUUUUUGGGCUUAGUCGGUGUCCGAGCCUCGUGUGGGUUUGUCUGUGGUCCAUUGUGGUGCAUAUGUGGUUCAUUUUGGAGGGUCACCAUGGCCAUUUUCCUAGUCGUUCACAUCACGCUAUAGGAAGGAAGUGGGGUCAUCCCGAUGUUUUAGCUUAGUUGGAGUUUAUAGGGGCAUGUUGAGGUUCGGAGCACUCGGGCUUGUUUUGAUCGUAUCUCCCUCAUCCAAACUUGAAAUCAAGAACCGUUUCUUUUUAUGGAUUCCUUAUUCUUCUAGGAACAUUCUGUAAAAUUUUCAAAUUUUUUUUGCAACCAGUCGGCUGGUUGGCAGCCGGUUUAGCCGGUUUAUCGAGUCAGCCGGUGUAGAACACUGAUUUUUGGUAAUUGUUUUGAUCAUAUCUCCCUCUUCUGAACUCGAAAUCACACACCAUUUUUUUCAUGGAUUCCUUACUCUUCUAGGAACAUUCUGUCAAAUUUUCAAAAUUUUUUGCCAUCGGUUCAACCGGUUGGCAUCCGAUUCGGCCGGUUCAGCUGGUUCAUUGAGUCAGCUGAGGUAAAACACUAAUUCUAGUAAUUUUGAGGCCCAAAUCCUACAUGGCUCAAGCCCAUAAGCUCCAGAUUGGUUUUGGGCAAUGUUGUGGGUCCAUUUUGGGCCUUGGUUUGGGUUCCUUGCAGCCCACCACGAAUCCAUAUGGAUUCUUGGUGGUGAAGCAAGCUGAAAAUUGAAGGGAGUGAGUUGGCCUCGUAAGUUUAAGAGAAAUAAUGGGGGGUGUGGUUUCCAUGCUGAUGGAGGGGAUUUCGGUACUGAAGGGGAAGGAACCCAGGAGGCUCAAAUGCUAAGAGGGGUAUGAGUAUAAAAGGUGAGAGGAUAGGAGAGCAAAGAACCUUUUGGCAUUUUUGAGAGGGGAAAUUUUGCUGGUGAGAAAAACAAAAGGUCAGUAGCAUCUUCUGAGUUGAGAGUGUAGACCCUCAAUUUUGUCCCUUUAGCACAUGUCUUUAAAAUUCGUUUUCAAUGCUCCACAAUAGUUCCUUGGUGGCCCAUGGCUACUCAUACCACUUACCUUUUUCUGAGUCACCUCGGAGAUUUUGGUUGAGGGAUUAUUUGAUCCCUUAUUGUGACCCUUGGUAGCCCUAAUUUAGACUUAGGUUUUUCAUUCAUUUUUAGGAUAGCUUUUAGAUACACUUGGCCUUUAGGCACCGCUCUAGGCCCACUUAGGCACACUUGGCCCAUUAGGCACUUUUAGACUCACUUUUUGUAUGACUUACACGGUUGCAUGACUCGUGGAGCCCAGUUUUUGUUAAUUUGUUUAUUUUUAUUUCUUAGUUUUAGUUUUAUGAUUAUCAAUCACUCUUAUUUUUAUUUGUUUUCUUCCUCUUUAUAUUAUCUUUCUUAACUUGAUUAUUCAUUAUGUUUUUUUUUAUUAUUAUCCUCUAGUUUGUUUACUUAUUUAGUUACUCAUUCAAUUAUUUACUUUCAAAAAUUUCAUGUUUUUGCAAGGAAACUUACUAUUGGAGUUUAAGGAAGGUGGGACUCUCCUUGGAAGGUUUUGGAGAGGAAUUUGAAAUUGGGAAGACUACUUUUGAAUUGGAAGAUUUUAAGAAAAGGGAUAAGGAGAAAAAAUGAGAGAAAAUAGGAGAUUUCACCUUUUUAGGGAGAUUUAGGUUUUAGGGAAGGGCAGAUAUAUAUACGUGAGAGAGGAAGGAAAAGGGGGGUUUUUUUUUUCGAUUGAGGGAGGAGAUUCUUUUGGGGGCAGCAUGCAUCGAAAGAUUUCAGAGGGAAGAAGGAAGAAGGAGUGACUGGGCAAAAAAGGAUUUGUAUAUGGGAAAUUGUCUUCAGAGGUAAGAGGGAAGAUAGCCGGAAGCCAAGCCAUUGCAGCCAAGACUGCCCAGAAUUUAAAAUCCAUUGGGUCUGGAGGAGAGGCACAGAGGAGAGGGGACUUUCAGCAUGCAUUAAGAACGAAGUGGAAUUAGAAAAGAGAAGCAAUCUCUGCUUCUUCAGAAAAGUUCUAAGGUAAACUCCAUGUGAAUCUUGCUGAUUUCUCAUAUAUUGUUACGGAUAUUGUUUCAUUCCCUACUUUUUUUUUUUUUAUCAUUUGAAUUCAAUGAGACUCUAUUUUAUGGUAUAUUAUUUCAAGAUUUGGUUGCCCAGAUUCUCUUUAUUCCUCCCACCAACCUAAUCUCGUGGACCGAAAUAUGAAACACGACUUUCUCUAGAUCAUUCUAUUUUCAUCCUUUAUGCUUUCUUUUCUUGGUUGCCUUCUUUGUUCUUGUGUGUAGUUUCAAGGGAGACGCGCAUCACUAAUUAAUCACGUUAGAGAGGAGCUUUUGAAUACUGCUGAAACCUGGGACUUAGAACCCAAAUUCGGAAGCGGCAAGCUGGCUUGAUGACUCUAAUGAGAAUUUUGUUUCAUGGGAAAAAUGACUUGAUAGCGAUUGAAUAUGGAUUGAUAGGGAAUGGAUACUUCAAUGCGUCCUAUAGUGGAUUACAAGUUUGGUUCCCUUUAGGGAAGGCAUGUCCAAGACAGGGGAGGGCAAAGUUUUGUGUUCGUGACAUCCUAGGAGCAGUCAGGAUGGCUAAGACCUUGUCAAUGGAUCUCAGUUGUUGUUCUGAACAAUCUGAAUUCAAGCCUGUCGAAUUUAAGCAGUGCUUUUGAGAGUUAUGGGACUGCGGAAUAACUACAGCUGAUCCAGCUUAUUUCACGACCUUUUACUCUAGCGUCAACCUGAAUCCAAGGCUUCCUCCACCUCUCAUUUAAUGGGAGAAUCAAUGCCUGUUCCCUAUCCACUUACAAAGAGGAGUCUGAUGACGAUAGGCCAUCCCGGAAAACCUCAGAUGAUUGGCCAGAAAGCAGCAGUGCAGUUAUGCCUAGACAGAGGACAGUUUCUUCAGCGGAUUGUCAUAAAAGUUCAGUUGAUCUGAUACAAGAGGACUUCCCCUGCACCUCAUCACCUAUAUAUAAUUAGUUUCCUUCCUCAAGCUAUGCAGCGAUGGAUGAACUAUUUAAUCGCAUUACCUCUACAUAAAGAUCUCUCAGGGAAUGAACCACUCUUAUAAUGACACGGAAAAACUUCCCCAUGCACUCUCCAAGUUCCCUUCAGUUGAGGUACAAUCUAUGAUGCAGUCUCCUAGGCUCACCCCUCCUCUGUAUGCAACAGCAGCAACGUAUAUCACUUCAGGAAGUCCAUUUUAUCCUAAUUUGCAGACAAUGAUGGAUCCUCAUCCGCAAUUGUUAGUCUAAUAUCAAAGGAGAAGCCUAUUAUCCUUAGUCAUGCAGGAAUUGAAGAUUGCAUUGGCCUUCCCCCAAAGCUGCAAUUCCCCCUUUCAUCACGGAACUUGAAUUUGGAUGGACUCUCAAAUUUGGCUUUUUCUCUGUUUAUACCUUUUAAAGGUCACUCGGUACAUUGUUACAUCUAAGUCCCUUUGAGUUGGAAGAUUCUGUGGGAGCAUUAAGAUGCAUUUUUUUAACCCUUUGUUCGAUUAUGUCCGUAUUUCUCUAUUACAAACUUUGAGCAAGCAUUUGGAAUGUCUAUCAGAUGAAGGUUCCUAAUUUGCUCCCAUUUGUUUGAGGUGUCUUAAUUGAGGUUUGCUGGAUUCAGCACGUGGCCAAUUUUCAUGGCUGAUUUCCUACUGAUUUAUGGUUCAGGUUUGAAACCUGGUUUUGAUUUUAGUUGAUUGAAGUUAUUUGACAAUGACCACUGCAAACAACCUGUGGCUGUAAAGUUUGAGAUACUUCGGUGUUUGUGUGAUAAUGUGAUUGCAGUGGAAGUGCUAAGAUCAGAGCUCAGUAGAAGAUCAUUGGCAGCUGAGCCUGAUAAGGAAUUCAAUCAGAAUGUUAACAUUGAGAUUUGCAAGAAAAGGAAGGUCUGCUGUUAAAACAGAAUGGAUAUCACAAGACCCGUCACUGAGACAUUUGGAUUUAUCAUUUGUUGGUGAAUCAAUCAUGUAUCCAGAAAUAAACUUACUUAUAGAUGAACUAUAUCAUAAGGCAGAUUCGUACCCUUUUUGUGACAAGAGCGCAGUUUCCUGAAAAGGUCAGAGAACUACAAUCUGUUGCUCGGUGUUACAUUAGCAUAGAUGCUACAACAAAGGACAACUAGAAGGCAAUUUCCCAAGACCUAAUGCCUCAUUUCUGAAACCUGCAAGUGGAGAUGAAGUAUUAUCCAAAGAAUCUAAAUGAUGAUAUGGUGCUUCAUUAAAAUCUGUCUAGAGAAUUCAAACAGAUCAAUGUAGAGCUAUCUUUAAAGUCAUUCGUGAAAUCCAAAGGACAAAGCGCGGCAAAAGAUGCUACUGCUCGCGAUCUCGAACGCAAAGCAAAGAUUGUGGUAUCCAUUGAUCCCGAGAAUAUUGGAUCUUCUAAAGAGAGUUUAUGGUUGUUCCGACAGAUAAUUUUCUUUCAUCAAAACUGCUGGUUAAAAUUUUAAACGAACACCCCCGAGAGUUCAAUGAGAUGUGCCCUUACCCGUCUCGGAGCCAUGAACGAAAGCCCCCAUGCUAUUCAGCAAAUGUUUCUCGAAUGUCAUAGUCCUCUUUGAUCCAGCAUUCAGCUUUGAGUGAUCCUCUUCAUAGGAAAGAAAAAGGGAAGUGACAAUUCAGCUUCUUUUGGUAUGAAUGAAGAUGAGGAUUCUAGUAUUCAGAUGAUAUUCUCGGAUAAUGACCAUCCGGAAUUUGACUAUGAUGUUUUAUCAUGUUCUCAUAAUGGUUUGAAUGAAGAUUGUGAUAUCCAAACAAAGAGUAGUUUGCAAACAGAAUCCAUUUGCCUUCUACAAAGCUCGGGAAAAAUUGUGUUGAAUAAUUUAAGGGCGGAGGAUAAUAUUGAUGAGUUUCUAACAGAAGCAAGCUCAUCACCUUCAGCAUGGAGUAAGGUAUCUCAGAAUGUGCUGCGGACUGUGAUGCGUACAUGCUGUGAAGCAUACAAGCAGACAGAUGUUCUCCAGUUUCAUUGCAAGCAUGAUCUGGAUCGAAUAUGGACACAUGUGCAAUCUUGAAUGCUGAUAUGCAGCAGCAUCUAUUAUGCCAUUAGCCAAAUUUUGUAAUUUUUGUGGUCCUAUUAAUAUUUCGUAUUGUAUUCAGGAUGAUAGAGUGCUUGAUGCUCCCGGUGACGCAUUGACAGAAUGGUUAUACCAAGACAGUUAGAAGUGGGCUUCUUCCGGUUAAAAGGAAGAGUGAGGCAAUGAGCAGCAGUAUCUAUACUGCUAAUAAACCUCUAGUUCAAAAGACACGAGCCAACGAAGCACAGAGUAUAAAUUUCCAAGUGGCAAAGCUCGCCUUGAGGGUUUAUAUGCAAUAAACUCAUCAUACUUGAUUCUAAGAAGAAAGUUGAAAGCACCUGAGGCUGCACUCCUAGUUACACUAUCAGUCUUCUGCUUCAAAUAUCAUAGUUAGCAUCCAUUCCAAUCCUUAGAACCAUGGAUAUUUCCCCGAGUUGAUUGGAAGGUCUGGUUCCUUUAAACAAAACCAUAUCCGCUAGUGAUUUUAUGAAGAGUCCAGAAUUUGAAUACGUUGACGAUCAUGUUGCUCUUGUAGUUUGUUUCUUUGAGAUGAAGAAGGGCCCUAAUUUCAACCUUGGGAAGCAUUUGAAGAGAACCAGAUUUAUCAAGAGAUGACAUAGGAGGCAAACAUGACUAAGUUCUCUGGAACACUUAGAAGUGUAAGUCAGAAUUUCAGCCUUGCUGCAAUAUAUGAUGCCGAAAUUGCCAACAAUUCCGCCAACCUACAGAAAAUUCCAAUGUUUGAUUUGAAUGCUGAUGAAAAACACAUUGCUUUUGCGAAGUUCUCAGAGAAGCACCGAUUAUUCCAUCUAUUGUACGUGUGCGACAUGAAGUCCAACGACAGAUUUGCUCCUCGAAGAUGCCAUGAUUGAAAUGAGGAUGAUGAUGCUUUGGCUAGUGGGAACAUUAAAUCAUUAGUUCUAAAGAAAUCAACUAGGUAAAAGCCUGAACCUUCCUUCCCAGAGUCCAUUGGGUUGGUGGAUUUUGAAAACGAUUUUACUACUUAUAGUAAGUCGAAGCAAGUCAAAUCCAGCAGUAGUGAUGUUGGGACACAAUGCAAAUCAAUUAGUUCCUUGAAUUUAAACGGCAAAGCUGCAAUCAAAUAUCCACUCUUCCUAAUCCUUUACCAGCACCAAGCAGUUAAUGGAAUGACCAGAACGCAAAAGAUAACCCUCUCCCAAGAAAUGCAAGUCUCAAGAAAUGAGGAACUGCCGACAGAAUUGGGUAAGAAUCGGGGCUUGCCACUGCCAGUAACUCUAAUGACGCUACUGAUUCUGGAUUCAGGUUAAAAGAUUUAAAUUUGAGAGUAAACAUACUGUUACUCAGUUCAACAGAACACAUCAACAAGCUUGCUUAGUUCAACGGAACAUACCAGCAGAGGUGGCAGGUCCAGGUAUCAGAUGGAAUGGGGUAACUUAGCAAUGAGAACAAGUGAAGAAUCUACAGAUUGCCCAAAUGUUUCCAAGAUUACUCACAGAUACGUUCCAGAUUCUCAAGGAUCCCUUCAACACUGUCGAGCUUGUCAAGAAGUAGGAGAGACUGCAGUAACUUCAAACCUUUGCACAUAAUGAACAUCUACAAUUUGUCAGAACUGAGAUGACUCCCUAGAACUUGCAAAAUUUAUACUCUCAAAUGCAGUAGGAACAGAAAGUUGUACCCUCAGAUCUGAAAUUGAACCUCAAAGAUCGAAACAGGUGAUGAUGUCCAAACAUGACUAAAAAAAAAUAAAGCAAGGAAGUUAAAGAAUUCUAAUACAAAAUUACAGCUGGAGAAUUCUGAUUUGCAAGUUUUGUUCUGAGGUAGAAGAAAUAAAGAAACUAAACCAUAGUUUGAGACACGGAAAAUGGAGUUUUGUCAAAGAAAUUGGGCAACUUCAAGCAGAUCAAUGUGUUGACGUGAAAAGACUUAGACAACUCCCUGCACCAUAAACUUGAGGAGGAAGUCAGGCUGCCAACAGAUGAAUAUGAAGGUACAGAAAGGCUUGAGGAAAAGGAAAUCGCCUUCAUUUUCGACCAGGACCUAUGAUCACCCUCCAAAGCUGAAACCAAUUGGGGAAUUGAUGCCAAAACUCUUGGAAGUAAAUCUGAAUGUAGGGGGAUUUCAAGGAAUCAGAAAAGGCCUGAGAAUGCAGUGAUGUAAGGUACUUGAAAGCAUGCAAGAGAGUAAAAAAGGGGAAUUUAAAGAGAAUAACAGCAGCACCUGCAAUCACCAGCAAUGCAAACUUAGCUGUACUCCCAAGCUCCAGUUCAUCAUUUCUACCUUGCUACACACACCCUCUCCUCUAUUUACUUCUGUGAUUGGGAACUUACUGUUUUAAAUUGAAUUUUUGAACCAUUGUUCAACUAAACAUUCCCAGCUUUGAAAAAUCGAUCUUAGGAGCAUCUAGGUGUAAAAUCCCAGUUUUAACAUGCUAUUUGCUGCCAUUUUCCUCCGAGCAUGCACUUUCACUAUUUUAUUUCAUUUUCAACUGUUUUCAUGAUUUUCUCGAUUUUCUCAAGCAUGAAUAAAACUUCAUAAUUCCAAAUCAUGGAAUCUAUGGAAUCAACUCAUGCGAAAUUAAUUAGGGCUUUGGUGGGGGCCCGACAUUCAUGAUAUUAUCUUCAAUAUUAUUUGCUUGAUAUCUGAUUGAUUUUUUAUUCUUCUCGAUGAAAUACUUGAAUUCGCUUUAUAUUUAUUGUUGAGAUAUCCUUGUUUCCCAUAGACGUGUGGAUGCUCGCUAAAUCAGGUACGCUCUUCCCACCCUACAACUCUGAAAUUCUAUGAAUGUGUACGUUAUCAUGAGCCAUGACCAUGUUUGAUGCCACAUUUGAUUGUGUUGAUGCUUGUUUGAUCAUCUUUGAUAAAAUACAUGUAAUGUGUCAUAUUUCCAAACUAAUCUCCUAAGUUUUAUGAUAGCGCUUGAGAAGCCGUUCAGGUACGCACUUCGACUCUCUCUUAUAGUUGGUUUUCUUAUUAGGCAUGCAAUAUUUGAAAUCACCUAGCCUACUUAGGUGUCCAUAAUUAACUGAUUAAUGGUCACACUUCCCUUAACUUUGUCAGUAGAGACCUUUAGAGGGCUUAGAGGGGUGUUACCUUUUAAAGGUACCUUCCCAAUAGGUAACCUGAUCCCCGGACUUAGACACGGGUUUUUCAAAGACAUGCUUUUUCCAAAAAUUAUGGAGUCACUUUUUUUAAGGUUUUUCUUUCUUGUUUUAUUUUCCCUUUAAAAUAAAAAUAAAAUAAGUGGCGACUCCGACUUUUCUAAAAAUUAAUUUUUCACAAAUAAAAAGCGAGUCUCGCCGAUCGAGUGGGGGCGCACGUGAAAAAUACGGGUCCACAGAGAGCGUGGGGGAAAGCUUCAGCACUGUGGUUUUUUUGAAGAGGAGAGUGACAGCAUCUCAGUUUUGGAAGUCAUCAUCGGCAUACACGGAUCAUAUUUGGUGGAGAUUCUGAGGUAAGCAUGCUGAAUUUUCUUUACUUACAGUUUAUCUUCCUCGUCUUCAUGUGCUUUUUCUCCUUCCUCAUCAUCUUUUCUUCCCUUUGAUAUGAAGAUUGUAUUGCUUGGGUGUGGAUAAUAAAGGCCACACAUGAUUGUUGUUGAUUGGUUAUGAAUGGUUUAGGAUCUUUCUGAUCGAAUUUGGGAUUUUUUAUCAACCGGCUAAACUGGUUCAGCACAAUAGCUGGCUGCCUCUGUUAGCCAUGAGGAACACCUACCUUUCUUUGUAUGGUUCUCACUCAUUCGGGCUCGGAAUUGAGAACCGUUUCUUUUGUUUGCUUCCUUAAUCACUUAGGAACUUUCUGACUGAAUUUGGGAUUUUUUAUCAACCAGCUGAACCUGUUGGAAACCGGUUCAGCACCAUAGCUGGCAGCCUCUGUCAGCCAUAAGGAACACCUGCCUUUCUUUGUCUGGUUCUCACUCAUCUGGGCUCGGAAUUGAGAAUCGUUUCUUUUGUUUGCUUCCUUAAUCACUUAGGAACUUUUUGACCGAAUUUAGGAUUUUUUAUCAACCAGAUGGACUAGUUGGAAACCGGUUCAACCGGUUCAGCACCAUGGCUGGCUGACUCUAUCAGUCAUGAGGAGCACCUGAUCGGGCUUUGUUUGGUUCUCACUCAUCCAGGCUCGGAAUUGAGAACCGUUUCUUUUGUUUGCUUCCUUAAUCACUUAGGAACUUUCUGACUAAAUUUGGUAUUUUUUAUCAACCGGUUCAGCACCAUAGCUGGAAGCCUCUAUCAGCCAUGAGGAACACCUGCCUUUCUUUGUUUGGUUCUCACUCAUCCGAGCUCGGAAUUGAGAACCGUUUCUUUUGUUUGCUUCCUUAAUCACUUAGGAACUUUUUGACUGAAUUUGGGAUUUUUUAUCAACCGGAUGGACCAGUUGGAAACCGGUUCAACCGGUUCAGCACCAUGGCUGGCUGACUCUAUCAGUCAUGAGGAGCACCUGAUCGGUCUUUGUUUGGUUCUCACUCAUCCAGGCUCGGAAUUGAGAACCGUUUCUUUUGUUUGAAUCCUCACUCAUUUAGGAGUUUUCUAGAAAAAUUUGGGAAUUCUUCUCAAUAGGUUUUACUAGUUGAGAACUAGUUCAACCUGUUCUGCUGGAGGACUUUAGGUAACCCUCGAUUUUGGCAUUUUUCGAGCCCUUAUCCAUUGGGGCUCAAACCCAUUUGCUAUAGGGUACUUGUGAGCCAUCUUGAAGGUUUAAGUCAGUGUUUGAUUUCAGUUAGUAUGGGCAAUUUUGAAGUUAUGGGUGGUGUGGUCUAGAUGAGUCUAGUUCGAUUUGUAUGACAUUUGGGGAGUCCCUUACCUCAUUUCAACCAACUAUCUUCCUUUUUGGCACAAGCUUGGAUGCUUGAUUUUGAAUACAUGUUGCGUGAUUGACUCACCCUCUGCUGUAGCACAUGGCUAGGGACUACAAGUACGCAUCGUUGGUUUUGAUUGUUGAAUCAUAUGCAUGCAUGGUGCUUAAUCUUGAAUGUUUGUUAUGUGUUUAUCAACCUUUUAUGCAGCGCUUGGCUAGGGACCACAGGUACGCACCCAUUAUUUUGGUUGGUUGAAUUCAUAUGCAUGCCAAAUACCAACUAGGAUUGUGUGAUUCAUGACAUCUAUUUAGCCUAGGGUUUCAUCUUUGACCCAUAUGCUCCCACAUACCCAAUUCAUUAGUAGAGACCGAGUUCCGGGCCUAGAGGGGUGCUACCUCGCAUGAGGUACCUUCCCAAUGGGUAACUUGAUCCCUGGACCCAGAAUCUAGUUUUCGCAGACCGUUUUUUCCAUACUGGGGUCAUUAGGGGUUUUUGUUCUUACUUAAUUUUCCCCAUUUUAAAAACAAAAAUAAAAAGUAAGUGGCGACUCCAAACGACACCGUUCCUCACCGAGGGCGGGUUUUUCAAAACUGGAAAACUCAACUUUUUCAUUAUUUCUUUUCAUUUUAAAAGCGAUGUCGCGCCGGUCCGAUGGAUCAGGUGAGGGUCCACAGUAACACAGGUGGGUCAGAUGCCUAAGUGAAUCUAAAGUGAGCUUGUGUGGGCUAGAAGGUGCCUAGGUGGGUCUAAGCGGGUCAAGGUGAAUCUAAGCGGACCUAGGGUGGUGCUUAAAGGACCAAGUGCAUCUAAAAAACUAUCCUAAAAAUGAAUGAAAAGCCUAAUUCUAAAUUAGGGCUGCCAAAGGUCACAAUAAGGGGUUAGAUAAUCCUUCAACCAAAGUCUCCGAAGUGGCUCAAAAAAGGUAAGUAGUAUGAGUAACAAUGGGCCACCAAGGAACUACUGUAAGUAUCGAACCAGUAUCUAAUAGGACAUGUGCUAGGAUGACAAAAUUGAAGGUCUACAAUACCUUAGUUGUGUUUUCAUAUUCAUCUCAGACUUCUUUGGACUUUGUUGCCUUCGAAAUUUGAGGAAAAAUACUUUCUGCAAUUGCUUGUUGAAUAAAAAAUAAAACAAUGUCUCAACAUCUUUCUUUCACACAUUUCUAAUAGCAUAUGUUAGAAUCUCCUCUUCUAUACAAUCCUUAUUCACAAACUCCCACAAAUGUUCAGAGAUAAAAAAAAGUCCAUAUCUUUGAGCUUUAAAUGUCAUAUCCGCUUCCUUUAAAAAAUGGUAUCAUAAGCUGGAUUGGAUAACCAUUCAAUGAACUUGACUAUGAUGCCAAACAAUAAUCCAAAAAAGACGCAAUCUUAACAAUCGUAAGAAAGAAAAAGGUUAAAAAAGCGUUCUCUGCAAUAGUAAGGAAGAAAGAAGUUAAAAAAUAACAAAACACUUCGAAAAAUCUUUGGGAUAAAAGAAAGAAGUCUGAAAUUUUAUUCUUUAGAUUUAUCGUGAAAUAAAGCGCCUCAUUGAUAUGGCUUGCAAGGUGGCCCGCUUCACAGUAAAGUUGUACGUAUGGCCUCUUCUUUAUUUAUUAUUUCUUUUAAUUUCUGUGUUUUUUCUGUCAUAUUAAUAGAAUAUCAUGGAAAAUUCCCUGGUAUAUUUUGCUAGGCCCACAUCCUAGAACUGUGGAAAGGCCGGAUAACAACGUUGAAUCAAAUAUGAUGGAAGACGUUGGUUAGUUGUGUGGUGGAGAGGAGGCGCUCAAGUCUUCUCCUUUGUCUCUUAUUUAUUUUUUACUUGUGUCUUUCCUUUAUAUUAAUUGAGUGGUCAGGAAAAUGUUAUUCAUAUUCACAACUGUAUCCAUUGACACUCAGGUCAGAUAAAUCAGUUCAAUACUCUAUGCACAUUUAUAAUAUAAUUCUAAUUCCAAUACAAAAUCAAUGUAAAAAUAAAAGAAAGUAGAAUAUAGUUUGAUUCUCCUACUUUCAACUUUCCCUGCUUUGGACUCUUGUUUUUCAAUAUCAGCAAGCGUAGAGCCGGUUCUCUUUGCCCUCUUAUAAAAGAGCUCGUCCAAAGAUCCGAGAGCCCGAGUCUACACAUCUGCAUUUUCUUUUCUUAUAUAACCCCAUCCUCAGCUUGCCAAACCGACCUUAAACAAAAACAAAGAGGCUAUUCUUUCUUUUUCUUGAGCGAAGAGGUUAUUUUGUCUACCAUGUCCGAAAUCGUACCUCUCCAAAAUUGACAAUAUUCAACAACAAAGGAGAGGAAAAAGCAAGAACAGAGGAUGCAACUGAGAAAUGAAAGGCCCGAGGAAUGCGGUAAAACAACGUACAAGCCGGUUGCGAAAGCGAUCGCCAUUGCUCCCAUCCCAACCAUGGUGAAAAUAAAAGCCCAAAGCAAGUGCUUCUCAAGGAACUCAUCAUCUUUGCGCAUGGUCAUAAAAAAGUGAAGAAAUACGGCGCAUAGUGAAGACACCAUGGCUAUGGUAUCCGUCACAACAAAUGCUCCGAAAGCUGCUUUCUUUGAUAAAAUUGCCUUGCCAUCAUCUUCUUUGUAACCACCGGGCAAGGUGAAACCCGCAGCAAAAGUUACUGUUGUUAUAAGCGCGGAAACUAUCAAAUGGGUUUCACCUUGUUUUCGUAAUUCAGAGGUGUAUUUCUCCUUGUACUCUUUGCUUUCUGUCUCUUUCUUCAAUUUCUUCAUUGACUUCUCCAUAGCCAUAGAUGUAUUACCGGGCAUAGCCCACUCGAACUGCUCUUGGAUCUGAUUCGGAAAUUGGAUGAGAGGAACAUUUAAAUUUAAUUCAAUUGAUCAAUCCAUUUUUUUCACAUGCACUCAUUGCUGGUGAAAAUCUGAUAUAAGUGAAAAAUGCGUGUAACUAAAAUACAUCGAAUCAAGUUAUUUGUUUGUUCUAAACCUUUUUAAUAAAAAUAAUAUGUUUGAGUGCAAAUUUAUUUAAAUUUCAACAUCAAUAUAAAUUAUUAAAUAAAUCCAUUAAAUUCAUUUUUUAACUCAUAAAUAAGUUUUGGAAUAGAUGUUUUGCAAUUAUCUCUUGACAGUAAGAUAAACAAGAGUCUUACUAAUAAUGGUGAAUUCUGGUGCUGGGUCUUAUGCCCAACGUGAACCGAUAGGCUAUGGAUGAAAGGAUGGUAUGUUUAGGUUCAAGGAAACCAAUCAUAUGGUUAAAAGUAACAAAACAUUGCGUAUUUCAAUGAAAAUAUUUUCGUUCAAAUGAGCACAUGCAGUUUGAGAAGCACGAUAUAACGAGCAUUUUUCACUACACGGUAACAAGGUGAUGAGGGAGCCUUACCCUUUUCGCUGAAACGUUCUCCUUGGCCCUCAAAGUCAUGUCGUAAGCUGUCAAUUUUUCAUUGUUGUAUGCCUUCUUAUCCACUUGAUGCCUCCAUAAGAGCCCAACAUCACGAAUUUGGUAACAAG